rnacentral:lncRNA from 1 species
GAUACUACAUUGUGGGCACUCUUGUUCAUGCAUGUUUAUUAGAAGAGGUGGAAGAUGAUAAAGUAAAAAUGCAUGACGUUGUUCGUGAUAUGGCUAUAUGGAUAACCGGUGAAAUUGAGAAGGAGAAGCGAAACUUUUUGGUUUGUGCAGGUGCUGGAUUAAAAGAGGCACCGGAUGUUGAAGUAUGGGAAAAUGUGAGAAGAUUGUCAUUGAUGCAAAACCAAAUUGAAACUCUGUCAGAGGUUCCCACAUGCCCUCAUCUUCUCACUUUAUUUCUUGACUUUAAUAGGGAGUUGAAGACUAUUGCGGAUGGCUUCUUCCGAUGUAUGCCUUCUCUCAAAGUUUUGAAGAUGUCAAACUCUGGAAAGCCUUGGAAAGGUUUGGAAUUAAAUUUGGGGAUGCCAAAGUUGGGUUCACUACAGCUUCUUGAUAUUUCACACACCUGCAUACAAGAUUUACCGCAAGAAUUAAAGUUGUUGGUAAAUCUGAAAUGUUUGAAUUUGAGGCGGACAAUUUGGUUAAAUAAAAUUUCAUGGCAACUAAUAUCAAAUUUUUCAAGGUUACGUGUGUUGAGAAUGUUCGCUACUGGCUGGUUCAAUUUUCAUGAAGCACCAGAAGACAGCGUUUUAUUUGGUGGGGGUGAAGUUUUGAUACAGGAAUUGCUCGGUUUGAAAUAUUUAGAGGUAUUGGAGUUGACCUUGGGAAGUUAUCAUGCUCUCCAAAUUCUUUUCAGCUCAAAUAAGCUAAAAAGUUGUAUUCGAUCUCUUUACCUCCAGUUGACCGGAGAUACAGCGUUAAUUAUUGAUGCUACGGCUUUCGCAGAUCUAAAACACCUCAAUGAAUUACGCAUUGAGUCGGCUACAAAGCUGAAAGAAUUGACGGCUGAUUAUACAGAGAUAGUUCGAAAAAGGCGGGAACCUUUUGUUUUCCGCAGCCUUCACCAUGUUACUAUACAAAGCUGCCAGAAGUUGAAAGAUUCGACAUUCCUCGUUUUUGCUCCAAACCUCAAGUCUCUUUCGAUAGUCAAAUGCAAUGCUAUGGAAGAAAUAAUCAGCGUCGGAAAAUUUGCUGAGACUCCUGAGAUGAUGGGACAUAUAAGUCCUUUUGAAAAUCUCCAAAUGAUUGAUUUACUAGGUUUGCCACAUUUGAAGAGCAUCUUCUGGAAGCCAUUGCCUUUCACUCAUCUGAAAGAAAUAUCUGUGCGUUAUUGCCCUAAUCUUAAAAAGCUUCCACUCGAUUCCAACAGUGCAAAGGAGCGUAAAUUUGUUAUUCGUGGAGAAGAAGACUGGUGGAACCCACUUCAAUGGGAGGAUGAAGCCACUCAAAUUGCUUUUCGUUCCUGUUUCCAACCCUUGUUCCUGAACAGUGGUCGCAAAAUUUGAUUUCUGGUGAGUGCGUUUGUCUUUUAAAAAGAAUAAUUUAAAAGAAAUUUAUUCUUGUCGGUUUCUUCACUGUUUUUAUUUCAGUUUCUCUCUCUCUCUCUCUCUCUCUCUCUUUUUGUCUUCUGCAAAUCACAAUUACAUUUUUAUUCUUGUCGUUUUCUUCACUGUUUUUAUUUCAGUUUCUCUCUCUCUCUCUCUCUCUCUUUUUGUCUUCUGCAAAUCACAAUCAAAUGUUGAAUUAAUGGAAUUAAUGCUUCAUAAAUUUGCCGGCACUGCCAUUACUUUUUUUUGGGGGAUCGAAUUGAUACUUUAUUUAUAUCUUCUUAGCGAUUUAAUUUCCUGUCAAAAGACGAACGAGAAGAACAUAUGACUUAAACCAAUGCUCGCAUAAACUUGCUGUAAAAAGAUAUAAUCUCACUGAAAUGCACACGCCUAGAAUGAAUAGAAUUAAAACAGGGAAAAUAUUAAGUAUAUUAGCCCUCUUUACUGAAAAUCAAAUGACAGUAAAUUUUUUGAAGUUUUGAUUUUCUAUGGUCAAUUCCACCUUUUGCAAUUUCUUCUGUUCUAACAAAAACCAAUUUCUUUGUUCAAGUAUUUUCGUUUGGAUAUUAAUAAUUCUCCACCGAAAGAGUGAACUCUUGCUCAAAGGGAUCUCUAAUAAUACAUAACAUGAUUAUUUUCGUUUGAAUAAUUGAUUUCUUGAUUGAAUUGUCGUGUAAUUGAUUUAUGGGGGAUGACACAUCAACAUACUUGAAAAUACACUAAUCUCAGCAUCAUCGGUUAAUAACUUUUAGAUUUAUGGGUAAUCAAUAGUUAAGAUUAGUUGUCAUUAAUACUAAAUAAUUUUUACUUUUUUUGUCUCUUCUAGAGGAUCUUCUAGAAAAAUGCAUCCACAAUUAAAUUUAAUACUUUACAUAAUAAACAAAGCCUAAAUGUUAAAUUUAAGAAACUGCAUUGUAUUUCAGUUGAAGUUGACUUUAAUAUUUAGGGUAGAAAAACAAUUAAUUUUAUUUUUUGAAAUGUCCAUAUUCAGAGCACAUUUCAAAAAGACUCAAUAAUUUCUCAUAAAUUUCAAUUAAAAAUAUUCAAUUUGUUGUUUCAGUUCUUUUAUUUUUUAUUUUUUCCGACAUGAAAGCGACUUAAUGUUACUAAAUUGGGUGGUCUUUGGAUUUUCAUGACCCAAUAAUUGGAACAAAACAAUUUUCUCAAGCGCUCUCCCGCAACAUUUUAUAAUUGAAGCCGCUGCCCCGCCCGUGGUUUCAAACUUUUUUCUUUCUCCUUGUUUAAAUUAAUGGGAGCAGCCUCCGUCCUUGACUAGUUGACUGCUUGUCUUCUUUUUUUUAUUAAUUAAUUAAUUCAGCCGCCCCCCUUUCUUGUCCCAAUAUCUUCUACUUUCGGUUUCCUUUUAUUAUCUCUUUAUUUUUAAAAAAUGCUUAUAAUAAUAAUAAAAUAUAAAAUAUAAAAAUAAAAAUAUAAUUUAUCAGAAAAUUAAGAUAAAGAAAUAUUAUAAGCACAUCAAUCAACAAGUGAAAAAAAAACAAUUUUAAUUUACAUUAAAUAUAAACUUUCAGUGUUAAUCAACUUUUCUAAAUAACUAAAUUAAAAAAUUAAUUGAUUUAAUUGUGGUGUAAUUGAUUUGUAGGGGAUGAAUCAGCAGCAUCAUCGGUUAACGCUUUCAGAUUUAUAGUUAAUCAAUAGUUGAGAGUUGUUAUCACUAACGCCGUGUAUUUUUUAAUGUUUUUUCUCUCUCCUACAGCAUCUUCUAGGAAAGUGCAUCCGUUGCUAAAAUUUAGUAUCGUAAAUAAUAAACCAAGAAUAAAUAUUAAAUCUAAGAAACUGUAUUGCAUUUAAUAUUUAAGGGAGAAAAAUAAUUAUAGUGUCUUUAUUAAUCAGUAAAAAAAAAAAUUAGAAUCAUAAUAAAUUGUAUUGUUAUUGAUGUAUUUAUUUUAUUUUAUACUCAAAAUAAAUUAUUUUAAAUUAUUAAAAUAAUUUAAAAUUAGUAUUUUAUUUUAUACUCAAAAUAAAUAAUUUAAAAUUUUCAUUUCUUGUUUAUUUCGCAAGUUGUUAUUGCCUAAUGCUAUGUCAACUCGAACAUUAGCAUUUUUUUUUUUGGUCCUCUUUUAACGCAAAAUUAGUGUAGGUUAAGUAACAUAAUCAAUAUUAGGACAAUUUGAAAUCCCUAUGGGUGCGUUUGGUACACUGUAUUGUAUUAUACUGUAUUGCAUUAUUUUAAUGCUGAUGUAUUGUAUUAUGUUGUAUUGCAUUAGCACUGUAUUAUAACAAUGCUAUACAAUAUUUGGUGUUACAUUGUACUGUAUUAGAUUUUAAUUAUAUUAUAUUUAGUGUUACAAUUGUUGUAACAUAAACACGACCAAAAUAAAUUGUACUAAAUAAUCUAAGUAAGAGUUCUGUAGUAUAUGUAAUAAUACUAUUUAUAUUAUUAUUAUUAAUAAUUCUAAAUUAAUAUUAUUUAAUUUUAUUCAUAUUUAAAUAUGUAUUAUUAGUUUAUUAAAUUAUUUAAAAUAAUUAAUUUAUAUAUAUUAAUUAUUGUAACUUAAUUAAAUAAUGUAAUGCUAUAUUAUAUUUUUAUAUACUAUUUAAGUAUUUAUUAUUAAUUAUAUUUAAUUAUAAAUUUAUUAAUAAAUUAUAAUAUAAAAAUAAAAAAUAAAAAUUAAUAUUGUAUAAUAUUAUAUUAAAUUAAAGUUUUAUUUUUAUUACUAUUAUUAUAAAGUAAAAAAAAAAAAAAGGGAAGCUACUGACUUUUGAAACACAAAAGUCAGUAAUACAACCUAAUCACGAGGGGGGGCGCGGGUUUUGAUAAUGCGGCAAAAGCUGCAUUGUAAUGCUGCUCAAUGCAAUCCAUUUGAUCACCAAACACAGGUAUAUUUUAACUAAUGCUGGGCCCACAAAAUAAUACAAUGCAAUUCCGCAUGCCAAACAUACCCUAUGGGUGCGUUUGGUACACUGUAUUGUAUUAUACUGUAUUGUAUUAUUUUAAUGCUGGUGUAUUGUAUUAUGCUGUAUUGCGUUAGCAUUGUAUUAUAAUAAUGUUGUACAAUGUUUGGUGUUACACUGUACUGUAUUAAUUUUUAAUUAAACUAUAUUUGGUGUUAUAUUGUAUUGUAUUAAUUUUUAUAAUUAAUUAAAUUAAAUAAUUAAAAAAUAAUAUUUAUUAAUACUUAGAAAAAUAAUAAAUAUAGAAAUCUUAAUUGUAGAAAUUUAACAAAUUUUUUAGUAAAUAUUAAAAAUUAAUGAUUAAAUUUCUAAAAUUUGUAUUAUAAUUAUGAUAAAAUAAAUUUAUAAAAUUUAAUAUUAUAUGUAAAUAAUAAAUUUAGAUUAUAAUUAAUAUUAUAAUUGUUAAUAUAAAUUAAUAAAUUAUUAUUCAAUAAUAUUCAAUUAUAUUUUAAUUUACAAUAUAUUAUUAUUUUUACAUUUUAAUAUAUUAAUAAAUUUAUAAUUUAACAUAAAUAAUUAUAAAUUUAAAUAAUAUUAAUUUUAAAAUUAAUAUUAAUGUAAAUAAUAUUAUAAUAUUAAUAUAUUAUUUUUAUAUGAAUCAUUAAUAAAUAAAAUAAUAUUAUCAUAUAAUUUAUUUUUAUAUUUUAUUCAUUAUAUUAAUAUUUAAUAAUAAAAUAAUUUAUUUUUAUAAUAUUUUAAUAAAAUAAAUUUGCCUCAAUUGAGGCAUUAACUGUUGCCUCAAUUGAGGCAAAAAGCUUCCGCAUCCCUCGGGUUUGCGUAAUGCGGCCCCAUGCCUCAUUAUGCUGCAUUAUAAUGCAGCAUAAUGAGGUGUCAAAUUUUGCCAAACAUGUUCUUGGUAAUAAACUAAUGUGAAUAGUAGUAUAAUACCACAUAAUCUCAUGCACCAAACACGCCCUAUGUGUAUUAUUCACGGUAUCUAUGAGGGCUUAUCCUUUUGCUAGAACAAACUCUAGCAAAUUGUCAAAUGUGCUUAUCCUUUCCCUUGACGACUCAUUUUAAAAUUGUCACUCAUUUUAAAAUUGUCUUUCAAUGCACAAACACAGACAUAACCGCCGACAUCGAGCACCAAGUUUGGAAUUUAAUUGAUAAGCAUACAUUUGAUAAAUUAAUGAAAAGUUUGGAGAGUAGUUUUGAUCACCCUUGAUUAGGACGGUAUUACAAAAAAGAUCAAAAAGAAAACAUCGUCUCUCUUCACAAAAAUAAAUAUUUUCCGUUAGAAUUUAAUACAAUAAUAUUUUUUUUGAUUAAAAUUUAAUUAAAUACACAAAUAAAUUAUAUAUUUUUUAAAAAAAUUUACACCCAGUCACAAGGCUGGCUAUUAAACUUAAAGGGUGGAAGCUUCGGAGACUAAAGUUGGUAACUUCUCCAAGUGGUCUUAAGUUGACCGGAACUACCCAGACUUUAUGUUUGGUAGCCUAGACCUGAUCGGACCUAGGCCCAAGUUUGGUCUUAAAGUCCACAAUUAAAUUAAAAAAAAAUUAUUUGAUUUGUAAUUGAUUUAUGGGGAAUGAAUCCGCAGCCCUAAAAUUACACCAAUCUUGACAUAAUGACAUCAUCGGUUAAAAACGUUCAGAUUUAUGGUUAAUCAAUGGUUUGAGAUUUGUUAUCAUUAAUGCUAGAUAUUUUUUAACAUUUUUUUCUAUCUCUCUUCUCCUGAAGGAUUUUCUAGGAAAAUGCAUCCACAACAAAAAUUUUAAAUUGUAAACAAUAAACAGAGUAUAAACGUUAAAUCUAAGGAACAUCGCUGCAUUUCAGCUGAAGCGAACUUUAAUAUUUUACGGAGAAAAAUAAUUAAGUCUUUAAUGUGAUUUAUUGAUUAAUAUAUAUGACUAAUUUUUUAAAAGAAGAUGAAGGAUGAAGCUUAAAAAUAUAAAUUAUAGAAUUAAUUUAUCUCUUCAAUAAAUCUAAAGUUUAUUUUUUUUAUUACAUGCUUCUAUUUUAUUUUUAUUCCAUGUUAAUGAAUGGAGAUUUAAAUCCAUUUUGGAUUUAUAAAGAUGUUUAGAUAUUUAAAUCCACGUGUGAUUCCAAACUUGAACCUUUUUUUUUUUUUUUUCUAAUUAAUGCAAACAGCCGCCUCUUUGACUGCUUUUCUUCUUUGUUUAUUAAUUAAUUAAUUCAGCUGCCCACCUUUCUUUUCCUAAUGUUUUCUACUCCCAAAUUUUUUUAAGGACAAGGCUACGUUGCAGACGCUGUACCUAACAGCUGCACCUUCGCCAGCUUAAAAAAGGGUGCAUUUGGUAAGCAACUUUUCUUUCGUGUGCAUAUGUGUCCUGCCACCAUUGGGUGUGUACGUAACAGAUAAUGUACCGUAACAAGCUCCUAUUUUUAAAUUUGUUUAUAAUGAUAAAAUAUAAAAAUUAAGAUUAAAAUGUAAUGUAAUGUAAAAUUAAAGGUGGAAGAGUAUUAAAAUAAGGCUAAACCUAUGUUACGUUUAACGUAACAUACAUUUAAAUAUAUAAAAUAUCAAUGGAAACCCUCAAAUUUUAUGGAAACUAUAUUAAUAAAAUUAAAAGAAAUAUUUUUAAAUCUGAAAGAAGAAAUAAAAGAUAUAAAGCAAGAGAUAGGAAAACUAAAAAUAGAAAUAUCUGUAAAAGAAAAAGGAAAAGAAAAAUUAGAAAUAAAAGAAACAACUCCAACUGAAUCGAAUUCAGACUAAUGGAAGAUGUAUUAGAAACUUUAACUGAAAAAUUCAGUGACAUAAAUCUUAGUGAUUUAGAAGACUUUGAAAAAGAAUAUUAGAUAAAAAUGAAUACUGCUGGAGGACCAGAAAUGAAACCUAAUGUAGCAUAACCAAGUCAUAGAUAUGGUAUAAAUAAAAUGAAAAAUAAACCUUUUUACGAGUAUAUACCUCCUAUUAAAAAUACUCCUUGGAAAAAAGAAUACAAACCAAAUCAAGAUACAUUAACCCCAAUAAAUAAUGCUGGAACAUUUUUAAAUCUAGAUUGUAAGAUAGACAUUCGAAAGGCGUUAGCAGAAUGGGUGUUACAAAUGAAAUUAUUUUUUAUAUUUAACGGGUCAAAGGAUGACUAGAAUGUAGAGACUGAAGAAGAAAAAAUAGAUAUAUUUGUUGAAAUCUUAAUAGCCAGUUUUUCAGGAAAUGUGUUUAAUUGGUGGAGAGGAUUAAGCGAUGAUACACAAAACUUAAUAAAAGAUUCAACCAAAUAGCAUUUAGAAAAAAUAAAGCCUUAGGAAUGGAAAGGAUAACUGAAUACAUAGCUAGUGAAUUUUUAGGAGAAGAUUGGCUAGAAAAAUCGGGCAUAUAUGAAAAUUUAAAAAUUUAUGAUAAAAAGAUCUUAGUGUUUUUAUUAAAAAAUUAAAAUUUACAUGACUAUUUCUUUAAAUAUUUAGGGCAUAUAUGAACCACGGAGGAGAAAAGCUUUAUUUAAUAUUUUAGAAUAGUUUUUGAUCAGUACAAUUGGGUCCUUAUUCAGAAUUAUUGUUCUCUUCCGCAACAGUUUUUGUUUAUCAAAGUCGUCAAUUAAAAUUUUAGAAUUCUUAUCAGAAGAAGUAGUCGUUUUAGAAGUUGGGUCUUGGAUCAAAUUUCUACGAGUGCAUGAAUUAACAAUAAAAAAAUUUCAUUACACACGGUUUAAGCUACAAACUACUAUUUGCACAGUUGACUAUAAAACUUACCUCCAAUUACACUAAACCUCUCUAUUUGGUAACGUUGAGACUAAAUUAAUUUUAUUAGCAUGAAAAGAUGAUAGAAAUAUAAUUAUAAAUAUUAUUGUUGUUAAUCAAUUAGUACAUGUGAUAUAAAGGUUAAAUGUGCACUAUAUUUAAUAAUUAAUUAGUGGAGCAUGUUAAACAAAAUGUUAAUGUAUAUUUAUAUAGUGUUAGGAAUAUGCAAAGUCAAGUCCUCAAUUUGCAUUAUCCUGUAUAGAAUAUUACUCUAAAAAUGUUUUACUAUAAUUGGCUUAGAACAUUUGUAAAGAAAAAUAAUAAUAAAAUAAUAAAUAACAUACACCGUCACAUAGCACCUAGACAAUGAUAGAAAAUUAUUAAAGAGAGUGCAAACAAUUAAUUAGAGAUUUUUAUGAUGACUUUUAAUAUUCAUGAUAAUAACAAAUAAAUACAUGUAUCACUUUUUUAAAAUAUUAAAUUUGACUGCUCCAUUAAUAAAUUAUUAUUGUAAUUCAGACUCUAUCUAUAUAUCCUUGCACUAAGAAUAAUUAAGGUAACGUUUGUUUUUUAACUUAAUGACUUAAAGUGACUUAACUUAAUUAAUUAAGUUAAUUAGAGGUGUUUGUUUUAUAACUUAAUGAGACUUUUUAGAUAAUUUUGACUUAAUAAAAUAAGCUAAUUUUUUUUGGCUUUUUACUUAAUGGAGAAAUCUGAAUUAAGUCAAUUACUUGCUAAUGUCAAAAAUAUCCUUGUUUUAUAAUUUAUUUUUCAUGUCUAUCCCAAAACUCGCCCGUAGAUAUUUACCCCACAUAAAAAUAUCCCUGUUUUUUUCUUUCUUAUAUUAUAUACGAUAAAAUUUGAAAUUUAUAGUAUUUUAUAUAUUAAAAUUCUAAAAUAAUUAUGUAUUCACUUGAAUAUAGUUUUACUUAUAAAUGUUAAAAUAUGAUGGUAUUUAAUAUAUUAUUUAUUUGACAUUCAAAUUUAAUAAGGAUACAAAUGUAAAAGUACAUAUUUUCAGCUUUUUAAAUUGAAAAAAAAUAACUUAAUAUUUAUUUUCUGAGAUUCAGACGAAAAAAUAAACAUAUUAUUCAGAUUCAUACAUUCAGAUCUAUUCAGAAUUCAAACUAAUUCAAGUCUAUUCAAAUUUUAGACAAAAAAAUAAACGCCACCUAAGUCAUAAUAAAAAUUUUCGUAACUACAUCUCGUUUCUUCCUCAUAAUAAUAAUUAGAUUGGUUCGAAUAUUAUAACUAUAUAGAUUUAGUGUAUAGCCACAUCCAAUUUAAAUAUUGACCCAAUUGGGAUGGUCCCCAAAAAAAAAGAUUCGUUAAAGGAUAAUUCUAAUUAUUUUUACUUCUCAAACGUUAGUGGGACGUUUCUAUUAGCGCACUCGUAAGCCAAGUUGUCAAAUAUUUAUACUAAACUACAAUUGCUAACAAGAAAAAUCAAGAUCGUGUUAAGCAAGUGGGUCCCGAAUAGGACGUGCAAAUCUCUCGUAAGUCAAGUUGUCAAAUGUUUAUAUAAAACUAACAAUUACUGACAAGAAAAAUCAAGAUCGUAUUAAAAAUGGGUCCCGAAUAGGAUUAUCUUUUUAAGAAUAUUAUUAUUUUAUUAUUAAAAUUUUAUUAAUAUAACAGUAUUAAAAUUUAUUAAAAAAUAUAUUUUAUUAUUAAAAUUUUAUACCGUUAUCAAUUUAUUAUUAUUUUAUUAAAAAAAUUAAUAUUUAACAAAAAUUGAGAUAAAAAUUAAUUUUUGUUCUCUGUCUUUAUUUAUUUAUUUAUUUUUUUGGGUCUUCUGCAAAUCACAAUCAAAUGUUGAAUUAUAAAUUUGCCGGCAUUGCUUUUUUUUUUUUUUUUGGGCCGGGGGGUGGUGUUGAAUUGAUGCUCUGGGUUUUUGACUUUUGUUGUCAAAUUUUACUCUGUUUUUCCCAAAUUGAUGCUANNNNNNNNNNNNNNNNNNNNNNNNNNNNNNNNNNNNNNNNNNNNNNNNNNNNNNNNNNNNNNNNNNNNNNNNNNNNNNNNNNNNNNNNNNNNNNNNNNNNNNNNNNNNNNNNNNNNNNNNNNNNNNNNNNNNNNNNNNNNNNNNNNNNNNNNNNNNNNNNNNNNNNNNNNNNNNNNNNNNNNNNNNNNNNNNNNNNNNNNNNNNNNNNNNNNNNNNNNNNNNNNNNNNNNNNNNNNNNNNNNNNNNNNNNNNNNNNNNNNNNNNNNNNNNNNNNNNNNNNNNNNNNNNNNNNNNNNNNNNNNNNNNNNNNNNNNNNNNNNNNNNNNNNNNNNNNNNNNNNNNNNNNNNNNNNNNNNNNNNNNNNNNNNNNNNNNNNNNNNNNNNNNNNNNNNNNNNNNNNNNNNNNNNNNNNNNNNNNNNNNNNNNNNNNNNNNNNNNNNNNNNNNNNNNNNNNNNNNNNNNNNNNNNNNNNNNNNNNNNNNNNNNNNNNNNNNNNNNNNNNNNNNNNNNNNNNNNNNNNNNNNNNNNNNNNNNNNNNNNNNNNNNNNNNNNNNNNNNNNNNNNNNNNNNNNNNNNNNNNNNNNNNNNNNNNNNNNNNNNNNNNNNNNNNNNNNNNNNNNNNNNNNNNNNNNNNNNNNNNNNNNNNNNNNNNNNNNNNNNNNNNNNNNNNNNNNNNNNNNNNNNNNNNNNNNNNNNNNNNNNNNNNNNNNNNNNNNNNNNNNNNNNNNNNNNNNNNNNNNNNNNNNNNNNNNNNNNNNNNNNNNNNNNNNNNNNNNNNNNNNNNNNNNNNNNNNNNNNNNNNNNNNNNNNNNNNNNNNNNNNNNNNNNNNNNNNNNNNNNNNNNNNNNNNNNNNNNNNNNNNNNNNNNNNNNNNNNNNNNNNNNNNNNNNNNNNNNNNNNNNNNNNNNNNNNNNNNNNNNNNNNNNNNNNNNNNNNNNNNNNNNNNNNNNNNNNNNNNNNNNNNNNNNNNNNNNNNNNNNNNNNNNNNNNNNNNNNNNNNNNNNNNNNNNNNNNNNNNNNNNNNNNNNNNNNNNNNNNNNNNNNNNNNNNNNNNNNNNNNNNNNNNNNNNNNNNNNNNNNNNNNNNNNNNNNNNNNNNNNNNNNNNNNNNNNNNNNNNNNNNNNNNNNNNNNNNNNNNNNNNNNNNNNNNNNNNNNNNNNNNNNNNNNNNNNNNNNNNNNNNNNNNNNNNNNNNNNNNNNNNNNNNNNNNNNNNNNNNNNNNNNNNNNNNNNNNNNNNNNNNNNNNNNNNNNNNNNNNNNNNNNNNNNNNNNNNNNNNNNNNNNNNNNNNGAAGGGUCUCUAAUCAAUAGCUGGAAGCAAUUGAGAAGGCGGUUGCUACAGUGAAUUCAAAUGUAAAAUGUUUGCUAUUCUUCGAUUUGGUUAAUGAUUUCGUAUGAAUAUUGUUGUUCCGUUGAGUUGCAUGCGAAUUCAAAUGCAAAAUAUUCUUCGAUUUUCAAUUUUGAAAUCAAAUUUUUUUUUCCUUCUCAAGCAUGUUAUGCAGAAACGAUUGUCAUGUUAUGCAGAAACGAUUUUUACUAAAUCAUUUUUAACAAACUAUUGAAAUUAAACCACUGGAAUAAGAAUUGUAAGGAUUUAUCGUAAGCUUACUAAUACGAUAAUUCUGAAACUAUCACCUUUUUUUUUUUAUUUGUUGCAGGGAAACCCAAAUUUUGUAUUUUGUCAAUUUCAUCUGAUAUGGAAUUUAUUUCCUCCCUAAAGAUUUAUCAAACUGCUUCUCUUCCCUGCUUCAAUAUCUUUAUGCAAUUACGAUCUCAUAGGAAAAGAGAGUUUGGGUUGUAUAUCUUAUAGUAUUUAUUUAUUUUUUGUUAAAAGAAAUUUAUUUUAAAAUAGUUUAUAGCAACAGUUUUUAUUUAACAAUAAUGAGGAAGGAUUAUUAUAGGUUCAAAUAGUUGUUAGAACAUUAUAAAAAAGUCCAUUUACUAUCAAAUGUUUUAAAUUGGUGCAACGUGAUAAUUGUCUCAUAUAAUUUUUUAAGGGUAAAAACUCGUUUCAUUCCCAUAUUUUAAGAUUAUUACUCAUUUAGUCUUUAUAUUUUUAAAAAUGUUUCAAAACAUUCAUACCCUUAAAUUAUUAACAUCUCUGCUGUUACUUUUUAUUUUUUUUUGACUUGUUUUUACAAUAUUGCCCUCUUACAAUAAUGUUUCUUUUUAUAAAAUUAAUAAAAAGAAAAAAAAUUAAAUUAUCAAUUUAACCCCAAAAAUAAAAUAAAAAUAAAAAGAAUAAAUAUUAAUUUUUGUGAAAGUUUACAUGUGUCCAAAAUAAAUUUUAUUGUAAAAAUAAUUAAAUUGCCUUUUUUUUGGACAUUAGUAAUAAAAAAAUUAAUAUAUUAAUUCCUCAGCAGUGUGUUACAAAAAAGUAAAAUAUAUUAAUUUUGUUUUUAUUUUAGACAAUGAGAUAGAGAAAAGUACAAGAUAAAGGAAAGGACUUCAAAACUCACUGUUCAUCAUAAUGCCCUUUGCCUUUAAAAAAAAAUCAUUCUAAUAUUUUAUAACACAUAAAAUAUAAUCCUAAGAUAAAUAUAAUAAUACAUAUUUUAAACUAAUCUCGAUAUUUAAAAUAUGUUUUAAUAUUUUAUAAUCUAUCAGACAUAUUUUAUUAUAUUAAUGUAAAAUUUAUAAUAAAUACAAACAUAUUAUUAAAAUAAAUAUAUAAAAAAUAUUUAUUUUUUAUAUGUUUACACUGAGGACUCUCUUUAAUUCAUUUAUUUUCUCUCUCUCCAAACAGGUACUGUCUUCAGUUAGCAAUGCUAUGAUAGUAAUCCAAUUCUCUUCUCCCCCACCUGAGCGAGAUUUGAAUUUGAAUCCCUUGUUUUUCACCCACUCUGUUUUUUUUCACGCAAGAUUUGACAAUUUGAGUUAAAAAAUAUGGUCCAAAACUUGAACACGUAUCUUUUAAUUGUAAUAAAAGUUCUUUAAGCUUUGGAGAUGGCAUAUAUAUGGCUGGAAGUGUCCUUUUCUUUGACCUAGAGGCAGCACCAAGCUAUCCAGCAUCAUCAUUUUUCAAGUGGGUCUUAAAUGCCUAGAAACGUUGGUGUUUCUUGAUUUAAAGAUGACACAUGCUAUAAGUGUGAAUGGUUUGGCUAAGCCUAAAUUUAAAGUCUACUCAAGUCGCAUUCAGGAUCAUGGAAAUUGGAAAGGGAGAGAUGAUAGCAAGAUUUAUAAUAAACAAUUAACUUGGGUCCUCAGUGUACAAAGCAAAUGCCACGCAAGCGAUAGCCGGCCCAGCCCAGAAAACCCAGUGGCGAUCCCAGAGAUGGCCUCCUCUAACGAGUGCUGGGCCCAAAAAUCUUUGCGGGUUGAGCCCAGCUCCGGCAUAGCCCUUUUGAGCAGUAACAGUUGUCGAGACAAAAACCAGAAGACCCAACACUGUUCCAAUGACAAUGCAUACGGUAAACUCUGCCAAGAGCCUUGGCUUGUCUGGAGUCAAAAGCCAUCCACACAGAAGCAAAAAGGAACACAAACGAGCAAAUUAUCUCAAGCCAAAGGGCCUGCCUAGUCCCCAAGCCGAUCUCAACAGGCCCAUCUGGCCCAGGUACGACAACAUUCAGGGUGCAGCCUCCAAGUUGUCAAAUAUUUAUAUUAAACUACAAUUGCUGACUAGAAAAAUCAAGAUCGUAUUACAAGUGGGUCCCGAAUUGGACGUGCCUAAAUCUUUUUAUAAUUUUCCCAGUGUAGCGGACAGAGGUCAUUACUAAAUUUCUCUUCCACACGCCACAGCAGCUUCGGUUAAUCAAACUCAAUCAAUUUUCUUGGCUUCUCCGCUUAUCAAUAUUACAAGGUAUGGGUAGCAUUUUUCAAAUCACAUGCGAUGGUACUAUUUUCAAUCGUUGCUUAGAUUGCUUUCUUGGAAAAGCAGCAUACAUAAGUAACCUCCAAGAUAAUCUUGUUGCCUUGGAGACUGAACUAAGGAAACUAAUCGCAGCAAAGAACGAUGUGAUGACGGCGGUUGUCAAUGCUGAACGGCAACAAAUGAGAAGGCUGGACCAAGUGCAAGUGUGGGUUUCGAGGGCGGAUGCUGUUAAAAAUGAAGCUGAUGAACUUAUCAGAGGCGGCUCUCAAGAAAUUGAAAAAUUAUGUCUUAGAGGGUUCUGUUCCAGGAACUGCACGUCAAGCUACAAGUUCGGAAAACAAGUGGCUAAAAAGCUACGAGCUGUGGAGACUUUAAUCGCCGAAGGAGUUUUUGAGGCGGUGGCUGCCGAGGUGGUGCCUGAGAGAGCUCCAGAGCCUGUAGCAGAUGAAAGACCUACCGAGCGAACAGUAGUAGGCUUGCAAUCACAACUUGAACAAGUCUGGAGAUGUCUUGCAGAAGAAUCAGCGGGAAUCAUUGGCCUAUAUGGUAUGGGCGGUGUUGGUAAAACUACACUAUUGACCUAUAUCAACAAUAAAUUUCUCGAGAGUCCAACCAACUUUGAUUGUGUGAUUUGGGUAGUAGUUUCAAAAGACCUGCGACUUGAAAAACUUCAAGAAAAUAUUGGGAAAAAGAUAGGUUUGGUUGAUGAUUCAUGGAAGAGUAAAAGUGUAGAGGAGAAAGCUCUCGACAUCUUCCGGAGUUUAAGAGAGAAGAGAAUUGUAUUGCUGUUAGAUGAUAUAUGGGAGCGGGUUGAUUUAACAAAAGUGGGCGUUCCACUUCCAGGACCACAAAAUACUACCUCAAAAGUCGUAUUCACAACCCGUUUGAUCGAUGUUUGUGGUAGCAUGGAAGCUGACAGGAAGUUCAAAGUAGCAUGCUUAUCAGAAAAGGAUGCUUGGGAACUGUUUCGAAAAAAAGUUGGGGAAGAAACUCUUGGAAGUCAUCAUGAUAUCGUUGAGCUAGCCCAAACUGUGGCCAAAGAGUGUGGUGGUUUGCCACUCGCACUUAUUACUAUCGGUCGAGCUAUGGCCUACAAAAAGACAGCCGAAGAGUGGAGACACGCAGUUGAAGUUCUAAGAAGAUCAGCUUCGGAAUUUGCAGGUUUGGGAAAAGAGGUGUAUCCUCUUUUAAAGUUUAGCUAUGAUAGUUUGCAGAAUAAGACGAUUAGAUCUUGUUUCUUAUAUUGUUGUUUAUAUCCUGAAGAUUAUGGCAUUCUUAAAUGGGACUUGAUUGACUGUUGGAUUGGUGAGGGAUUCUUAGAGGAAUCUGACAGGUUUGGUGCAGAAAACCAAGGAUACUACAUUGUGGGCACUCUUGUUCAUGCGUGUUUACUAGAAGAGAUAGAAGAUGAUAAAGUAAAAAUGCAUGACGUUGUUCGUGAUAUGGCUCUAUGGAUAGCUUGUGAAAUUGAGAAGGAGAAGAGAAACUUUUUGGUUUGUGCAGGUGCGGGACUAAAGGAGGCACCUGAUGUUAAAAGAUGGGAAAAUGUGAGAAGAUUGUCAUUGAUGCAAAACCAAAUUGAAACUUUGUCAGAGGUUCCUGCAUGCCCUCAUCUCCAUACUCUAUUUCUUGCCUCUAAUAAUAGUUUGCAGAGGAUCACCGAUGGCUUCUUCCAAUUUAUGCCUUCUCUCAAAGUUUUCAAGAUGUCAAACUGCGGGAAUUUAAUUUUGGAAUUACCUUUUGGGAUGUCAAAGUUGGGUUCAUUGGAACUUCUCGAUAUUUCACAUACCUACAUACAAGAGUUACCACAAGAGUUAAAGUUGUUGGUAAAUCUGAAAUGUUUGAAUUUGAGGUGGACAAGCGAGUUAAAUAAAAUUCCACGGCAGCUAAUAUCAAAUUCUUCAAGGUUACGUGUGUUGAGAAUGUUGGGUACUGGCUGGUUCAAUUUUCAUGAAGCAUCAGAAGACAGCGUUUUAUUUGGCGGGGGUGAAGUUUUAGUACGGGAAUUGCUCGGUUUGAAAUAUUUAGAGGUAUUGGAGUUGACCUUGCGAAGUUAUCAUGCUCUCCAAAUUGUUUUGAGCUCAAAUAAGUUAAAAAGUUGUAUUCGAUCUCUUUACCUCCAGUUGACCGGAGAUAGAAAGUCGAUUAUUGAUGCUACGGCUUUCGCAGAUCUAAACCACCUCAAUGAAUGAUUGAUUUUUAAAGGUUUUGAGUUGGAAGAAUUGAAGAUUGAUUAUACAGAGAUAGUACGAAAAAGGCGGGAACCUUUUGUUUUCCGCAGCCUUCACCGUGUUACCAUAGAUUCGUGCCUUAAAUUGAAAGAUUUGACAUUCCUCGUUUUUGCUCCAAACCUCAAGUCUCUUUCGCUAUUCAAUUGCCGUGCUAUGGAAGAAAUAAUCAGCGUUGGAAAAUUUGCUGAGGUUCCUGAGAUGAUGGGACAUAUAAGCCCUUUUGAAAAUCUCCGAAGUCUUCGUUUGUCACAUUUGCCAAAUUUGAAGAGCAUCUACUGGAAGCCAUUGCCUUUCACUCAUCUGAAAGAAAUGGUGGUACAUGGGUGUGAUCAGCUUAAAAAGCUUCCACUCGAUUCCAACAGUGCAAAAGAGCGUAAAUUUGUUAUUCGUGGACAAGCAGACUGGUGGGACCGACUUCAAUGGGAGGAUGAAGCCACUCAAAUUGCUUUUAGUUCCUGUUUCCAACCUUAACUUGAUUUCUGGUUAGUGCUGUUUCCUUAACUUUUACAUAUAUUCUCGUCGUUUGCUUCGUGCAAAAUACUAGGUCUUUUGUUCUCUGUUUUUAUUUCGCCCAUUUUUUUUUUUUUUUUUUGUCUUCUGCAAAUGACAGACAAAUGUUGAACUAAAAGGAAUUAAUGCUUUAUAACUUUGCCGGCAUUGCUUUUUUCUUUUUCUUUUUUGAUUUUUUGGGGCGAGGGGGGAUCGAAUAGAUGCUCUGGUUUUUGACUUUUUGUUGUCAAAUUUUACUCUGUUUUUUUCAAAUUGAUGCUUGAAUAUUUGAAUCAAAUUAAUGCUCACGUAAAUUUGUUCAGUUGCCGUAAAAGGAUAUAAUUACACUGAAAUACACAAACUCUAGAAUGAAUAGAAUUAAACAGAGAAAAUCUUGAGUAUAUUAGCCGUCUUCACAUAAAAUCAUAUGAAAAUUAAAUUUUGAAGUUUUUAUUUUCUAUUUUUAAUCAUACCCUUUAUAAUUUCUUCUGUUCUAACUACAAUAAAAUUUUUGGUUCAAGGAUUUUUAUGAGGGGUAUUAAUAAUAGUCCACCAAAAGAGUGAACAGUUGGAUGCUGCCCUAAGGGUCUCUAAUCAAUAGCUGGAAGCAAUUGAGAAGGCGGUCGUUACUGUGUACAAAGCCAUGCAGUAUUUGCUAUUCAUCUUAGUAAUUAUGAAGCUUUGGUAAAAUUUUCAAACAAAGUUGACAUGUUAUUUUGAGAUUUGGUUCAUGAUUUUGUAUGAAUAUCGUUGUUCCAUUGAGUUGUAUAUGAAUUCAAAUGUAAAAUAUUCUUUGGUUUUCAAUUUUGAAUUCAAUUUCUUUUCUUAAGCAUGUUGUGCAGAAAUGAUUUCUACUAAAUCAUUUUUGAUAAACUACUUAAAUUAAACAACUGCAAUAAGAACUGUUAAGGAUUUAUCGUAAGCAGACUAAUAUGAUAAUUCUGAAACUAUCAUUUUUUUUUUCAAUUUGUUGCAGGGAAAGCCAAAUUUUGUAUUUUUCAGUUUUAUCUGAUAUGGAAUUUAUUUCCUCUACACUAGCUACCUAAAGAUUUAUCAAAUUGCUUCUCUUCCCUGCUUCAAAUUAAUAUCUUUAUGCAACUACAAUCUCAUAGGAAAAGACAGUUUGGGUUGUAUUUAUUAUAGUUUUUUUUUUCGUUAAGAGCAAUUUAUUUUAAAAUCGUUUAGUAGUAACAGUUUUUAUUGAAUAAUAAUGGGGUAGGAUUAUUAUAGGUUCAACUAGUUGUUAGAACAUUAUAAAAAGUCCAUUUACUAUCAAAUGCUUUAAAUUGGUGCAACAUGAUAAUUGUCCCACAUAAUUUUUAAUAAUAUAUAUGGCCCAUAAAUUUAAUAUGAAUAAAUGAGUUUCGAUAGUUAAAUUUGAUACGAUUAUUAAAUAAGUUAUAUCCAUGUCAAUUCGACUUAAAAUCUGGUAAAUUUAGAUUUAGAGUUUAUAACAUGAUAACUUGUUUUAUGACAUGAUUUACUAAUCAAUUAAUAUUAAAUUAUAUUUUAGCCAAUCAGAUAUGUGGUACAUUUGUCAAAUUUUAAAAAUUAUUUAUUUAUAUAUGAAAUAAAUUUGACUAGACUGUGUGUAGGUAAUAGUGCAUAAUUUCUAAAAAAAUGUAAUAAUAACACGUUAAAAUGUUAUUUUUAUGAAGAAAAAUUGAAAUUUUAUUAAAUAGGCGACACAAUAAUAAAUGGGUUGAGAUUAUUUACAUUUUAAGAAUUACUCUGAACAUUAUUUUAUUUUAUAAAUUUUAUAUUACAAAAACACCCAUAGUUUAAUUUACCAUUAAGAACAAUUUUGUGCGAUUAAAUAAAAUACAUUACUCUUUACCCUUUCACUACAUCGACAUAAAUCCUAAUUGUUAUGUUUCUAAUUUCUUUGAUAUGCUUAUUGAAGUCCACAUUAUAAUCAAUUUUAAACUAUUAUACCACUUAAAUACAUUUUAGAAUGAGAAGUUUGGUUUUCUUCAUGGGCUGCCUUGCUGAUGCUGUUAUUGAAACUAUCGAACUUAAUAAUUUUAUGGCCAAAAUGAUAUAUGUUGAACCAGCUUUUACAUCGAAUUCUACCACCAUAAAAAAUCGUACUUGUAACAUCUCAAGGUUCCAAUUUAUCAAAAGUUAAUCAUUCAUAUUUGUUAGUUCCUAACAGUCACAAGAGCGUACAAGCCAAUUUUUGUAGCUCCUUUUUCUGCAGUAGAUUCAAGUAUAUUAUUAUCAAGCAUUUUUGUUACACCCUUAAUUCCUUAUCAUCAUCCCUUCAUUCAGAGCAACUAAACAGAGGUCAAUGUCAUUAUGUUAGAGUUACGAGGAAGAGUACUGCCAAAAAAGUUCUUUGUAUGGGAUUUAAUUUUCUGGGUUUGUAGUGAUGAACAAAUUGAGGGUUGUUUUGGUAUUUUCAAGAGUGUAUUGAGUGAAAAUUAUUUUUAAAAAAUUUAACAAAUGAGUGUAAUGAGUAAAAAAGUGUUUAAAGUAUUUUUUAGAGUACAAAUAGCUCCACCUUAAUAAAUGAGUUCUUGUAAAAAUUGAGAUUAUUGAUAUAAUUAUUAAAUAGGUUGGAUUGAAGUUAGUUUAAUUUUGACAAGAUAAUAAGACGACGCGACACAAAUACAACCAACCAGUCAACCCAAAUUGCAACCUUUUACUAAUAAAAGAUACCUGUUUGAAAAGUAAUUAUAAGCUAUCUUCUUUGUGUUAUUUCUCUAAAAAUUUGCGGCACAAAUAUUAUUUCCAUGGAGAAAAGUACGAAAUACCCGCUUUCACUUCAGCAGAAGCAAAGCAAAGCUAUGAGCCAUCUCUGUAUAAUUGAAACGCCAUUGCUAAACGGUUCUUGAUGAUGGGUGCCACCGUGCCAGCGUUGUCGCUGAUUUGCAUGAUUUAUUAGUUGUUCAGAUGGCGGAUUUUGUACUGUCACUUUCAUUUCAUUCUUGAGAGCCACGUACAAUACUAGGUGGCAUUGAAGUUGCCCCAGUGGUUAGUUUUCUGAUUUUUUUUAAUUCAAAUUUUUAUGUUUUAGAAAAAUGUAAGAAAUAUGUAGAAAUGUUGACAGCUACAAUUUUGAAACUUUGCCUAAAAUUAUUAUCGUUGCUUAUUGUUUCUUAGCUAAAGAGAAAUCCUAGAAACAUGAAAUUAUUAUUCUAUGCUUGUUUUAAUAUUAUACAUUAGCAGGUUAAUUAAAAAUUAGACGUGAAUACAACAAGAGAUAAGUGGAGAGAAUUUGGUAGUCGACCGCAUUUAGAAUUUAAUUUUUCUUUUAGCUGCCGAUCAUUAAAUUUUAUAUUUCAGAAAAUUAUACCUAGAAUAUUUCAAGGAUAUACUACGAAGAUUAUGAAGGUUUGAUUACAUGUCACUAUCAAUUGCCUCAAUCAUUUGUAGUAAAUUAAUUAAUCAUUUUGCUGCAAAUGAUUUCCUAUUAAAAAAUUCAAGUCAGAGCUGAAUUGCACAGUAGUUAGUCGUGCUUGCAAUUCAAAUCAAGUAUUGUAUUUUCUGCCUGAUUUGGUUGAUUCAACUAUGUGCAUUUGCAUAAUGGAGAUGCUUAUGAACGUUGUAGUAUAGAAAUCGAAACGUCUUGUCUUUUGCUAAGCCCAGAAGCAAAGUUCUUUGUAUUAUACUCAUCAGUUUUCUUCGUUCUCUUCGUUGAAAUUUUAUCCAAACAGCGGUUUCUUCGAAUUUUUGCCCUCUCUUACAUUUUUAAAUCUAUCAAAGAACGGUUACCUGAGAAGAUUGCCAUCAGGUAUUUCGAAAUUGAUUUCACUACAAUACCUUAAUCUAUCAGAUUUUAAUCUAUCAGAUGCUCCCGUCACUCAGUUGCCAAAAGUGACAAAAGCCUUAGUAAAUUUUUAGAGUAAAAACUCAUUUAUUCCUUAUAUUUUAAGAUUAGUAUCUAUUUAGUCCUUAUAUUUUGAAAAAUACCUUGAAACAUCACUGCCAUUAAAGUAUUGAUACCCUUACCGUUACUUUUUAUUUAUUUUGGCUUAUUUUUACAAUAUUACCCUUUAAUAAUAAUUUUUUUGUUUAGACAUUAAUAAAAAUAAAAUAAUUAAAUUACCAAUUUAAUCCUAAAAAAUAAAAAUAAAAAUUUAUAUUAAUUUUUAAUUGUAAAAAAUUGUAUGCAAACUACCAAAUGUGCAAACGGUGCUUGCAAAAAAAUUAAUAUAAAUUUUUUAUUUUUAGGGUUAAAUUAGUAAUUUAAUUAUUUUAUUUUUAUUAAUGUCCAAAAAAUUAGUAAUUUAAUUAUUUUCUUUUUAUUAAUGUCCAAAAAUUAUUAUAAAAGGGUAAUAUUAUAAAAGUAAGCUAAAAGAAAUGAAAAGUAACGGUAGGGGUAUCAAUACUUUAACGGUAGGGAUGUUUCGAGGUAUUUUUAAAAAUAUAAAGAGUAAAUGGACACUAAUAUUAAAAUACAGGGACUAAAUAAGUUUUUAUCCUAAAUCUUUAAGUGUUUGAAUUGGAGUACAUAAAUUAUCUCUCUACAAUUCAAAAACAACAGAUUUGUUACUUUUCAACGCUACAGGUUCCGCGAAUAUUCAGUUGUGGUUAUCUUGUUGAAACACCAGAAAAUAGCGUUCUAUUUGGUGGUAAUGAAUUCUUGGUUGGGGAGUUACUUAGUUUAAAACAUUUAAAUGUAUUAAGCAUCGCCUUAAAAGGUUUUUCUACCGUCCAAAAAUUUAUGAGCUCCCAAAAGUUUCAAAGUUGUACAAAAUGUUUGGAGCUUAUAGACAGUGAUGAUUCAAAGUCGUUUGCCAUGGCAGAGUUGAAGCAUCUUGAAAAACUAGGUAUUUCAAAUUGUGGAAAUUUGGAAGAGUUUAAGUUCUGCUGUGUCGAAGUUGGAAAAACUUGAGAAGAUUUUUGUUUGAACAGCCUUCACCAAGUUAAGAGAAAGGCUUGUCAUAAAUUGAGGGAAGUGACAUGGCUUGUGUUUGUACCAAAUCUUAAGGUUAUUCAGAUAGAAAAAUGUAUGGAGAUGGAGGUUGUUGGGAAAGAGACUACCACAAGCAGCUAAAAAUUAAGCGAAUACAAAAUUCUUUCUCUCUUUGUGUGAUUAAAAUAGGAUGUGCACCACAAACAAAUAAGCAGAAAAAUAAACCAAUAAAUGCAAAGCAAAAACCAACCACAAGAGACACCGAUUUUUAAGUAGAAAAUUUAAAUUGGGAAAAAUCACAGGAUAGUAGUCUGAUAUAAACUUCUACUAUAUUAAUGAGAUUACAACACAAAUUCUUCUCCAGAUAAUACUAGAUGCUAACAAUAUUAAAAUUCUCAACAAUCUUAGUUUAUAAUAAUAGAUCUAAAAUCUAUUUCUUCAAUAAGUGAGUAUCUCAAAUAAUAGCUACUGAGAGAAUAAAAUACAGAUCAACACCAGUAGAAAUAUAGAGGGCAAUGUCAGGAACUUACCCUCCAAAUUUAGGACUAAUCAGAGCUAAAAUAACCUUUUGAUUGUUGAAUCAAAGAUUGAAAACCAAAAAAAAAAAAAAUAUCUCUUUCUCUCGCAGUGUCUUCUCACUUUCGCAAAAUGUCUACAGCUCUCGCGAUUCUUUACUUAUUUCCUUAGUUAAUUUCAUCCAAGUCCAAAAUUUUACAAUAAUUACACAUCAAGCAAAUUAUUUUGGACUUUGAACUUUUUGGUCCACUGAAGUGAAAUGGACCUUACAAAUCUCCCCCUCCAUCUCAUCUAAGGGGCACCACCAAGCCCGCUCUCUACUUACAGCUUUCCAGCUUCUCCUUGGGUAAUGACUUUAUCAUCAUAUCUGAUGCAUUCUUCGUUGUGUGAAUUUCUCCAAGCUGCAACUGUUUCUACUCAAGCACGUCUUGUAUCCAAUGAUACUUCAUAUCAAUAUGCUUCGAUUUCAAAUGAUAUGUUGAAUUCUUUGCCAAGUGGAUGACACUUUAACUGUCACAGUACACAACAUAACUAUCUUGAUUAACACCUAGUUCUUGUAGAAAAUUCUUCAUCCACAAGGUUUCUUUGUAACUUUCAGUGAUUGUAAUAUACUCUACUUCUGUAGUAGACAAAGCAACACACUACUAAAGUCUAGACUGCCAUGAAACUGCUCCUCCUACAUAGGUGAGCAAAUAUCUUGAUAGAGACUUUCUAGAAUCAACAUCUCCUGCCAUAUAUGCAUCCGUAUCUACUUGUAAUAUAGGUUUGUCACCACCAAAACAUAAACAUGCCUUGGAAGUGCCUCUGAGAUAUAUGACAAUCUACUUUACUGCUGUCCAGUGUUUUUUACCCAGAUUAGAGGAAAACCAGUUGACUACCAACUGUUGAAGCGUACCUCAAACUACCAACUGUUGAAGCAUAAAAAACUCUUUUUAUCUCUUGCUUCUCUUUCUCACUUAUGGGACAAUGCUUGAAACUAAGCUUGAAAUGACCUGCAAGUGGAAAAUAAACAUAUUUUGCUUUGUCCAUAUUAUAUCUUUUAAGAACUUUUUCAACAUAUGCUUCCUGAGAUAACCAUAAAUUCCCAGUUUUUCUGUCACGAGAAAUCUUCAUGCCAAGAAUUUGUUUCGCCGAUCCCAAGUCCUUCAUUACAAAAGACUUGCUAAGCUCUCUCUUCAAAUUGUCAAUCUUACUAGUAUCCUUGCCAACAAUCAACAUGUCAUCCACAAAAAGUAAAAGAAUAAUAAAAUCAUUAUCACUAAACUUUUUCACAAACAUACAAUGAUCACACAUUGUCUUGCAAAAGCCAUGAUUCUCCAUAAAAGAAUCAAACUUCUUAUACCACUGUCUUGGUGCAUGUUUCAGCCCAUAUAAAGUUUUUUUCAAUUUGUACACAAGUUCUUCUUUACCUUUGACACUGAACUCUUCAGGUUGUUAUAUGUAUAUUUCCUCCUUUAAGUCAUCGUGUAAGAAAGCAGUCUUUACAUUGAAUUGUUCAAUUUCCAAAUCCAAGCUAGCUACUAAUCCCAGAGGUGCUUGCUCAAUUGGUUCUGCUGGACCAUUAUUAUUAUCCUCUCCAGCUCCCCUAUGAUCAUCAUGAACAACAUGUGGAGAAACCGAAGUUGGAAUAAUAAGAAUCUCUGGAGAUGGCUGAGACUUAUCAUUUUUUUUUCAUCACCAACUAUCUAAUUUUUAAGAAACACAACAUCUCUAAUUCUGAUUACUUUUCUUGUCACUGGAUCCCAUAAUCUGUACCCAAAUUCUUCAUGUCCAUAGCUUAAGAAAAUACAUUUCUUGGCUUUAUCAUCAAGUUUUGAUCUCUCAUCUUUAGGGAUAUGAACAUACACUCUGCACUUAAACACCCUCAAGUGUUUAUAAGAAACAUCUUUCCCAAUCCAAACUCUUUUAGGUACAUCGUCAUCUAAUGGAGCUUAAGGAGAAAGAUUAAUCAAAUCAACUACAGUACGCAUAGCCUCCGCUCAGAAGGAUUUAUAAAGCUUGGCAUCAGAAAACAUACAUCUGACUAUCUUUUCAAUUGUUCUGUUCAUUAUUUCUGCAACACCACUCUGCUGAGGGGAUUUUGGUACAGUUUUCUUAAGUUUGAUUCCAUGAGAUCUGCAAUACUGCUCAAAUGGUCCUCUGUACCCACCAUCAUUUUCUGCCCUGACACAUUUCAAUUUUUUUCUUGUCCCUCUCUCAACAUAAGCACGAAAGAAUUUAAACAUAGUAAGCACGAAAGAAUUUAAACAUAUCAAGCACUUAAUCUUUAGAUUUUAAAGCAAAAGUCCAUACUUUUCUAGAACAAUCAUUAAUAAAAGUCAUAAAAUAAAGUGCACCUCCUAUUGAUCUAUUUUGCAUCAUGCAAAUAUCAAUGUGAAUCAAAUCAAGGAUUUGUGACUUUCUAGAUGGAGAAAAGCUUUUAAAAGUUACUUUAUGUGCCUUUCCAGCUAAACACUAAACACAAGUCUUGAGGGACGUACCUACAAAGCUUGGUAGAAAUCCUUUUUUGGCAAGAGUUCCUAACCCUUUCUCACCAAUGUGACCAAGCCUUUUAUGCCAUGUCUCAAUGUCAGAAUUGUUUACAGCCAUAUUCAUAUAUUCUUUCUUGAUUUUGGCUUCUAUUACGUAGAGGGUGUUCAUUUUCUUUCCUUUAGCCAACACUAGAGAGCCUUUGGUGAGCUUUCAUUUUCCUUCACCAAAUUAGUUAGUAUAACUAUCAUCAUCAAUUUUUCUUGUGGAGAUCAAAUUAAGACGAAUAUCUAGUACAUGCAAGCUUUUUUGUGGAGAUCAAAUUAAGGCGAAUAUCUAGUACAUGUCUGACAUCUUUAAGGAGUAGCUUAUAGCCAACACUGGUUUGAAGCAAAUAUCUCCUAUGCCCACAAUCUUGGAUGCCCCCUCAUUUCCCAUCCGAACAUGGUCAUAAUUACCAUUAACAUAGGAUGUGAAGUAAUCAUGAUGUGCAGUUGUUGUGCAAAUUUUAAUGUACUCGCAAGCGCACGAAUCUAUUGUAGUAUAGAUCAAUGGUGACGAGUGUCGAUCCCACGAGGAGGUGGAUUUUAAUUGUGUAUAGAAUUAAUUUUGCAAAUGGUUGAUUGGAUUUGUGGUGGAAAUGAUUUGGAAUAUGCUAAAACUUAAAUUAAAAUGGCGAGAAUAAAUUCUAAAAUUGGAAUUGAAAUUGCGAGAAUAAAGUUGAAGAGAAUUCUAUUGAAAUGACGUACUUGGGUAUCUGGAUCCGUAUCAACAUGCAUCAUGGGCUAAAUAAUGCGUAUUAAUGCCAAUUAAAUCAUGAGGGGGGAAUCCACACCUCAUGAACCACGCUCUAAUCAAUAUGGUGCUAAGGGCUUAUCGUGCCAAAUAAUAAUAACCUUGUACUAGAGAGCCGGUGUAACCAAGGCGGUACUAGACAAGAUUAGUAUUAUUUGUCGACGAGAAGUCAAAACAUCCACAAAAACUAGAGGGGAAGAGAAAAUAAAUUUACCAAAUAAAGCCCAUGACACAUGUUGAGACUUCACCUUCAACCCAAGCUUAAAAGAAAAUUAGCUACUCAUAAUUGAACUAAGGGCAAAAUGGGAAUUUAUUAAAAUACGAAGAAAAUACAAGAUAGAGAGGGAAUUACAGAAAAUGGAUCCCAAAAAUGGAUUCAGAGAUAUCAAAUUAGGGGGGGAGGCCCCCUUUUUAUAGAUACAUGGAGUAAAUCAUGGCAAUCGGAUUAAAAACAGUUUGGACGCUCAGGAUUGCGCCACGUCAUCAGUCAACAGUCCACGGUUUGACCACGCGGAUGAACAGUAAUACGGUUUGACCCAUAUGAACAGUACGCGGUUUGACCCGGAUGAACAGUAACGCGGUUUGGUUGAAAAUAAUCCUGUGUGAUGCAUGCACCGUACGCGAGAUUUUUUGUCCACUGAUAUGCUGCCACGUCACCAUCAACAGUACAUAAGAAUUUUAGUCCAACAGGAUCGUGACACCUCAUCAGUCAAUGCCACAUCAUCGAUCCGUCUAUGUGAGCAGUGCCGUGAACAGUAACAUAUACAGUACCGUAUACGUGAAUAGUACCGUACAUGUGAAUAGUGCUAUUUUUCCUUUUAUGCUCCUCCUAAGGUUUUCGACCGUCCUGAGUUCAAAAGUGAUGUCCGUUUUACCGUCUGAUCUCUCCUUUAUUGUGAAAUCACUAUAAUACCACUAAAAUACAUAAAAUACUUAAUUAAAAUAAAACACAUGUAAUUAAAUCACAAGAAGGUUAAAUACAUAAAAGUAAGGGUUGUUAGUAAGACUUGAAAUGUAAAAUGAUGGUUUUCUCCUUUAUAAAUAUGCAUUUUCUAACACUCAACAGCAGUAACCACGAUGUGCAGUAACAUCAAACGAAGCACCCGAAUCAAUCACCCAAUUACUGGUAUGGCAAGUAAGAUUUAUAGAGCUAUCAUUAUAAGCAAUGCCCAUAUCACCAUUAAUUACGGCUGUAACAUUCUCUUUGUCAUUUUUCUGACCAUCGCCUUUUUCUUUCGCAUGUUCUCUUUUCCACAAUUUACACUACCUUUUUACAUGGCCCAUUUUCUGACAAUGAAAGCACUUAGCUUCUCCUAUGGGACUUAGAUCUUCCUCCAGGGUUAUCAUUAUUCUGAUGACGGAAAUUUCUGCUUCGACUUCUCCCCCGUCUUUUUUGGUUUUCUGAAACAAGUGUAGCUGACUCAGAGGGAACUACUUCAGCAUUCUUUCUUCGAGAUUCUUCAUUCCGCAGUCUAUCUGUAACCAUAUCCAAGUUUAAUUUACCAUUCGGUGCCGAAUUAUUCACUGACACCACUAAUGUCUCCCAACUAUCAGGUAAAGAACUAAGCAACAACAAUGCUUGUAACUCGUCAUCUAGAAUAAUCUUCAUAGUAGUCAACUGAUCAACCAAACCCUGAAACUCACUAGUGUGUUCAGUAAUACUGUGGCCUUUUUUAUAUUUCAAGUUAACAAGCCUUUUCAUUAGAUUGACUUUAUUUUGUGCUGUUGGCUGCUCAUAAAUUAUUUCUAAUUUUCUCCAAAGAACAUCAGCCUUGGAUUCCUUCGCGACAUGAUGGUACACACUCUGAUCAAUCCAUGACCUAAUAGUGCCCACGGCUUUCUGGUUCAAUUGAGCCCAUUUCUUAUCAUCUAUAUCAACAAGUUUAACUUCAUCACCUUCAAUAGGUUCAUGUAAGUCUUUCAUGUAGAGCAAAUCUUUCAUUCUAGACUUCCAAAUAUCAUAAUUCCACGACUCAAUUUAAUCAUGAACGCCAAAGACUCCUCUAUUUCAACCACAUAAGUAAUAAAAACACACAACCUGGCUCUGAUACCACUCUAUUGGGAAAACGACUACCACAAACAGCUACAAAUUAAGCGAAAAUAAAAUUCUUUUCCUCUUUGUGUGAUUAAAAUAGGAUGUGCACCAUAAACAAAUAAGCAGAAAAAUUAAUCAAUAAAUUCAAAGCAAAAAUCAACCACAAGAGACACCGAUUUUAACGUGGAAAAUUCAAAUCGGGAAAAACCAUGGGACAAUAGUCCGAUAUAAAUUUCCACUAUAUUAAUGGGAUUACAGUACAAAUUCUUCUCCAGAUAACACUAGAGGUUAACAACAUCAAGAUUUUCAACAAUCUUGGCUUACAAUAAUAGAUCUAAAAUCUAUUUCUUCAAUAAGUGAGUAUCUCCAAUAACAGCUAAUGAGAGAAUAAAAUAUAGAUCAACACGAGUAGAAAUGUAAAGGGCGAUGUCAGGAACUUAUCCUCCAAAUUUGGGAGAAAUCAAAGCUAAAAUUAUUUUUCGAUCGUUGAAUCAAAGAUUGAAAACCCAAAGAAAAAAAAUAUCUUUUUCUCUCGCAACGUCUUCUCACUUGCGCGAAAUGGCUACAUCUCUCGCGAUUAUUCACUUAUUUCCUUUAUAUUUUUUUUGGUUAAUUUCAUCCAAGUCUAAAAUUUUACAAUAAUUACACAUCAAGCAAAUUAUUUUGGACUUUGGGCUUUUGGUCCACUGAAGUGAGAUGGACCCUACAGAAGCAAUAAUCAGUGCAAGAAAAUUAAGUGAAGUUCCAGAGAUGAUGGCAGAUCUAAACCCUUUUGUAAAACUCCAAUAUCUUGGCCUCCGAAUUCUACCAAAAUUAAAAAAGCGUCUAUUGGAAUGUGUUGCCCUCUCCACAUGUCAGGGAAAUUUUUGUAUCUGAAUGCCCAAUUCUCAUUAGAGGAGAGGAACACUGGUGGAAUAAGUUGCAAUGGGAGGAUGAAGCAACCUAUAAUGCUUUUCUUCCUUGUUUUGGAUCCAUUUGAUGGGCAUCAACAUGGAUUAAUAUUUUGCAGCGAACCAAUUUGAAUAAAACUUACGGUAAGUGCUUUUCCAUUUAUUGCAUAUUUAUAUCUAAUUUUUGUUUUCCUUUAUGGUUAAAUUUUGCCCUGUAUAUGUUGUUGUACGGUGACAUUCUUGAAUCAAUUAUUAAUUUUUUUAAUUCUCGUCUCACAACCACCCUUUUGAUCAUGAGGAUAUGCCGAUAUCAAAGAGUCAUAAUUUGGGAUACAAAUGUAAGAAUUAGGCAGAUGACAUGUUGUUUCAAAGCUUUCGAAGAAGGACUAAAUAUGUCAUUGAAAGCCUCCAAUUUUGCGACUGAUUUUUUUUUAAUUUGUUAUUUUUAUAGGUGGCAAAAAUACCCGUCUGAUUUGGACUCGGCUGAUUUGGGCCGGGUACGGAGUAUGAAGCCGGGUUGGUCCUGGGCAUCACUUGAAACUCGGAACCUGGAUUUUAUUAAAAAAUAUUAUAAAUAUAUAUUAUUUUAAAUAUCUAUAUUUAUUAGACUCAUCUAUUACAUAUAUCUAAUUUCAUUGAAAUAAAUUUAAAAAUUAUAAAAUUACCAAUAUAUAUAUAUAUAUAUAAUAUUAAAAAAGUAUAAAAUCUGAGUCCUCAGAUUAAAACCCAGUUCAAGUGUCUAAAAAAUACAUGUGGACCGAGUUUGAACAUUGCGAUACCCAGACCCAAACUUGGGUUUUGCCAACCCUAGUCUUUUAAAUUGCUUGAUUGUAAUGUUUUAGUAUAGAAAAAUGAUAGCCAAGACAACAAUAAGAGGGCACAUUGUGCAUGCACAAUAGUGGAUAAUUUCGGCAUUCCAAAUCCAAUUAGGGUGGAUAACCUUUUAUUAGUAUUAACCUUCUCUCGUAUUCAAGUAAUGUAAAAUAUGCUUAGAAGCUGUGGAUCCCCCUUUAUAAGUGUUGGGCUUAUGCCAAACUCGAUUGAUGUGGGAUGCCUUUAUAGGCAUCAAGUUUUCUCCCAUACACUUUAUGUUAAAAAUAAUAAUGAUAAAAUAAAUCCAUUUUAAAAUAGACUUCUUUUUCUUUUCUAUAUAAACAAACUCAUUCUUCAAAUCAGUUGUGGGUGGAAGGAGUGAGUAGAGAAGAACUGGGCCCCUUUCGUUCCUCUAAAAACCUCACCAAACCUCUCUUGUAAGCUUCUCAGUGUCCCUCUCAAUAUUUCUUAUGAUCUCGUUUUUUAUUGAAUCACUUCUUUUGUGUGCUGCAUUUUUGUGUGUCGUAUUUGGGUUUAUCUUAUCUGGAAUCCUGUUAUGAUUGAUGGAACAAGUAAUCGAUUUUUGGUUUAUUUGGAAUGGAAUUAUGGUUUAUUUGGAAUGGAAUUAUCUGGGUGUAACGGAUUAAAUUAUGACAUUGGGGAGAAGGCACUAAGGGGUUUGCUUGACACAUUUGGUUCUGUGUUUACUCUGAAAGAAAUAGCUUUUGCUUAUCGUAAUGCAAGGCGAAAUCCCGAUUUGGGUGGUGAAUUUCUCUAUCCCAAUUGGGCUGGUGAAUUUCUCUGUGACAAAUAGGCAAACAGCUCAACCUCUUUUAUCUAUCUUCUACUAGUGAGGCAAGGGAUAAAAAGUCUUCAAAAUCAUCAAAUAGUAACAUCUUCGAGAAUUCAUUUUAUGCAAAUGGAAAAUCUAGACCUUCUAAGACAAAAUGGCGUCCAGUAUCAAGAGGUACCGUUUCAAGUUUUCUUGGUAAAAAUUAUGUAAACUUGCACAGCCAGCUAAUGGCACUUUUCUAGUUUUCUGGCAUCAAAGCCAUUGAAGUCGUAUCCAAAGGAGUUUCCCAUGUCUGCACUUUGUGGAGAAGGAACUAAACAAAAACAAUCAAAGGAUGACCAUUUGCAGAAGGAUGUGGAAGAUUUUCUGUUUAAAUUGCUAGGAGAAGUGUUCCAGCUGAAUAGGGAUGUGAUUCGGGAAGUUCCAGUAAUGUCUUAAAUAUGUUGAUGCCAAUUUAAUAUAUAUUGUCAUUUUCAAUGUUCUUUCUUUCUUUCUUUAUCUUCUUUUCUUCUACUUCUUCUUCUUUUUCUUUUCGUGUGCAUGUGAUCACUAAUUUGUUAUUAUACUUAACUUGCAGGUAGUUGUGGAUAUGAUAUGCAAAAGGUAAGGACUAUAUCUUCCUGAUAGAGGCCUCUGCUUUUUCCCUUUUAUGUAAUUUAGUAAAUCUCAUCUCCCUUUGUGAUUGUUAUAUCAUAUCAAAGUCAAGUCUUAAAUACUGCUGUCAUAUGUUAAGGUUCAACUUGCAUUUUGACUAACAUCCAUUUGUUGUCGCUUCCAAAAGUGAGAAUGAGAUACUUCGGUUAAUUUCAGUAGUUGAACCCAAUCGAGUACUUUAUCUAGAUCUUCAUGGUUCAAAGGCCUGAAACUUGCCCGUGAUUGUAAAAUGAUAUUAUGUGCUUUUAAUGCAAUAGGGGGAACAAGGUGUCAAAGGAAUUAGCAGAUUCUAUGGCAGAUUCUAUGCCUGUACAACUGUAACAAUUAUCCUUAUGAUUGUAAAUCUUAUAUGUUUUCCUUAUUUAGGAUAUACUAGCUGUAGGCUAUUUUAGAUAGUUAUGUAUAUGAUAGUUUAGCUAUGUUUAGGGCUAAACAUAAGCUUGUAUUCAUAGUAUAUAAAGGGAAUUCUCUUCUAAGAGAAAGCAUAACUUUUGCUCAAAAUUCUCUGAGUUUAUCAUGGUAUCAGAGCCUCAGUUCUGAAUUCUCUUCUUCCUAGUUCAUUCCCUUGUUCUUAGUUAUUCUUUUUUUUAUCAAGUUAUCUCAGCCUCAUGUCUUCAGACAAGUAUGAUGCUUUUUUGAUCCGUUUUAAUGGCACAAACUACUCAGCCUGGGCAUUUCAUUUCGAGAUAUUUGUCAAAGGCAAAGAUCUAUGGGGACAAGUUGAUGGCAGGAAACCUGCCCCUGAUAAAGAGAUAGACCAGGAUGGGUACGCCAAGUGGGAAGUCAAGGAUGCUCAAAUCAUGGCAUGGAUUCUAGGAUCUGUGGAAUCCAACUUCAUCUUGAAUCUUCGACCCUUCAAGACUGCAGCAGGAAUGUGGAAUCAUCUAAAGAAACUCUACAGUCACACCAACACUGCUCGUUGAUUUCAGCUUGAACAUGAGCUAGCCAAUCUCCAACAAGGCAGUCUCUCUAUUUCUGAUUUUUAUUCUAUCUUUAUGAUUAUUUGGGCUGAAUAUACUGAUAUAAUCUAUGCUACCUUACCUCCGAAGGUCUUAGUUUUGUUCAAUCUGUACAUGAAACUACUAAGAGAGAUCAAUUUAUGAUAAAACUGAUAUAUGAAUUUGAAAGCACUAGGUCCAAUCUUAUGAAUUGAGAAUCUGUCCCUUCCUUGGAUACAUGCCUCAAUGACUUAUUUCAUGAGGAGCAACGACUUCUUACUCAAAAUACCAUGAAACAAAAAAAAUCUACUUCUGUUCCUAUGGCUUAUGCAGCUCAAGGCAAGCCAAAAGGUAAGGACAUCAGUAUAGUUCAAUGUUUUUGUUGCAAAGGAUUUGGACAUUACGCUUCAAAUUGUUCAAAAAAAUUAUGCAACUAUUGCAAAAAAGAUGGACAUAUCAUUAAGGAAUGCCUUACUCGACCCCCCAAGAAAUCUGAAACAACAUAUGCUACCUCAGUUGGUUCUUCUAGUGAUGGUAGUUCUGUGGAUACAGCACAUUUGACCCAAAGUGCUCCUGUUCCUGUUCAAUCUGUGACCCCAUAAAUGAUUCAACAAAUGAUCAUUAUUGUAUUCUCCUCAUUAGGACUCUCAGGUAAAUCACCCACUAGAUCUCCUUGGUACUUUGAUUCUGGGGCUUCCCAUCACAUGACAAACAAUGCUAAAUUCUUCACCAAUGUAAGUAAAUACCUUAGAAAUCUAAAAAUUCAUACAGCUGAUGGCAACUCUUUACCUAUCACAGCCACUAGUGAUGUUUCUUUUUCUAUAACCAAUGUCUUUGUCUCUCCUGGUCUUCCUACUAAUCUUGUUUCAAUCGGUCAGUUAGUUGACAAUAAUUGUAAAGUAGAAUUCUCUAAAUCUAGUUGUGUUGUGCAGGAUCAGCAGUCAGGGAAGAUGAUUGCCAGGGGGCCUAAAAUAUGACGUCUUUUCCCUCUCCAAUUUGCUAAGUCUCCAUGUUUCUCUUUGCCUAUCAUCACUUGCAAUUUUACUAAGGUUAAUUAUCGAGCAUGGCAUAAACGUCUAGGACACCUAAACUCUAAUGUAUUUUAUGCUUUGCUAAAUUCUGGUUUACUUGGGAAUAAAAGAUCACCAUCCCUUAGUGUUGUUCAAUUUGAUUGCAAUUCUUGCAAGCUUGGAAAAAGUAAAAUUCUGCCAUUUCCCACUCACACACCGAAUGUUGUCCAGCCUUUUGAUUUGAUACAUAGUGAUGUGUGGGGUAUGGCGCCUGUUACAUCUCAUGCUAAUUACAAGUACUUUGUCACUUUUAUUGAUGACUAUAGUCGCUUCACAUGGAUUUAUUUUCUACAUUCUAAAGAUGAAGUGUUCUCUGUUUUCAAGCUUUUUCAUGCAUAUAUUCAGACCCAAUUUUCUACUAAUAUCAAAAUUCUUUGCUUUGAUAAUGGGGGUGAGUAUAUGUCUCAUUUAUUUUAAGAAUUUUUGCACACCAAUGGUAUAAUUUCUCAAAGAUCUUGUCCUUCAACCCCUCAACAAAAUGGGGUGGCUGAAAGAAAGAACUAUCACCUUCUCGAUGUUGUCUUCAUUUGUACCCUCUCGUUUUUGGUGUGAAGCUUUCUCCACUGUUGUCUAUCUCAUCAACAGAUUGUCCUCUCAUUCCUUGAACCAUGUCUCCCAUUUCUUUCAGUUAUUUGGCCAUACACUAAGUUACUCUCAUCUCCAUACCUUCAGUUGUGUGUGCUAUGUUCAUCUUCCUCCAUAUGAGCGUACAAAACUCACAGCCCAAGCUGUGAAAUGUGCUUUUCUAGGAUAUUUUAUGCACUAAAAAUGUUUUCUUUGUUAUGAUCCAAAUUUGCAUCAUAUAAGGGUUUCUCGAAAUGUGAUUUUCUUUGAAAAUCAGUAUUUCUUUUCCGCAUACCACGACGAUUCUUCGCCUUCAUUUUCUGUUUUGCCAAAGUUUACUAACCCUUCUGCAGAUUCUGCACCUUCUAAACCUAUCAUAGUCUAUCAGCGACGCAAGAAUUUAGUACCUCUCGGGCCCCCUCCAGCAACUUCCCUGAAUGUUGAUCCAGUUCCAGCAACUGCACCUGAACCUUUCAGACAUAGUACUCGGGUUCGUAGACCACCAGAUAGGUAUGGUUUCACCUCUCCAUUAUUUUUGACAGCCACUUUGUCUUCUAUUCUUAUUCCUUCAUCAUAUAAACAGGCAAUAGAGCAUGAAUUUUGGUGAAAAUCUAUUGAAUCAGAACUUCUUGCACUUGAAGAAAACCAAACUUGGGAUAUUGUUUCAUGUCCUCCAUCCGUGAAACCCCUUAGUAGUAAGCUAGUGUUUUCUAUCAAGCUGCGUUUUAAUGAAUCCAUAGAUCGUUACAAGGCUCGGUUGGUGGUUCUUGGCAACAAGCAAGAAUAUGGCCUAGACUACGAUGAGACCUUCGCGCCGGUAGCCAAAAUGACCACUGUUCGAACAAUAUUAGCCCUUGCUGCAUCACAAUCAUGUUCUUUACAUUAAAUGGAUGUAAAGAACGCUUUCCUACAUAGUGAUCUCAAGGAGGAAAUUUACAUGAAACUUCCCCACGGUAUGACUACUUCCUCUCCUAAUGAUGUUUGCAAACUAAAAUGUUCGUUGUAUGGGUUGAAGCAAGCACCGCGAGUAUGGUUUGAGAAGUUUCGAUCAACUCUUUUCAGUUUUUCAUUCACUCAAAGUCAGUAUGACUCCUCCUUUUUUUUUUCCAACAGACAUCUAAGGGCAUCAUUGUUCUCCUUAUUUAUGUGGAUGACAUCGUUAUCACUGGUUCUGAUAUGGAGGCAAUUUCUAAACUUCAGAAUUUGUUGCACUCUAUUUUUCACAUGAAAGACCUCGGUCAACUCACCUAUUUUUUGGGGUUAGAGGUGCAUUAUCUGCCUCAAGGUAUCUUCUUGAAUCAACACAAGUAUAUUCAGGAUUUAAUUUAAUUAGCUGGACUUAUGGACAAAAAUUCUGUUGACACCCCAGUGGAACUUAAUGUGAAAUAUCGACAAGACGAAAGGGAACUACUUCAAGAUCCUACUUAUCUAUCUAACUAUCACCCGCCCAGACAUCUCUUAUGCUGUCCACACCGUUAGCAAGUUCAUGCAAGCCCUUCGACAUCUCCACGUAUCCACAGUCCGCCGCAUCAUUAGAUAUAUUCUUGGCACUCUUAACUGCAGUUUAUUCUUCCCUACUGGUUCUUCACUCCAACUACAAGCCUACAAUGACGCAGAUUGGGCUAGCUGCCCGGACACGAGAAAAUCUACUUUGGGAUGGUGCAUGUUUCUUGGUGAUGCCCUUAGCUCUUGGAAAUGCAAAAAGCAAGACUCAGUCUCCAAAUAAUCCACUGAGGCAGAAUACCGCGCCAUGUCUGUAGCCUGCUCCAAGAUCAUUUGGUCGCGUGGUCUCUUAACAGAGCUUGGUUUCUCACAACAUCAACCUACUCCCCUACAUGCUGACAACACAAGUGCCAUCCAAAUUGUAGCCAACCCUGUCUACCAUGAGCGCAUGAAACACAUAGAGGUUGACUGCCACUCUAUUCGAGAGGCCUAUGACCACCAAGUUAUCACCCUCCUGCAUAUCUCCACUACUCUACUGAUUACGAAUAUCUUCACCAAAUCCAUGACAUGUCAGCGACAUAACGUUCUUGUUAGCAAAUUGAUGCUUGUAGAUUUACCAGCAUCAAUUUGAGGGGGGAUGUCAAAGGAAUUAGUAGAUCUUAUGGCAAAUUCUAUGCCUGUACAGCUGUAACAAUUAUCUUUAUGGUUGUAAAUCUUAUAUUUUUUCCUUAUUUAAGAUAUACUAGCUGUAGGCUAUUUUAGAUAGUUAUGUAUAUGGUAGUUUAGCCAUGUUUAUGGCUAAACAUAAGCUCGUAUUCAUAGUAUAUAAAGGGAAUUCUCCUCCAAGAGAAAGCAUAUGAAAGAAACUUAGUUCUAUAUUGUUUGGUAGGCUAGAAAAUGAAAGAAAAUAAAAGAAAAGCUUUGCAAAGAAAACUGUUAGAUCCUUUUAUUAUACCAAACUUACAGUUUAAUGACUAAAAAUUGAUAUUUAUAUUGAGCUACAAACUCUUCACACACACACACGAGAUUGUUGCAACACAUAACCAAUUGCUGUAUAACUAACUUGACACAUCAGCUCAACCAGCUAACUAACUUUGACAGGUCAGCUUAAUGAUUUGAUCUGAUACAACCAGCUACACAGCAACAUCAUGCUCUGCUCCAGCUUCAUCUAAUUCACUAACAACUUUUGCUCAAAAUUCUCUUAGUUUAUCACAGGGAAGUAUAGCUUUGGAAAAGGCCGGAUCAAUAACUAUGGAGAGAUUUAUAAGUGAUAAAAAUUCCCGUAACCCGCUGUCAAGAAAAUUUCACAUAGUUAAAGACGCCAUUUUGUUUCAGCCAAAAAUGUUUGUUUAAUCUGCCAAAAAUGUUUGUUUCGAUUAAAGACUUGAACCGUUUUCAUUUAACCUGAUUGUGAUGCUUUAUGUUAUGUAUGUUCCUCUCAAUCAAGAAAAGUUGAGGUUCAUGAUUUUAUAUUUCUAUCUUGUAACUUGCAAUAAUAACUGGUCUUCUUGUUUUUGUAGCUUGAUAACAUGAAUUUUCCUUCUCAAGUUAAUUUGAUCAAUAAAGUAAUUCUUCAAAGAAAAUAUGCCCAUUCUAUAAUCAUUUUCUUAGCUAAUAUGUUUUUUUUUUGUUUACUCUUCAGAGUGUGUCGAAACUAAUUGAUUGCUCGGCAGAGACUUUGGGUGACAAGUCAAAAUUUCAUGGUAAAUCCUCUGAAAAGGUAUGCAUAAUUCCUGAAUAUUAAAUAACCAAUGGUCAUAGUUUUUGUACACGACUCUUUUUGUGGAGAUCGUUAAAAGUGGUUGAUGAUCCAUUUGUAAUUUCAUAGAGGGAUCAUCAAUUCCUUUUCUUUUCUGUGGCUAGGCAUCACUUUCGUGCCAAAGUAAGGAAAUCUAUUUUAGGUAAUGUAAAAAACAAUGGUAGGAUGUAAUAGCUUAUUAUGCACUGACAAUAACUUUUUGUAUAAUUGUCAGUUUAAGGAAUACAAGAGGAACUCUGUUGACAAAUUCAUCCAAGAUAGAUGCUAAAAUUAUUUAUGCAUGCCAGUUGCCUUAACUAAUUUUUCUUAACACUUGUAUUGAACAGGAAAUGAGUAUGCAAUUUGUGUACGUGCCAUUGUGGAGAAUUUGGAUAUUCUUAUUUAAGUAAGAAGAAGAGUAUUUGCCUCAUCUUUAAACAAUGAAUCUUUGAGAAAUGAGGAGUGGGUGAUUGGAAGUGUCUUCAUGUAAAUGUUCAUUUACUUGUAUUUUGAACUAUUAUGAGAAUCUUUUAUAUGCCAAAUUAGUAAUACAAAUGUUCAGAUGAUUUUUCCUGUUGAUCACGCGUUUGUGUCUGCAGACAACCAUUGUAUAUCACUUUAUUCUGAUGUGCAAUUAUGUAUAGAUUAGAAGAAAAGAAAUAAUAGUCUUAUAUUAUUGUUUGGUUCAUGAUUAUUAAACGAUUAUGGCUUCAAAAAAUCUACAAAUUCCUUCUGUUCAUAUAUGAAUGUGCCAAGUUUGCUAUAUCUUAGAUUGCCUUCUUCCAAGAUAACAAGUUCAUAUGUUUUUUAAUCCUCUUCAAUCACAGUUGAAUUUUAAGUGUUAAGAUUUGUUAUUAAUACCUGGUUCCCUGUUAUUAUGAUUUUUAUUAUGAUUUCAUAAACAGUGUACGGACAUGUGCUCUACUUUUAAAGGGCCUCCACGUGAAAGAAAAUUGCAACAAUUGAAUUCUUCCGGAGGGUAUGGCAUUUAAUUUAUUUUCUCAACUUCUUGUAAGACUAAUAUAUUUCCUUCAGUAGGCAGGGCAUGUUGGGAAGGGCUUUUAUUGAAAGAAUUCUGAUAUUUCUUAGACUUUGUUUUGGAAGGGAGGUGGAGGGAUUUCUCAUCCAUAUAUGGUUACUUGAUUAGCUUUUGACUGUAUUGCCUCAGUCGUGCAAAGGAAGAUCCAAAUACUAAUGAAUGAGAAUUGGUUAGAGACCCAAAAGACAGAAAUGAACUACAGAAGGAAGUUUUUGCUGCUUUAUUUAGUGUUCCUGAGAACUCUGAUGAAGAUGGAGUGGAGGUCCAAAGCAUUAAGAAAGGUGGUGAGUGAACCGCCAGAGGAAUUGGUACCAGAAUACAAAGCUAAUGUGGUGCAUUUGCAGCAAGAUAACCAGACUAGUAUGUGCUCUUGUAUUAACUAUAUUGACUGGAUUUGUGAGCAUGUUCAUUUUUGUGUGUAUAAUCACUUUUGUAUUUAUGCAUAUUAAUGUUAGUAGGAUUCUUGAUUUCCUCCACUUACUGGAGAACUAGUGGAAAGCUUUAUAGUGAAAUAUCUGCAAUAACUAAUGGAAACCAUGAUUUGAAUAUUUUCUCUCACCUGGAGAGCUUUGUAACAGAUGUACUUUGUGGCUAUGGAAUACUAGAGAUUCUGCAAUAACUAAUGGAAACUCUGAUAUGAAUAUUUUCUCUCACCUGCAGAACUUUGUAACAGAUACACUUUGUGGCUCUGGAAUGUCUAAAGAUUUUGUCUGCUUCAGUUAGAUCAAAUAUCUUUUAGUUACCUACAUUAUGGAAAAGAUAGAGUUCUCUGAAUCUGAAAGACUGAAACAUUUUGCAUAUUUCGUGAAAGGAAAAUAUCUGUAGAUACUAGUUCAUGCAUUGAGGUAACAUCAAUGUUAAAGAAAAACAGCAAUAACUUAUUAUAUAGAAUUAGGUUCACUUGCUUUAAAUGCUGGUCUGGUCAACCAUAUGAACCUGUAAGUGUAUCUGCAGAAAUAUAUAUGGGGGGACAAACUAGCUAAAUUUUCCUCUCAUUUCUGGCUUUGGUCAUUUUUUCCCCUUAUUUUUCAGCUUUCCUUCUCCUGAAGUAUGUUAACAAUUGCAGAUAAUGACGAAGAGGACAGCUUGCAGGCUCUUCGUGGAGCUGUGAUGGAAUAUAGGGGCACAAUGAAAGAACAUUUUAAAGCUGUAGGUUCUUUUUCUCCUGUCAUUUAUAUUUGCUCACACAUUUUUCAUAUGCUCCAAGCAUGCAAGUUUGUAUGUGUCUUUGCCUUUUAAGUUUUAAAAACCAUAAGGUAAGAAUACAGUUCCUCGUCAGGUUAUUGAUGCAUUCACUCCGGAGGAUCAUGUUCGAGCAGGAAAACUUCUAGAACAGGCAAGGUUUUCCAUCUACAGCCAUCUAUUGACAACAGAUACAUUUUCAUUCAGCAGACACUGUUAGCAUUCAAGAUGCUGGCAGAUUCACUUGAUUCUUAUUAGUUUGUUUAGUGGUAAAGCAUAUAACCUGUUUUUCAAAGCCAAGUUGUGCUAUUGAUUAUGUUAACUUUAUUGUUCACAUAAAGUGAUAUGGAGGAAAUAAUCAUUGUAGGAAAAUUAGGUGAAGAGGUGAUGUCAAAUCUUGAACCUGUUACAAAACUCCAAGUUCUUUACUUGAAGAAGCUACCAAAUUUGAACAGGGUCCACUGGAAGGCCUUGCCAUUCCCUGAUGCCUGCAGAAUUUUUGUAUUUAAAUGCCCAGAGCUUAAGAAGCUGCCACCGGAUCUUGAAAGGGCAGGCCAAGGUAAAAUUCUUAUCAAGGGAAAGGAAGAUUGGUGGAAACAACUUCAAUCGGAGGAUCAAGUAACUCAGAAUGCAUUGCUUCUAUUUUUAAAAUCAACUGACAAGUGAUUGAAGGGGGCAUCAUCAACAUCAUCAACAUGGAUGGAGAGAUUCAGGAGCAGAUCCGCAGGGUUUAUUACGACCUGUGGUGGUUGCUUUUUUGUGACUUGUUCCCUUUCAUUUUUUCACUUCCUGUCAUAUUAUCAUUUCUUUGUCUCUGUUUCUAUUGCUGAUGUUGCUGCAUGCUUGCAGCCCUUGACAAAGUUAGCAAUGCAAUAUAGAUUUUGAAAUUAAAUUUUGUAUGUUCGGGACAGUCACAAAGUACUACUUGUUCUAUAUGGGGGUGAUGUGAAUCAACUUUUCAAUUAUAUAUUCUGUGGUAAUUGUGAAUUCAAUUUCAUUUGUCUCCUGCAAAUUAUGAAGAAAGUGCAGAGUUAGAAUAUCGAAAAGUUCACUGGCAAAUACUUUGUAAAAGCUUCGGAGUGAAACAGGGAAUGCACUUGCAACUAAGGACAAAUUGGUGGCCAGCUAAUGCAUUCAUUUUAUGUACAUUCAUCUUUUUAAUUAUUGAAGAUAAGUGGUUCGUUGCUUUUGUUGUAGAAAAAAUUCAGACGACCUCAAUUGUGAGAUGAAAAUAUUUAAAAUAUCUCUUAAAUUAUUAUAAACUUUAAUUUAUCUUAAUUUUAUUUAAAAGAUAAAAGAAAAAUGUGGUAUAUGGGUAAAAAUUUUUUUAUCUUGUUAAUAAAAUGAAAUAAAUUAAAAUUUACAAUAAUUUAAAGUAUUUUAAAAUUAUUAUUUCAUAAGAGAUUAAUAUGAAAUUAAUCCUUUUUACUUUUUGAAUGUGAAAGGACAAGAAAAGAGAAAGCUAGUGUCACUGCUUUUUAUUUUAUUUGAAAUCGGAGUUAUCCCAUAUACUUUACUACUUUAGCUCUAACAUUACAAUGUUUUUAGGCUACACUUUUAUUUUUCUUUUUCCCCCUUUUUUUAUACAUGCAUGUGGAUUACUUUUCUCUAAGCUCCUUAAUAUUUAAGACAAAUCAUAAAAGCAAUUGAAGCAUAACAAGAUGAUCAAAACAUUUAACCGAAAAAAAAAGAAAUAAAACAUUGAAAAUGGAGAUGUUGAUUAAUUUAGAAGAGAUGCAAGCAAAAAAUAUUCCCAAAAAAAAAAAAAAAAAAAGCAACGUUAGUUCAUCCAUGUCUGUCAAUGCGUUUUUUAUGGUUUUUUUUUUCCAGUUGUUUGUUGUAAUAGAUUAAUUGUAAAUUGAUAUAAACUUGAUGUUGUAAUAUGUUCGCUUUUGUGGAAAUAAAUUUCAAUAUUCAAGAUUAUUCAAGUCUUAUCUAGUAUGUGUUCGGUUGUGUUGUCGAUAAUUUUACAUUCUAAUAAGUUUUCACCUAAAAUAUUAGCAUGAGUAGUAGUCCUUAAACCUUUGGUCAAAAUUAUUGUUAUUGUUUCUUUUAGAGGAAAUUUUUUUAUUAAAGCCUCGUUAACACUAUUCCUUAUUAAGAUUAUAAGUUAGUGUCGGUGCAGGAUUUGCAGCGACAAAUCUUGUCUAGCCACGUGUCAAAAUACAAAUAAAUCAAGGGAAAGCACAUGACAUGGAUUAGGAUCCAAUAAAAUUUAAAUCCCAAGGAAAAGGACAACUGUAUCCUAAAGUUUCAAUAAGAGAUACUGGGAUAUCUUUUGACUAAUGUUAUUUUUUGGCUUUAUUAAUAAAAAGAUCCAAUAGUUUAUAACAAAUAAAAAUAUAGUAUUAAGCUAAAUGUGAUAAUUUACACAUUUUACAUAAUUUCAAUAAAAAUUUUUUUAAUGUUUUACAAUCUAUCAGACAUAUUUUAUUAAAUUAAUAAGAAUUUUCUUAUAAAUAGCAACAUAAUAUUAAAAUAAAUUUAUAAAAAUUUAAAUGUAAAAUAAUUUUAGUAUAAUUAAUACGCGGGAUAUAUUUUGUAAAUUAUAAAAUUACUUAACCCAAUGAUUUUUAAAAAUCUUUAAAAUAAAUAAAAAUAAAUUAUUCACAUUUUGAUGUAAAUAUUUAAAACAUUUUUAUACAUUAGUCCACAAUUAUUUAUGUUAUAUUUGUAUUUAUUAGAAAUUUUGAAAGUCAAAUGUUUUUUACCUCUAUGUUAUUAGAAUUAUUGCACACAGAGAAAGAGCCAUAUAUGCUUUAUAACUUUAAAAUCGAUUUGUUUUAUAGCUGGGAAUAGAGAUGAUCAUUAUUAUAAGGAUUUUUUAAAAAAAGAUAAAGAAUAUUAAUGAUUAGCGAAAUCUCUAUGGAAAUUGAAUUUAGUAAGAAAAAAUUGAGCUGAUUUUAGUGGUAUAGUAAUAUUUUAUAUAGAGAAAAGUAAAAGCUGCACCCAAGGUUAAGGGAAAUGGUCAAAAUUCUUUUUUAAUCAUAAUACCCUUUUUCCUAGAUAAUUUAAAAAUUUUACUCUAAUAGUUUAUAAUAAAUAAAAACAUAUAAUCCUAAAAUAAAUAAAAUGAUAUAUAUUUUAAAAUAAUCUCAAUAUUUAAAAUAUAUUUUAACAUUUUAUAAUCUAUUAGAUAUAUUUUAUUAUAUUAAAGUAAAUUUUAUAAUAAAUACAAAACAUACUAUUAAAAUAGAUAUAAAAAUUUUAAAGUAUUUUGAAUAUUAUAUAAAAUAACUUUAAUAUUGUUAAUGCAUGAGAUGCAUUUUAUUAAUUAAAAAUUCUAUGUAACCCAAAGAUUUAUUUAUAAUAAAUUAAUAAUCAUAUUUUUGAAAUUAUUUUAAAUAUUAAAAAAUAUUUUAAUAUUACUAACUAUUAGAUAGACUAAACUAUUUAUUUUAUUUUCUAUUUAUUAUAAAAUUUCAAAGUUAAUCUUUUUAACUACUAUUCAAAAGAUGUUAUGAUAAAAACAGAAUUUUUGUGUUUUUAUUGAAAAUUUGGAGUUUACAUCUAUUUUUUCAAAUAUUCAGGGUGUAACUGUUUUUUCCCUUUUAUAUAUACGAACGGUGGUGAGAAAGUUUGAUUUAACGUUAUUUAUUUAAAUAAAAUCUCAGUUAAAAAUGUACAGAGAAGAAAUUUCGGUUGGUAUUUUAGUCUUGGUAAUCUCUAUAUUAUAUGCAUAUAAGAUACAUCAUUCUCACAUGAAUAGUAUAUGUGUGAGAUCCAUAUAUUAUUCAUGUGAGGGAGAUGUAUCUUAAUAAGAUAGAGGGAUCCGUUAGUCUUUUACCAAUCAUCACGAUUAGGCCUUGGCCUUGAAACAUUAAUUGUUUCACUUUUAGCGCUAGUGGCGUUGAAAGUUGUCAAGAAAAAGCAAGACCAUAUUCCACAAAAGCAAAAGUAACGUAGGCUCUUUUAUUAAAGGCAAAGUAUAAAGUAGUCAAGAAUCGAAUAUCCUGUCGUCUACUCUUUUUUAAAUUCUUCUUUUAUUAUCGUUUAGAAUAGUUUUUGGUAAUUACAAUCAUUAUUCAGAGUUAUUGUUAUCUUCCGGGGCAGUCUCUGUUCAUCGAAGUCGUUACCUUUUUUUUAAUGGAUCAGUUCCAGUGGUAAGCAGUAAUUUUCUUAGAACUCGGAUCUUUAAUUCGAGUUUCUGUGUGAAUUAAUAAUAAAAAAUUUUCAUUACACGCAAUUUAAGCUACGAAUUACUUUUUGCAAAGUUGAAUAUGGAAUUGGAGAAAUUAAGUAAUUUAGAAUGUUGGUAAAAAUUGACGAACAUAUCUCCAAUUACAGUAAAACCUCUCUACAGUCAUAACAUUAUAACAAAAUUAAUUUUAUUACUAUGUUGAGGUAAUAUAGGUUUAGUUACAAAAUUAUUGUUUUAAUAUGGUUAGUGUCAAGUGAUAUAAAGGUUAAGUAUGCAGUACAUUAAUAAUUAAAUAAUGAAGUGUCAAAUCUAAUGUAUAUAUAUUAAUGAUAUAGAUAGACAUAGUUUUAAAAAACUAAUUAAUGUAUAUUUAUGUAGUGUUAUGAAUAUGGAAAGUCAAGCCUACACUUUACAUUAUCCUUAAUUUUUUCUCUCAGUUAAAUUCUACAAAUAUUGUACAAUGGUUGGGCAAGAACUCUAAAUUAAGAAUAAAUUAUUGUCACAAAUAAUUUUAGAAAAUAUUUUAUUUCGUCUUAAACCUUUAAUAUAAAUAAACAUAUAUAUAUAUAUAUAUAUAUAUAUAUAUAUAUAUAUGUGUGUGUGUGUGUGUGUGUGUGUGUGUGUGUGUGUGUGUGUGUGUGUGUGUGUGCAUAUUUUGCAACGUAUAGAUAAUUGUUAGUAUAUGGAGACAAGUCUUUUAAGGUAGGACCUAGGAAAAUUUAUAACUUACUACACUGUGGAGUUUUUAUUCCUUUUUAUAAUUGGCUCAUAUUGAUACAUUCUUACACAAAAUAUUACCAUUGACAUAUUUUACUACAAUUAGUUUAGAACAUUUGUUAGGAAAAAAAAGAAAAGAAAAGAAAACAUCCCUUGGAUGUAGCUCUCCUGACUAUUUAAAUCUUUUAAGGAAAAAAAGAAAAAAGAAAAACUGGCACAUUCAAAUCUUGAAGCAAUUACAUUAAAAUCUCUCCAUAAUGAUAGGAAUAAUCUCCAUUUAGUAAUAAAAAAUUUUGUUCGCAAUUUAGGCAGAGUUAUAAAUAAGAAUAAAAUCCUCAUUGUAAUAAGUUAUAUUUAUUAUGGAUCCCAUCCUAAGGAAUUCGUCUCUAUAUAGUAAUAAUUAUUUGCAUAUUAUAAAUAUAUAUGUUGCAUUAGAUUAAAUGAACUUGUCUCCACAUACUACUUAGACAACGAGAGAAAAUUAUUAAAGAGAACACAAAUAUUUAGAUAUUUUUAAGAUUACUUUGCAUAUUUAUAACAAUAAUACAUUGAUAUAUGUAUUAGUUUUUUGAUAUAUUAGAUUUAACAUGCUCUAUUAAUAAAUUAUUAAUACGAUGCAUAUUCAUCUCUAUAUCCUUGCAAUAAAAGUAACUAAGUUAUAACAAUAAUUAUUAAUAAAUUAUUAAUACGUUGCGUACUUCAUCUCUAUAUCCUUACAAUAAAAAUAACUAAGUUAUAAUGAUAAUUUUUGUAACUACAUACUUAUUAGGUUUUAACUACUUCAUAAUAAUAAAUUAGUUUCGUCCUAAUAUUAUAAUUAUGUAGAGUUGUAGUGUAUAGACACACCCAAUUUAAAUAGUAUAUCAAAUAAAAUUGUCCCCACGAAAAAGAAAAAAGGGGUAAAGGAUUCUCAUUUCUUCAAACAUUAGGAUCACGUUUGUACAAGUGCGAUGCCUUUCUUUUGAAGGCAACGUCAGUGGGUACCCAAUAGGACGUGUGUAAAUCUUUCCAAAAUUUCUCUGGUAUAACGGACAGAGAUCAUUACUUUUCUCUUCCAUAUACCACAGCAGCUUCAGUUAAUCAGACUCAAUCAAUUUUCUUGGUUUCUUCGCUUAUCAAAAUUCCAAAAUAUGGGUAGCAUAUUUCAAAUCACAUGCGAUGGUGCUUUUUUCAAUCGUUGCUUGGAUUGCUUUCUUGGAAAAGUAGCAAACACAAGUAAGCUCCAAGAUAACCUUGUUGCCUUGGAGACUGAAUUGGGAAAACUAAUCGCAGCAAAGAACGAUGUGAUGAUGAGGGUUGUCAAUGCUGAACGGCAACACCUGAGAACGCUGGACCAAGUGCAAGUGUGGCUUUCGAGGGUGGAAGCUGUUGAAACUGAAGCUGAUGAAUUGAAAAGACACGGCUCUCAAGAAAUUGACAAAUUAUGUGUUGGAGGCUACUGUUCCAAGAACUGCGCGUCAAGCUACAAGUUCGGGAAACAAGUGGCUAAAAAGCUACGGGAUGUGCAGACUUUAAUCGACGAAGGAGUUUUUGCGGCGGUGGCUACCGAGGUGGUGCCUGAGAGAGCUCCAGAACCUGUAGCAGAUGAAAGACCCACUGAGCCAACAAUAGUAGGCUUGCAAUCACAACUUGAACAAGUUUGGAGAUGUCUUGUAGAAGAAUCAGUGGGAAUCAUUGGCCUAUAUGGUAUGGGCGGUGUUGGUAAAACUACACUAUUGACCCAUAUCAACAAUAAAUUUCUUGAGAGUCCAACCAGUUUUGAUUGUGUGAUUUGGGCCGUAGUUUCAAAGGACUUGCGACUCGAAAAAAUUCAAGAAGAUAUUGGGAAAAAGAUCGGUUUGGUUGAUGAUUCAUGGAAGAGUAAAAGUGUAGAGGAGAAAGCUCUCGACAUCUUCCGGAGUUUAAGAGAGAAGAGAAUUGUAUUGCUGUUAGAUGAUAUAUGGGAGCGGGUUGAUUUAACAAAAGUGGGCAUUCCACUUUCCGGACCAAAAAAUACUACAUCAAAAGUCGUAUUCACAACCCGUUUCGUCGAUGUUUGUGGUAGCAUGGAAGCUGACAAGAAGUUCCAGGUGGCAUGCUUAUCAGAAGAGCAUGCUUGGGAACUGUUUCGAAAAAAAGUUGGGGAAGAAACUCUUGAGAGUGAUCAUGAUAUCGUUGAGCUAGCCCAAACUGUGGCCAAAGAGUGUGGUGGUUUGCCACUCGCACUUAUUACUAUUGGUCGAGCUAUGGCCUUCAAAAAGACAGCCGAGGAGUGGAGUCAUGCAAUUGAUGUGCUAAGAACAUCAGCUUCUGAGUUUGCAGGUUUGGGAGAAAAGGUUUAUCGUCUUUUAAAGUUUAGCUAUGAUAGUUUGCAGAAUGAGACGAUUAGAUCUUGUUUCUUAUAUUGUUGUUUAUAUCCCGAGGAUUAUAGCAUUCUUAAAUGGGACUUGAUUGAUUGUUGGAUUGGUGAGGGAUUCUUAGAGGAAUCUGACAGGUUCAGUGCAGAAAACCAAGGAUACUACAUUGUGGGCACUCUUGUUCAUGCAUGUUUAUUGGAAGAGUUAGAAGAUGAUAAAGUAAAAAUGCAUGACGUUGUUCGUGAUAUGGCUCGAUGGAUAGCUUGUGAAAUUGAGAAGGAGAAGAGAAAAUUUUUGGUUUGUGCAGGUGCUGGAGUAGGAGCGGUGUCAGAUGUUGAAGGAUGGGAAAAUGUGGGAAGAUUGUCAUUGAUGCAAAACCAAAUUGAAAUUCUGUCAGAGGUUCCCACAUGCCCUCAUCUCCUCACUUUAUUUCUUGACUUUAAUUAUAAAUUGGAGAUGAUCACCGAUGGCUUCUUCCAAUGUAUGCCUUCUCUCAAAGUUUUGAAGAUGUCAAACUGUGGGCAUGUCAAAGUUUUGAAAUUACCUUUUGGGAUGUCAAAGCUGGGUUCACUACAACUUCUUGAUAUUUCACAUACCGGCAUAAGAGAGUUACCAGAAGAGUUAAAGUUGUUGGUAAAUCUGAAAUGUUUGAAUUUGAGGUGGACACAUAUGUUAAAUAAAAUUCCACGGCAGCUAAUAUCAAAUUCUUCAUGGUUACGUGUGUUGAGAAUGUUCGCUAUUGGCUUUGAAAAUUCUAAAGAACCAUCAGAAGACAGCGUUUUAAUUGGUGGGGGUGAAGUUUUAGUACAUGAAUUGCUCGGUUUGAAAUAUUUAGAGGUAUUGGAGUUGACCUUGCGAAGUUAUGAUGCUCUCCAAUUUUUUUUGAGCUCAAAUAAGUUAAAAAGUUGUAUUCGAUCUCUUUUCCUCAAUAAGCUGGGAGAUACAAAGUCGAUUCAUGCUACGGCUUUCGCAGAUCUAAAGCAUCUCAAUGAACUAUGCAUUCGUUCGGCAGUGGAGUUGGAAGAAUUGAAGGUUGAUUAUACAGAGAUUGCGCCAAAAAGGUCGGAACCUUUUGUUUUCCGCAGCCUUCACCGUGUUACUAUGGAGCGGUGCCAUAAAUUGAAAGAUUUGACAUUCCUCGUUUUUGCUCCAAGCCUCAAGUCUCUUUCGCUAUACGGUUGCAAUGCUAUAGAAGAAAUAAUCAGCGUUGGAAAAUUUGCUGAGACUCCUGAGGUGAUGGGACAUAUAAGCCCUUUUGGAAAUCUCCAAACGCUUUAUUUAACUGAUUUGCCAGAGUUGAAAAGCAUCUACUGGAAGCCAUUGCCUUUCACUCAUCUCAAAGAAAUGACGGUACAUGGGUGUAAUCAGCUUAAAAAGCUUCCAUUCGAUUCCAACAGUGCAACAGAGCGUAAAUUUGUUAUUCGUGGAUACACACUCUGGUGGAACCGUCUUCAAUGGGAGGAUGAAGCCACUCAAAUUGCUUUUCGUUCCUGUUUCCAAUCUCAUGAAAUAUAAAUUCCUGAGCGGUGGUUGCAAAAUUUGAUUUCUAGUGAGUGCUUUUUUCUUAAACUCUUACAUAUAUUCUCGUCGUUUGCUUCGUGCAACGGACUAGGUUUUUAUUUCAGAUUCGUUUUUUGUCUCCUGCAAAUCACAAUUAAAUGUUGAAUUAUAUGGAGUCAAUGCUUUAUAAAAUUUUCAAGGCACUGCCAUUUCCUUUUUCUUUUUCUUUUUUUUUUUGGGUCGAAUUGAUGCUCUGGCUUUUUACUUUUUGUUGUCACAUUUUGCUCUGUUUUUUCAAGUUGAUGCUUGAAUAGUUGAAUUCAAUUGAUGCUCACAUAAAUUUGUUUAGUUGCCGCAAAAGGAUAUAAUUAGACUGAAGUACACACUUCUAGAAUGAAUACAAAAUGUUAAGUAUACUAGCCCUCUUUACAGAAAAUCAAAUGAAAAUCAAUUUUUUGGGGCUUUGAUUUUCUAUGGUCUAUUAUAUACUCUUUUUAAUAUCUUCUGUUCUAACUAUAACCAAAUCCUUUGUUCAAGGAUUUUUAUUUGGGGUAUUGAUAACUGUCCACCAAAAGAGUGAACACUUGGAUGCUGCUCAAGGAUCUCUAAUCAAUAGCUGGAAGCAACUGAGAAGGCGGUCGCUACUGUUUACAAAGCGAUGCAGUAUUUGCCAUUCAUCUUAAUAAUUAUGAAGCUUUGGUAAAAUUUUCAAACAAAGUUGAACACAUGUUGUUUUGAGAUUUGGUUCAUGAUUUUGGAUGAAUAUCGUUGUUCCGUUUGAGUUGGAUGUGAAUUCAAAAUCUAUAUAUUCUUUGGUUUUCAAUUCUGAACUCAAUUUCUUUUUCUCAAGCAUGUUAUGCAGAAAUGAUUUUUUACUAAAUCAUUUUUGAUGAAUUGUUUAAAUUAAACAAUUGGAAUAAGAAUUGAAAAGGUUUAUCAUAAGCAUGCUAAUAUGAUAAGUUGUUUUAUGAACGAUUAAUUAAUUAAUCAAUUAAUAUUAAAUUAUCUAUUAGUCAAUUAGAUAUGCGUUACAUGUCAUGUUUAAAAAUUAUUUAUUUAUAUUUCAAACAAAUUUGACUGGAUGUUGUGUAGGUAAUACUACAUAAUUUCAAAACAAAAAAAGUAAUAAAAACACGUUAAAUUUUGUUUUUAUGAAGAAAAAUUUAAAAUUUUAUUAAAUAGGUGAAAAUAAUAAAUGGAUUCGUGUAUGGUUUGAGAUUCUUGACAUAAUUAUGAAAUAAGCCGGAUUCGACUUAGUUCAAUUUUGACGCGAUAAGAAGACGACACCACACAAACACACGAUAAGAACCGUUACCUGAGAAGAUUGCCAUCAGGAAUUUUGAAAUUGAUUUCACUACAAUACCUUAAUCUUUCAGAUACUACCAUCACUGAGCUGCCAGAAGAGCUAAAAGCCUUGGUAAAUCUUAAGUGUUUGAACUGUACACAAAUUAUCUCUCUACAAUUCAAAAACAACUAAUUUGUUACUUUUUCAAUGCUACAUGUUCUGCGAAUAUUGAGUUGUGGUUAUCUUGUUGAAAUAUCAGACAAUAGAGUUCUAUUUGGUGGUAGUGAAUUGUUGGUUGGGGAGUUGCCUAGUUUAAAACGUUUAAAUGUAUUAAGCAUCACCUUACAAGGUUUUUCUGCUGUCCAAAAACUUAUGAGCUCUCAAAAGUUUCAAAGCUGUACAAAAUGUUUGGAGCUUAUAGACUGUGAUGAUUCAAAGUCUUUUGCCUUGGCAGAGUUGAAGCAUCUCGAAAAACUAGUUUUUUGAAUUGUGGAAGAGUUUAAGUUCUGCUUUGUUGAAGUUGGAAAAGCUCAAGAAUGUUUUCGUUUGAACAGUUUUCACCGAGUUAAUAUAAAGGCUUGUCAUAAAUUGAGGGACGUGACAUGGCUUGUAUUUGCUCCAAAUCUUACAGUUAUUCAAAUAGAAAAAUGUAUGCAGAUGGAAGUAAUAGUCAGUGCAAGGAAAUUGGGUGAAGUUCCAGAGAUGAUGGCAGAUCUAAACCCUUUUGCAAAUAUCUUUGCCAGCGAGUUCUACCAAAAUUAAAAAGCGUCUAUUGGAAUGAGUCACCCUUUCCACAUGUCAGGGAAAUUAUUGUAUCUGAAUGCCCAAUUCUCAAGAAGCUUUCACUCGGUUUUAACAAUGCAAAGGAAUCUAAAAUUGUCAUUAGGGGAGAGGAACACUGGUGGAGUGAGCUGCAAAGGGAGGAUGAAGCGACCGUUAAUGCUUUUCUUCCUUGUUUCGGUUCCAUUUGAUAGGCAUCAACAUGGAUUUAUAUUUUGCGGUGGACAACUUGUGGUAAGUGCUUUUCCAUUUAUUACAUGUUUAUAUCUAACUUUUGUUUUCCUUUAUGGUUAAAUUUUACUGUAUAUAUGUUGUUAUACGGUGACAUUCUCGCAUCAAUUAUUAGCUUUUUAAUUCUCUUCUGGCAUUAAUUGCCCUUCUGAUCAUGUAGGAUAUGCCGAUGUCAAAGAGUAGUAAAUUGGGAUACAAAUGUAAGAAUUAGCCAGAUGACAUGUUGUUUUGAAGCUCUCUCGAAGGACUAGUUAUGUCAUUCAAAGCAUCCAAUUUCGCUACUUUUUUUUUCAUUUGUUGCUUUUUAUAUUUCUAGAUAGCUUGAUAUUCGGCCAAGACAUCGAUAGGAGGGCACAUUGUGCAUGCACACUAGUGGAUGAUUUGGGCAUGCCGAAUCCAAUUAGCGUGGAUGACCCUUUAUAAGCAUCAGGCUUCUCUCAUACCAGAGCAAUGUAGAAUAUGUUUAUAAACUGUGGAUUACCCUUUAUAAGUUUAGACUUCUUCUAUACUCGAGCGAUGUGGAAUACCUGUAUAAGCAUUAAGCUUCUCUCAUACACUUUAUGUUAAAAAUAAUAAUAAUAAUAAUAAAAUAAAUCCAUUUUAAAAUAGGCUCUUUUUUUCUUUUUUUAUAUAAACAAAAUGCAUUCUUCAAAUCAAUAGUGGGUGGAAGAAGUGAGUAGAGAAGGACUAGGCCCCUUCAUUCCGCCUAAAACCUCACCGAAACCUCUCUUGUGAACUUCUCAGAUUCUCUCUCAAUAUUUCUUAUGAUCUCGUUUUUGAUAGAAUCACUUCUAUUGCAUGCUGCAUUUUGUGCGUCGUUUUUGGGUAAUAUCUUAUCUGGAAUGCUGUUAUGAUCAAUAGAACAAGUAAUCAAUUUUUGGUUUGACGGAAGUCGAUUUAUUUAUUUACUAUUGUUUUUUAUUUGAAAUUUUGACAGUUGUGUUUCAUUCAUUUCUUUCCUUCUUUUUUUAUUUUAUAUUUAUUAUGUAUAAUUGUGUUUCAUUUGAUAUUGAUCAUACUGUAGAUAACUAUGUGAUUGUAGCUGGGGAUUUUAAGUUUUGUGAAUUCAAGAAACUGUCAAAAUGCUAGUGAAAUUGGGACCUUUAUUCAUAAGCUUGUGGUUUUCAAAAGUAGCCGGGUUCAACUGAUGAAGUUCCUUUUUGGGAUUCUUUUUUUUCUAGGCUGCAAUUCGGAUAUGUACCUGAUAGACAAUCUUUUGUGAGUUUAGCAUAUCUUCUCCGAUUUUGUCUUUUAUUCCCCAACUUUACAGCUACACACCAUGAAUGCUGGGUGAUUGUACAGAAAAUUUGUGUUAGAACAAAAGCAUUGUGAAGGAGUUUCUGUGCUAUAAGUUAUUGGCUUCAGCUUUAUUGGCAUUAAUUGGGUAGAUUAUGUGUUACAGUGAUUCAAUUUGUGAUCCACACUUUAAUUUUCUCUUUUCCCCAAUUAUUUAUGUCAAAUUCAAAUCCAGAAGCAUGCGCUGAUUUUUUUUUUUUUUUGUGAUAAUCUGUGAAGUUUAUUUGGAAAGGACGUAUCUGGGUUUAAUGGAUUAAAUUAUGACAUUGAGGGAAAGGCACUAAAGGUUUUGCUUGACACAUUUGGUCUGUGUUUACUCUGCAAUAAAUAGCUUCGCUUAUCAGAAAUCCCUAUUUGGCUGGUGAAUUUCUCUGUGACAGACAGGCAAACACCUAAACCGCUUCUAUCCAUUUUUCUGCUGGUGAGGUAAGGGGUAAAAAGUCUUCAAAAUCAUCAAAUAGUAACAUCUCUGAGAAUUGGUUUUAGAAAAAUGGAAAAUCUAGACCUACUAGGACAAAAUGGCGUCCGGUAUCAGGAGGUACCGUUUCAAGUUUUCUUGGUAAAGAAUAUAUUAAACCUGCGCAACCAGCUAAUGGCACUUUUCUGGCAUCAAAGCCAUUGAAGUUGGAUCUAAAGGAGUUUUCCCAUGCCUGCAUUGUGCAGAGAAGAAACUAAACAAAAACAAUCAAAGAAUGACCAUUUGCAGAAGGAUACGGAAGAUUUUCUAUUUAAAUUGUUAGGAGAAGGGUCCCAGCUGAACAGGGAUGUGAUUCAGGAGGUUCUCGGUAAUGUCUUAAAUAUACUGAUGCCAAUUUAAUACAUAUUGUCCUUUUCAAUGUUCUUUCUUUCUUUCUUUUUUUUUUCCUUCUUCUUCUUUUUCUUUUCGUGUGCAUGUGAUCACUGAUUUGGUAUUAUGCUUAAGUUGCAGAUAGCUGUGGAUUUGAUAUGCAAAAGGUAAGGACUAUAUCUUCCUGAUGUAGGCCUCUGCUUUUUCCCCUUCUAUGUAAUUUAGUAAUUCACAUCUUCCUUUGUGAUUGUUAUAUCAUAUCGAAGUCAAGUCUUAAAUACUGCUGUCAUAUGUGAAGGUUCAACUUGCAUUUUGAUUAAGAUCCAUUUGCUGCUGCUUCCAAAAGUGAGAAUGAGAUACUUUGGUUAAUUUCAGUGGUUGAACCCAAUAGAGAACUUUAUUUAGAUCUUCAUGGUUCAAAGGCCUGAAAAAACUUGCCCGUAAUUGUAAAAUGACAUUCUGUGCUUUUUAUGCAAUAGGGAACAGGGAAGUAGAGCUUUGGAAAAGCCUGGAUUGAUAACUAUGGAGAGACUUAUUAUUUAAGUGAUGAAAAAUUCCCAUCGCCCGCAGUCAAGAAAAUUUCAGAUAGUUAAAGACUCCAUUUUGCUUCAGCCAAAAAUGUUUGUUUCAAUUAAAGACUUGAACCAUUUUCAUUGAACCUGAUUGUGAUCCUUUACGUUAUGCAUGUUCCUCUCAAUCAAGAAAAGUUGAGGUCAUGAUUCUAUAUUUCUAUAUUGUAACUUGAAAUAAUAAUUGGUCUACUUGUUUCUGUAUCUUGAUAAUAUGAAUUUUCCUUCUCAAGUUAAUUUGUUCAAUAAAGUAAUUCUUCAAAGAAAAUAUGCCCAUUCUAUAAUCAUUUUCUUAGCUCAGAUGUUUUUUCUUCACUCUUCAGAGCAUGUCAAAACUAAUUGAUCGCUUGGCAGAUACUUUGGGUAAGAAGACAAAAUUUCUUGGUAAAUCCUCGGAAAAGGUAUGCAUAAUUCCCGAGUAUUAAAUAACCAAUAGUCAUAAUUUUUGUACAUGACUCUUUUUUCUCUUUUUUGUGGAGAUCAUUAAAAUUGGUUGAUGAUCCAUUUUGUAACAUCAUAGAGGGAUCAUCAAUUCCUUCUCUUUUCUGUGGCUAGGCAACACUUUCAGGCCAAAGUAAGAAAAUCUAUUUUAGGUAAUGUGAAAACCAACGGUAGGAUGUAAUAGUUUAUUAUGCACUGACAAUAACUUUUUGUAUGGUUGGCAGUUUAAUGAAUACAAGAGGAACUUUGUUGACAAAUUCAUCCAAGAUAGAUGCUAAAAUUAUUUAUGCAUGCCAGUUGCCUUAACUAAUUUUUCUUAACACUUGUAUUGAACAGGAAAAUGAAUAAGCAAUCUGUAUAUUGUGCCAUUGUGGAGUAUUUGGAUAUUCUGAUUUAAAUAACAAGGAGAAUACUUGCCUCAUCUUUAAAUGAGGAGUGGGGGAUUGGAAGUGUCUUCAUGUAAAUGUUCAUUUAUUUGUAUUUUGAACUAUUAUGAGAAUCUUAUAUGCCAAAUCAGUAAUACAAAUCUUCAGAUGAUUUUUGCUGUUGAUCAUGGGUUUGUGUCUGCACACAACCAUUGUAUAUCACUUUAUUCUGAUGUGCAGGUAUGUGUAGCUUAGAAGAAAUGGAAUAAUAAUCAUCUAUUAUUGCUUGGUUCAUGAUUAUUAAACGAUUAUGGCUUUAAAAAGUCUACAAAUUCCUUCUGUUCAUAUAUGAAUGUGCCAAGUUUGCUAUAUCUUAGAUUAUCUUCUUCCAAGAUAACAAGUUCAUAUUCUUUUUAAUCUUUUUCCCUCACAGUUGACUUUUAGGUGUUAAGAUUUGUUAUUAGUCCCCUGUUAUUAUGAUUUCAUAAACAGUGUACGGAUAUGUGCUCUAACUUUGGAGGACCUCCACAUGAAAGAAAAUUGCAACAAUUGAAUUCUUCCGGAGGGUAUGGUCUUUAAUUUAUUUUCUCAACUUCUCGUAAGAUUAAUAUAUUUCAUUCAGUAGGCACAGCAUGGGGGGAAGGGUUUUUAUUGAAAGAAUUCUGAUAUUUCUUAGACUUUGUUUUGGAAGGGGGGUGGAGGGAUUUCUCAUCCAUGUAUGGUUACUUGAUUAGCUUUUGACUGUAUUUCCUCAGUCAUGUAAAGGAAGAUCCAAAUACCAACGAAGGAAUAUUGCCUAGACACCCGAAAGACAGAAAUGAGCUACAGAAGCAAGUUUUACUACUUUAUUUAGUGCUCCUGAGAAAUCUGAUGGAGACCGAAUGGAGGUCCAAAGCAUUGGAAAAGGUAGUGAGUGAACCGCCGGAGGAGUUGGCACCAGAAUGCAAGGCUAAUGUGGUGCACUUGCAGCAAGAUAACCAAACCGGUAUGUGCUCUUAUAUUAACUAGACUGACUGGAUUUGUGAGUGUGUGCAUUUUUUUGUGUAUACUCUUGUAUUUAUGCAUAUUAAUGUGUGUAGGAAUUUCUGCCACUUACUGGAGAACUAGUGGAAAGCUUUAUAUCGAUAUAUCUGCAAUAACUAAUUGGAAACUAUGAUAUUAAUAUUUUCUCUCACCUGAGGAACUGUGUAACAGAUAUACUUUGUGGCUCUGGAGUACUAGAAAUUCUGCAAUAACUAAUGGAAACUAUGAUAUGAAUAUUUUAUCUCAACUGGAGAACUUUGUAACUUGUAGCUCUGGAAUGUCUAAGGAAUUUUGUCUGCUUCAGUUAGAUCAAAUAUCUUUUAGUUGCAUACAUUAUAGAAAAAGAUAAAGUUCUCUGAAUCUGAAAGACUGAAACAUUUUGUAUAUUUUGUGAAAGGGAAAUAUCUGUAGAUACUAGUUCAUGCAUUGAGGUAACAUCAAUGUUAAAGAAAAACAGCAAUAAGUUAUUAUGUGGAACUAGGUUCACUUGCUUUAAAUGCUGGUCUGGUCAACCAUAUGAACCUGUAAGUUCUGCAGAAAUAUAUAUACGGGGAGAAACUAGCUAAAUUUUCCGUUCAUUGAUGGCUUUGGUCAUUUUUUUCCCCUUAUUUUUCAGCUGUCCUUCUCCUGAAGUAUGUUAACAACUGCAGAUAAUGAUGAAGAGGACAGCUUGCAGGCUCUUCUUAGAGCCAUGAUGGAAUAUAGGGGCACAAUGAAGGAACAUUGCAAAGCUGUAGGUUCUUUUUCUCCUGUCAUUUAUGUUUUCUCACACAUUUUUUAUAUGCUCCAAGCAUGCAAUUUUGUAUGUGUCAACUGCUUUCUAAGUUUUAAAAACCAUAAUGUAAGAAUACAGUUUCUUGUCAGGCUAUUGAUGCAUUUGCUCAGGGGGAUCAUGUUCGAGCAGGAAAACUUCUAGAACAGACAAGGUUUUCCAUCUACAGCCAUCUAUUGACAACAGAUAUAUUUUCAUUCAGCAAACACUGUUAGCAUUCAAGAUACUGGCAGAUUCACUUGAUUCUUAUUAGUAAUGUUUAGUAGCAAAGGAUAUAACCUGUAUUUCAAAGCCAAGUUGUGCUAUUGAUUAUGUUAGCUUUAUUGUUCACAUAAAGUGAUAUGGAGGAAAUAAUGUGAAGUGAUAUGGAGGAAAUAAUCAAUGUAGGAAAAUUAGGUGAAGAAAUGAUGUCAAAUCUUGAACCUCUUACAAAACUCCAAGCUCUUUACUUGAAUAAGCUACUAAAUUUGAACAGGGUCCACUGGAAGGCCUUGCCAUUCUCUGAUGCAUGCAGAAUUUUUGCAUUUAAAUGCCCAGAGCUUAAGAAGCUGCCACUGGAUCUUGAAAGGGCAGGCCAAGGUAAAAUUCUUAUCAAGGGAAAGGAAGAUUGGUGGAAACAACUUCAAUGGGAGGAUCAAGUAACUCAGAAUGCAUUGCUUCCAUUUUUAAAACAACCAGCAAGUGAUUGAAGGGGGCAUCAUCAACGUCAUCAACAUGGAUGGAGAGAUUCAGGAGCAGAUCAGCAGGAUUUAGUACGACCUGUGGUGGUUUCUUUUUUGUGACUUUUUUCCCUUUCAUUUUUUCACUUCCUGUCAUAUUAUCAUUUCUUUGUCUCUGUUUCUAUUGCUGGUGUUGCUGCAUGCUUGCUGUCCUUGACAAAGUUAGCUAGUUUUUUUUUUUUUAAUUAAAUUUUGUAUGUUCGGUCGGGACAGUCACAAAGUACUACUUGUUCUAUAUGGGGGUGAUGUGAAUCAACUUUUCAAUUAUAUAUUCUGUGGUAAUUGCGAAUUCAAUUUCAUUUGUCUCCAGCAAAUUAUGAAGAAAGUGCAGAGUUACAAUAUGGAGAAGUUCACUGGCAAAUACUUUGUAAAAGCUUCGGAGUGAAACAGGAAAUGCACUUGCAGCUAAGGACAAAUUGGUGGCCAGCUAAUGCCUUCAUUUUAUGUACAUUCAUCUUUUUAAUUAUUGAAGAUAAGUGGUUCGUUGCUUUUGUUAAGAUUAUAAGUUAGCGUCGGUGCAGGAUUUGCAGCAACAAAUCUUGACUAGCCACGUGUCAAAAGCACAAAUAAAUCAAGGGAAAGCACAUGACAUGGAUUAGGAUCUAAUAAAAUUUAAAUCCCAAGGAAAAUGACAACUGCAUUAUGAAGUUUCAAUAAGGGAUACUGACUAAUGAUAUUUUUUGGCUUUAUUAAUAAAAAAAGAAUAUUUUAUAACAAAUUAAAACAUAAUAUUAAGCUAAAUGUGAUAAUUAUAUACAUUUUAAAUAAUUUCAAUAAAAAAACAUUUUAAUGUUUUACGAUCUAUCAUACAUAUUUUAUUAAAUUAAUAUGAAUUUUUUUUUAUAAAUAGCAACAUAAUAUUACAACAAAUUUAUAAGGAUUUAAAUGUAAAAUAAUUUUAGUAUAAAUAAUACGUGGGAUAUAUUUUGUAAAUUAUAAAAUUAUUUAACACAAAGUUUUUUAAAAAAUAUUUAAAAUAAAUAAAAAUAAAUUAUUCACAUCUUGAUUUAAAUAUUUAAAAUAUUUUUAUAUAUUAGUCUACAAUUAUUUAUGUUAUAUUUUUAUUUAUUAGAAAUUUUGAAAGUCAAAUGUUUUCACCUCUAAGAGAAAGACACAUAUGCUUUAUAGCUUUAAAAUCGGUCUGUUUUAUAUCUGGAAACAAAUAUAUCAUUAUUGGUAAGGAUUAAAAAAAGGGAUAAAGAAUAUUAAUGAUUAAUGAAAUCUCUAUGGAAAUUGAAUUUAGUAGGAAAAAAUUGAGCUAAAUGAUUUAGACAUUUAGUGGUAUAGUAAUAUUUUAUAUAUAGAAAUGUAAAAGCUGCACCCGAGGUUAAGGGAAAUGUUCAAAACUCUUUUUUACUCAUAAUACCCUUUGUCCUAACUAACUUACAAAUUCGACUCUAAUAUUUUAUAAUAAAUAAAAAUGUAAUCCUAAAAUAAAUAAAAUAAGAUAUAUUUUAAAAUAAUCUCAAUAUUUAAAAUAUACUUUAAUAUUUUAUAGUCUAUCAGACAUAUUUAAUUAUAUUAAAGUAAAUUUUGUAAUAAAUACAAACAUACUAUUAAAAUAGAUAUAUAAAAAAUUUAAAGUAUUUUGGAUAUUAUAUAAAAGAACUUUAAUAUUGUUAAUACGUGAGAUAUAUUUUAUUAAUUAAAAAUUCUAUUUAACCCAAAGAUUUAUUUAAGAUAAAUUAACAAUCAUAUUUGUGAAAUUAUUUCAAAUAUUAAAAAAUAUUUUAAUAUUACUAACUAUUAGAUAGACUAAACUAUUUAUAUUAUUUUCUAUUUAUUAUAAAAUUUCAAAAUUAAUCUUUUUAACUACUAUUCAAAAGAUAUUAUGAUAAAAAUAAUUUUUUUGUGUUUUUAUUAAAAAUUUGGAAUUUGCAUAACUCUUUUUUUAAAUAUUGGGGUAUAGCUGUCUUUUCCCUUUUAUAUAUACAAACCACAGUGGUGAAAAAGCUUGAUUUAAUGUUAUUUAUUUAAACAACACCGAUAUUCACACCACAUUGAGCACCAUAGUUUUUUUUUUUUUUUUGAAAAGAAAGUACACCUUUCAUUGAAUUAAGAGAAAAGAAACAAAACAUCCUCUGGAAAUUCAUCCAGCCAAAUACAAGGGUCUGACUUUUUGAAAGCCAACUUUGCCAAAUCAUGCGCUAAAAAGUUACACAUCCUAAGGACGUGCUGAGCUUUAAAAUUCUGAAAGAUUUUCUUAGCUUCUAUAAUAUCAAAAAUCACCCAAAAGGUGUCUGUCAAAGUGCUUCUCUUGUUAUUGAUUAGCUCUAUCACCCCUUUAGAAUCAGACUCUAAGAUAACUGAAGUUGCCCCUGCCUUGGCAGCUGCCUGCAUUCCCCACAAAACAGCUUUUGCCUCACUCAACUCCACAUCUCCUGAGCUCUUAAAAGUGCUAACAGCUGCAGCAACUGUUUCUCCCUUAUGGUUUUUAACUACUGCUCCCAGCCCAGCAAGAUAAUUCACCCUAUCCAUAGCAUCAUCAACAUUUACCUUAAGCCAUCCUUCUUCGGGUGGACUCCAUUGGCUUUGCUGAACAUUGUUUUGUUCUGCUAAGAAAUCCUCUUCUGACAUUGAGCACCAUAGUUAAGUACAAAACGGUGCGUUUUGUUCACGCAUGUUAGUAAACACCCACGCAACUUACACACAUACGCGCGGCUCACAACACGCGCUCUCCUCGCCCUAAAUCUCACCUGAUUGAAGCCACAAAUUUGGCCACGUUCUCCCACAGCUCUCUCCGUUCUGACCGUUUACUCUUCCUCUAGCCCCAUCGAUUACAUCUCUCAUAGCACCUCAUUCAACCGACGUAAUUGCCAGAAAACAACCUACCUGGUAAUAAAAGUCGAUUCUCUUACAAUUUUGGCCCAAAAAAAAAAAUUGCACAACUGAAAAAUCAAAAUGCCACUCUUUAAAACCAAAAAUCAAUUUUGGGCCCCCUUCAUCACCGCCUUCACUCUAGAUUUUUUCAAUCCACUUUGUCGUCAAAACCGUGGUGUUCUUAAACCAUUAUUAUAUUCACCAUCCCCUUAAUCACAUCCAACCAUCCCCAUUAUUCGUUUGUCAAACACGCUGUUCUCUUCCCAAAUUAAUUAAUUAAUUAAUGACAGACAGGAACAAAAGUACUUUAAAUCUCUGCCAAAUCGUAUUGUUAUUACUUCUUCCGAGUCGAGGCCACGUCGUUCUCGAUGGAAACCAUUGCUUUUUAUUACCACUCUUGAGGAGUUCGAAGCAUUCUCGACGGAGACCCGCGCAAGCUGUGGAAAGAGAGAGAGUCAACGGUGAAAAGAGAGCAUGGUGAGAUGUGUGAGCGACGGGGGGAGAGAGAGAGAGAAAGAAAGCCGACGGAGAGAGCACAUAGAGCUGAGAUGCGUGAGUUGGGUGAAGAUUUGGUGAGCGUUGUGUCAGUUGCCCGUGUGUUGUGUGAGCUCUGUGCCAUGUGAUAUGCGUGCUACUUUGAGAAUUUAUAGAUAGCACAAAACUCAAUCUAUAUCCAAUUCAUACCUAGAUAGAUGCGGAUUUGACUCAAUUUAUAUCCAAUUCGUCAUUUGCGAACUAAAAAUUUUUAAUUCUCUCAAAUUCACAAACUAACUAAAUAAAUAAAAAUUUAAUAUAAAAAUAACUGUACUACCGAUCAAAUUUAAAAUUAAAUAAUAUUUAAAUAAAUUAAUUGUUUAAAUAAAGUUAGAAAAUACAUUCAAAAUUUUAAAAUAUAACACAGUAAAAAGAAAAAAUCUCAUUUGUUUAGACCUAUGUAUGAAAAUUAAUUGUUUAGGAAUCUAUAUUUAUUUAUUUUUAUAUUAUUAUCGGAUAAGAUAUAAUAUGGUGUUAAUGUAACUAUAUUUUAACUUAUUUAUUUAUAAGACCAAUGCUAUAUGUACAAGUUUAAUUUUUUAAUUAAAUAAAUAUUUUUUUUUGCGGAAUUGUGGAUUUUUGCGGAUUUACAAAAGUAAAUCUAUAUCCAAUCCACCGACUAUGGAUUUUCAAAUUUUCAAAAUUUCAAAUUUUCAAAUUUUCAAAAUUUCAAAUUUUCAAAUUUUCAAUCCAAUCCAAUCCACCAAUUCACAAAUUCGGAUUUUUACGGAUUAGAUUUCUACAGAUUAAACGAAUUGAGCAGACCAUAUUUGAUUUUGAACAUUGCUAAUUUGUAUGUUAAGUAUAACAUAAUCAAUUAUUUGGAUAAUCCCUUGUGUUUUAUCUCUAAUUAGAGCAUCAAUCUUCACAAUAUCUACAAAGCUACAAUGGCUACAAAACAAACCUGCUUGCAAAUUGUCAAGGAUACUUAUCCUUUCUCUUGACAAGUCAUUUGGAAAAAUACUGUCCCUUGGCGGCUCCAUGACUUCUCUGCUCCUCCUUUUGGUCUUAAUGUACGGUUGCAUAAUGAUAGUUUAGGCCCUUUAGGGACUACUUUCCCUGGGGUUGUUAAGUCUUAGCUUGUGCUAGGCUCGUUUUUCUUACCAAAAAAAAAGGGAAUACUUCUCCUAUAAGAAAUAAUCUCUAUAUAUAGGGUGGUUGGAUUCACUUGUUUACAUAACAGAUCAAUUAGUUCUCUGUAAAUAGAGAGUUUCUAGUAUAAGAGAAACGGUAGAUCUAUUGAGAGAUUAUGUGUUAUUAAAAUUUUAGUUGCGAAGAAAAGUACUAGAGUGAUUGUAUUAAUUUUUUACAUAGUAGAUUUUUCUAUCGUCAUCUUUAUGGCUGUGAUUUUUCUUCCAUAUAGAAGUUUCUCACGUAAAUUUUUAUGUUGUGUGAUUAGUUUUAUUCUCUAUCUAUUUUUUGUUUAAUAUUUUAUUUGUAAGAUGCUGGAUGGGAUUAAAAUUUCUUAACAAAUAACGGAUUAAAAAUCAUGAAGAAAAAGCUCAAGAGAUCUUCAAGAUUUGAAGUGUGCAAAAGUUCAUAUUACUGCUAGAUGAUAUAUGGGAGCGGGUUGAUUUAGUAAAAAUGGGUGUCCCUCUUCCUAGAUCAGAAAACAGCACAUCCAAAGUGAUAUUUACAAACCCGUUCUGAGGAAGUUUGCGGCUUAAUGGAAGUUCGUAGGAGUUUUAAAGUGGCGUGCUUAUCAAAUAAAAAUGCUUGGGAAUUGUUUCUAUACAAAGUUGGGGAAGUGAAAGAAAACAGAGAUGUACUGUUUGGUUGAAUAGAAAAUUACAGAGAAAAUUCUCAAUACUUGUAUUUGAUAAGAUUCAAUUCUUAAGAGCUUUUACAAAUCAGUACAAGUAUUUAUAUUAUUCCUUACACGUGAGAAUUGCUAGUAACUCACUAACUAACUAACUUUCUUUGAGCUGGAUCACUAACACUUGACUAAUCACACUGAGCUGUUAUUCUUCACUAACAACCUUCUGCUGACGUGGCUUCACCAAGCUACUUGAAUAAUGAGCAGCCUUGACAGCCCCCCUCAAACUCAAGGGACAAGACAUGACGUUGAGUUUGGCCCUAAGAUAGUUAAAAUGGAUGAAUGAGAGUGGCUUGGUCAUGAUGUCAGCUACCUGCUCCUCACUUGGUAUAUAUUGAAUGUUUAGUUCUCCAGCAAGAACUUUGUUUCUAACAUAAUGAAUAUCAAUCUCAAUAUGCUUUGUUCUUGAGUGGAAAACUGGAUUGUGAGCUAACUCUGUUGCACUGAGAUUGUCACACCAAAUAACAGGUUUCUCUAUGCAUUGUAAUUUCAACUCAGAAAACAGUGAUUGCAGCCAGCUUAUCUCGGCACUUGCUGAGGCUAGGGACCUAUACUCACUCUCUGCACUGGACCUAGCAAUAACAGGCUGCUUCUUAGACGACCAAGAUAUCAGAUUAUGACCAAGAUAGAUGCAAUAGGCUCCAAUCGAUUUUCUGUCAUCCAGAUCCCCUGCCCAGUCUGCAUCUGUGAAUCCUGUUAGUUUCAGAUCACCAUCCUUAAUAAUUUUGAGUCCAUAGUUCUGUGUAGCCUUUAGAUAUCUGAGCACUCUUUUGCAAGCCAUAAGGUGCUGCAGUGUUGGUGCAGAAACGUAUUGACUCAGCUUGUGAACACUAAAGGCAAUUUCUGGUCUUGUUAAUACCAAAUAUUGCAUCCCACCAACAAUGCUUCUGUAAUGUGUUACAUCUUCAACAUAACAACCAAGAUUACCUUGAGCUUCCUUCUGUAGCUUCAUUCCUGUACUCAUAGGAGUAUCAAUAUCUUUGCAAUUUAUCAUCUCAACUCUUGACAGCAGAUCCCUUAUGUAUUUCCUUUGAGAUAAGAAAAUACAAUCUUUAUCAUACAGUACUUCAAUGCCUAAGAAAUAAGAGAGAACUCCAAGAUCCUUCAAAGCAAACUUUGUACUGAAUUCUGUAAUGAAUUUUUCCAGCUCAAAGCUAUUUGGUCCUGUUAUUAAAAUGUCAUCAACAUAUAUAAGAACUAGAAUCAUAGAUGACUUAUUUAUUUUCAAGAAUAAGGAGGUAUCUGAGCUGGAAUUUGUGAAUCCCCACUGCAACAAACAGCCUUUCAACUUAUCAUACCAAGCUCUUGGAGCUUGUUUAAGUCCAUAAAGAGACUUGUGAAGCUUGCAUACAAAGUCUGGUUUCUCAAAGCUGAUAAAUCCCUCUGGUUGAUCCAUGAACACUUCCUCUGUUAAGUCUCCAUUAAGAAAGGCAUUAUUCACAUCAACUUGCCUUAUCUUCCACUGAUUCAUCACAGCUAAACUCAAGACUACUCUUACAGUUGCUGGUUUUAUGACAGGACUGAAAGUUUCAAAAUAAUUCACUCCUAUAAUUUGUUGAAAUCCCUUUGCAACUAACCUAGCUUUGUAUUUAGCUACACUUCCAUCAGUGUUGUAUUUAACCCUAUACACUCAUUUGUUUCCAACAACUCUUUGAUCAUUUGUUUUUGGCACUAAGGACCAUGUACCACUCUGCAUCAAAGCUGCAUAUUCUUCUUUCAUGGCUGUAAACCAUUUUGGGUUUUGCAUAGCCUCAUAUACAGAAUCAGGUUAUUUGUGAACAAGGGUUGCUGUAUAAAGCUUUGGUUUGAAGAUACCAGUUUUGCUUCUGGUAGUCAUUGGAUGUGUAUUAGGUUGGACUGGAAAAGAUAUAUCAGGUGUAGGUUGAGCUAAUAAGGAUAUGUCAGGUGCAGGUUGUGGUGAAUUUUGAGGCUCUGUAGAUGGUUCAAUAAAUGUGGUAUGUGUUUGUGAAUAGGAAUGUUGAUUGUCAGUAUGAAAUGGAUUAUCUGAAUGUUGUGAACUGCUGCUGGUAGAAAUUGCAGAUAGAGGAUUGCAUGAGCUAUUUCCAUCUGAUACUGGUGUUGUAGAUAAUAUGGUCAGAUGAAACACUGGUUGGGGUGUAAGGGAUUGACUCGAAUAAGAUGAUGAUUCAUUAGAAUGAAAAACUGAGUCUGUAGAAUAAGGAAAUGUUGACUCAUAAAAAACAACAUGUCUGGCUAUGUACAUCUUGCCUGAUGAAUGCAAGCAUUUGUAACCUUUGUGAACUGGACUGUAGCCAAGGAAAAUGCAUUUGCUUGAGUGAUAAUCAAAUUUGUGUUUGUUGUAAUCCCUUAGAUAAGGAUAACAUGUGCAACCGAAACACUUGAGCAUGCUGUAAUCAGGUUUAAGUUUAAAAAUUGUCUCAUAUGGGGUAAGAAGUUUCAGAGCUGUUGAGGGUAAUCUGUUUAUAUGGUAAACAGCUGUAAGAAAAGCAUCCCACCAAAAUUUAAAUGGUAGCUUAGCUUGUGCUAAUAGGGUUAGUCCUAGCUCAACAAUGUGUCUAUGUUUUCUUUCUACCACCCCAUUUUGGUGAUGUGUAUAAGGACAAGAAUGUCUGAAAAUGAUUCCACAUUGGUUUAAGAAUUGAGUAAAUGAUCUGUAUUCUCCCCCCCAAUCAGAUUGCAGGUUUUUAAUGGGGCUGUCAAAUUGGUUUUCAACCUGCAAUUUGAAUAGUUUGAAUACAUCUAAUGCCUCAGAUUUCAACUUAAGAGGAUAAAUCCAAGUGUAUCGGCUAAAAUCAUCAACAAAACUUAUGUAAUAGACAUAGCUAUCUCUAGAAGGUGUAGGUGAGGGUCCCCAUAGGUCUGUAUGUAUAAGCUCAAGGGGUUUUGUUGUUUUGGUUUCUGUGCUGGGAAAAUGCAGCCUAUGGGAUUUGCCCAUUUGACAUGCUUCACAGAUAUGCUCAAGUGUUUGUUUUAUGUUAUUUCUUGAGAGAUUAACUGAAGUAAUUCCUUUUAGCAAAUGCAUUAGAAUUUGAGAAUUAGGAUGGCCAAAACGUUUGUGAAGAAGAAGAAUUUUAUUAUUCAAUGCAUCACAAGAUGAAAUGUAGCUGGAAAAUUUAUUUAUUGAUGCAUUACAAACUGUGACACAACUGGAAUCAUUAUUCUGAGUGUUUUUAAGAACACUUGAAUCAAAAGAACAUGCAGAUAACAUUGACAAAGGUUGAGUGGAUGAAGGUUGACCCAUGUAAGAACAAGGAAGAGACUCAGAUGGUCUUAGAAGUAGCUUAUACAAUCCUUUCUCAGCAAUUCCUGUCAGAAGCACUUGCCUCUUCAGAGAAUCCUUCACAUAGCAAACAUUAUCAACAAAUUCAAUAGAGAUAUUGUUAUCAGCAGUUAAUUUUGAUAUGCUGAGCAGGUUCUUUGUGAUAUCAGGUACUAAUAACAUGUCAUUCAGUAAGAUAUGUGUUGGUUUAUAUGCAGCAUUUGAUCCUUUAUAAGUAAAACAUGGAUUACCAACAUGAGUUAUAGGCAAACCUUGGCCAUUGCCGAUGACAAGUUGAUUAGAUCCUCUGAAUUCCUCUCUGACAUUCAUGUUGGCCAUACUGUUAGUCAAGUGAUGUGUGGCACCAUUGUCAAGGUGCCAUCCUUCAUCAGCAGGCCCUUCAUAGUUGGUAAGAUAGGCUUCAGGAAUUACUGUGUCUGUUGAUGGAUAAGAGGAGAAGGAUAAAGGAUUGUAGCUUGAGUAGGGUGCAGCAUACUGUUCUUCAGUUGAAGGAGCAGCAUAGGUUAGAGAUGGAUCAAAGUUAGCUGUGUAUGCAGCCUUAGAUUCAAAAGAUCUGCCCCUUCCAAAAUGCCUAGGUAAUGGUUGAGGAUUGUCAUCAUAUCUAUGCCAGCAUUCAUCUGCUGCAUGUCCUGUUUUGUGGCAUAUCUGACAUAUGGUUGGUAAUUCAUCAGCAUGCAUGUUAGCUGAAGGAUGAAAGUUUGGCUUCAUAGGUGGCCUAAAAGGUUGCAUCAUCUGGCCCCUGCCAUAACCCCCAACAUUACCAACACCAGGUGAAAAACCUCUGGGAUGUGGAUUGUGAAACAUGCCUCUUCCAACAUUAAAUCCUCUAGUCAUAGGUCGACCAUAAUUUCCAUUUCCAACAACACCUCUUCUAAAAUUUCCUCUCAUAUAAGGAUGAUUCACAUUCAUUGUGCUAUAGUUUGCAUUAAACACAGUUUUGGCACUUUGAUUUUGUUCAAGUCUAGCUUCAUGAGUCAGUAAUAAUGCAUAAGCAUCAUCAUAGCUCAUCUUAUUAGCUGUGAUUAUGGAAGCUAGAUCUAGAUAACCUGAACCUAAGCCAUUCAAAACUCUCAUUAACAGAUCCUUUUCAGUGAUUACAUCACCAGCACAAGCAAGUUUGUUGGCGAGUAAUUUCAUUUUAGCACAAUAUUCCUCAACAUUCAUUGAAUCUUUUCUUAAGAUAUUCAUUUCAUAUCUGAGUUGCAUAAUCUUAGCCUCAGAUUGAACUCCAAACUGUUUUUCAAUAGAUCUCCACACAUCAAAUGAAGUGUCAUAGCUAAGAACAGAACUAAGAAUACCUUCACUUAUAGUUGAGAGCAGCCAGCCAAGGAGUAUUUGAUCUUGUGCUCUCCAGUUGCUGUAGGCUGGAUUUUCAAUGCUCUCACCAGAUCCUUCGAUCAUUGAAUCAACUAGAUACUGUUCUGGAAUAAUUUGCGGCUCUAGAAUGAAUCUUUCAAGGCGAUUUCCUCUGAUUGAAGUUACCACUUGUUUGCGCCAAAGCAAGAAAUUUGAUCGAUCAAGUUUCACAGUUGCAGCAAAAGUAAAUGAUGUUUGUGUAUGUUGAUUUGAGUUUAUGAUUGUUUGAUUUGAGAUUGUAUUGCUUGAGCUGGCCAUUUGUGGCUCUGAUACCAUGAAAGAAAACAGAGAUGUACUAUUUGGUUGAAUAGAAAAUUACAGAGAAAAUUCUCAAUACUUGUAUUUGAUAAGAUUCAAUUCUUAAGAGCUUUUACAAAUCAGUACAAGUAUUUAUAUUAUUCCUUACACGUGAGAAUUACUAGUAACUCACUAACUAACUAACUAACUUUCUUUGAGCUGGAUCACUAACACUUGACUAAUCACGCUGAGCUGUUAUUCUUCACUAACAACCUUCUGCUGACGUGGCUUCACCAAACUGCUUGAAUAAUGAGCAGCCUUGACAGGAAGAAACUUUGAACAAUCAUCCUGAUAUCCUUCAGAAAGCACAAUAGUUGUUAAGGAGUGUGGUGGUUUGCCACUUGCACAUUUUACCAUCGGUCGAUUUAUGGCAUGCAAGAAGACACAGCCGAAGAAUGGAGAUAUGCUAUUCAAGUGUUCAAUUCGUCCGCUUCCCGUUUCCAGGUCUGGAAGAAUGGAUAUAUACUCUUGUAAAAUUCAGUUAUGAUAGUUUACCCAAUGACACAAUUACACCUUGUCUGUUAUAUUGUAGUUUAUAUCCAGAAGAUUGUUGCAUUUCUAAAGAGAAUUUGGUAGAUUGUUAGAUCAGUGAAGGAUUUUUUAAUGAGAGUGAUUGGUUUGGAGAAAAAAUCAAGGAUACUUCAUUUUGGGCAUUCUUCUUCACGUUUUUUUUUGGAAAAGGGAGGAGAUUGUGAAAUGAAAAAUGCAUGCAUGACGUUAUUCGUGAUAUGGCUUUGUGGAUCGCAUGCGACUAUGAGAAGGAGAAGGAGAACUUUUUGGUUUACGCUGGUGUUGGUUUAACUAAGGUACCGGAUAUUAGAGAUUGGGAAAAGGUAAGGAGAUUGUCAUUGAUGAAAAAUAAAAUUGAGAAUCUAUCCGAGGCUCAUACAUGCCCUCAUCUCCUCACUUUCUUUCUUGACGAUAAUGAGUUUCGGAAGAUCCCCGGUGAUUUCUUCCAGUUUAUGCCUUCUCUCACUGUUUUAAACUUGUCAUGUAUUAAACUAAAGUCAGUUCCUUUAGGGACUUCAAGGUUGGUUCCACUACAACAACUCGAUCAUUCAUAUUCAAGCAUAAAAGAGUUGCAAGAAGAGUUAAAUGCCCUGAUUAAAGUUAAAUGCUUGAAUAUAGAUCAUGUAGAGGAGCUAAUUACAGUUCCACAACAACGGAUAUUUAAUUUUUAAGGUUAUAUGUGUUGAGAAUGUUCGAUACUAUUAGUUUAAAUUUUCAAGAAGCAUUAAAUAAAGACAGCAUUUUAUUUGGUGGGGAGGAAGUUUAAGCAGAGGAGUUGCUCGGUUUGGAAUAUUUGGAGGUAUUGAGCUUCACUUGAGAGGUGUUCGUGCUCUCCAAUUUAUUUUGAGCUCACAUAAGCUACGAAGUUGUACUCAAGCGCUGUUCCUCCAAUCCUUCAAUAAUUCGAUAUGGCUUGAUAUUUCACUUUUGGCAGAGUUAAAAGCACCACUGCAGAUUUAAGUAUUUUUGGCUGUAGAAAAUUGGAGGACUUGAAGAUGGAAUAUACAGGGGGAGCGAAAAACAAGCGGCAACCUUGUGUUUUCUAAGGCCUACAUACAGUUCACAUAGAGGUUUGUUCUAAAUUGAAGGACUUAACAUUCCUUGUUUCUGCUCCAAAUCUCAAGAACUUGGAAAUACAAAAUUGCCCUGCUGUGGAAGCAAUCAUCAGUGUGGGAGAAUUUGCGGAAGCUCUAGAGGUGGUGGAAAAUCUAAACCCAUUUGCAAAACUCCAGUAUCUUGGACUAGAAAAUCUGCCAAAUGUGGAGAGCAUCUAUUGCAAGCCUCUGCCCUUUCCAUGUUUGAAAAGAAAUGACUGUGGAUAGUUGCGGUUGUCUUAAAAAGCUUCCACUCUACUCCAACAGUGUAAAAGAGUGUACAAUUGUUAUUUCAUCAUUCGGAGAGUUAAUGGUGCAAUGAGAUUUGGCAGUUAACUCUCGUGGGAAGAGCUUGAAUGGGAAGACGAAGCCACUCGAAUUGCUUUUCAUUCAUGUUUCAAAUCUCUGAUUGGAUUGGAGAUUGCAUUUCGCCUCAGGUUCGUACUUUUCUUGAAUUUUUCUUGUUAACUUCAUUUGUUCAUUUAUCCAUUUUUUUUUAAAGGAAUCAGAAGGGUUAAUAAUUUUGGUUGUGUUAGGUCGACUUCUAAUCACGAGGCAGAAGGAGUUGAGAUGAAGUUUAAUUUUGGUGGAGAAAUUGUUUGAUUUAAAAAAUUUAAAUGAGUUGACCAUCAUUCUUUAGCAUAUUUGUAUGAACAGGAGUGUGUAAAUAUGCAAACUGUCCAGCUGUAUGUGUAUAGCGUAAUAAUUUUGAGGAGUUAAAACAUUGAAGAAUAUUGAUGUUUCCAUUGUCAAACCAAAUAUACUUAAUUACUUGAGGAUAAUGAUUACUGCUAAUACAUUUGCUAAUACAUUUGCAAAGAAAAAAACAUGCCUAUUGAAAAACUCAUCUUAUUAGCAACAGCAUUAUAAGUAGUAUCCAAUCAUAGUUUCAUGCAAGAUUUUGAGAUUUUUCAAAUGCUGAUUCCGGGAAUGGAGAUUAAUAGAUAAUGGAGACAGGUUGACUGCAAUGGCUAAUUGCAAGAGGGAAUUUUAGUCGUAAAAACAGACCAACUAGCAAAGCAAAUUCCAAAUCUUGGAAUGAAGUGGCAAAAAAACGAAACAAACAAAUGGCAAGAGGAAGUGACUAUACAAUAAUAACAUCGACUUGCAAUUCAACAUUUAUACAGUUUUACUCACCAAGAAAAGAGAAAAUUACAAUAGCAAUUUGGCUACUAGAAGAUGUUCAUUCAUGCUUAUGCCUGUCAUAUGGAUUUGAAACAAGGAGUAAAAGCAUUUAGAGUGGCUUCAUCCUUCCACUGCAGCUCAUUCCACCAGUGUUGCUCUCCCCUAAUAACAAGUUUGCGUUCCUUGGCGCUGUUGUAAUCGAGUGGAAGCUUCUUGAGGUUCGGGCAUCCAGAUACAAACAAUUCUAAGAGAUUUGGAAAGUGCACUUAAAUUCUUAUGAAUUGCUUAAGUAUGCAAGCAGCAGAGCAGAAAACAAACAACCUUUUCAUAUAUUAUAAUAACAUGAAUAAUCAGAUAUACACAUCCUUCACAUAUUUAUACUAAACGUGAAAAAUGGUAGCUUGCUCAAAGGGAAAACAGAAAUGAAUAAAACAAAAGAUUACAGCUGCACUAGCCAAUCAUUGGAAACAUUCUAGAAACUCCAGCUUGCAGUAUUCACGUGUAAAUAUUCUCCUGCAUAACAGUUUUGCCAGCUCAUUGAAUACACCUCAACUUCUUCAUCAGCUGGUUGCUGGAUAUGGCUGCUCAGGUGGCAUGCCAGCAUGGCCUUUGGGUCAAUUGUUGACUCAUCUUCAUAAUCUGAAUUCUCAACACCCUCUCUCAAACUUAAGGUCUUGUCGAAGACAUUAAGUUUGCUUCUAAAUUGACUGAACUUGUAAUAAGGCAAUGGCUUGGUUAAUAUGUCUGCAACUUGAUCUCUGCUGGCUACAAAACUGAUUUCCAGCUCUCCUUGAGUGACUUUGUCUCUAAUGAAAUGAAGGUCUAUCUCAAAAUGCUUUGUCUUUGAGUGAUACACUGGAUUUGUGGCUAUUGCUGCUGCACUUGUGCUAUCACUUAAGAUCAUUGGAACUCUUUGCAUCUUGAUUUCCAAUUCACCAAACAGAGAAUUUAUCCAAGUGAUUUCAGUAGUACACAAAGCUAUGGCCCUGUACUCGGACUCAGCUGUCGAUCUUGCUACCAUGCCUUGCUUUAUUGAGCUCCAAGCUACUAAAUUGUCUCCCAAAAACACACAAUAUCCACUUACUGAUCUUCUGUCAUCUGGAUCACUAGCCCAGUCAGCAUCAAUAUAGGCUAUCAAAUCUAGAUGUUCUGACUUCUGGAACUUUAAGCACAUGUUUGCAGUGCUCUUUAGGUACCUCAACACUCGUUUGCAAGCUGUCCAGUGAGAUUGUCUUGGGUCAGACAGGUAUUGGCUAAGCUUGUUCACAGAAUAUGCAAGCUCUGGUCUUGUUAGAACAGCAUAAUGUAGACUUCCUACAACACUCCUAUAAAAUGAAGGAUUGUCAAGUUUGGUGCCUUCACCCUUCUUUAGUUUCUCUGCUGUGCUGAAAGGUGACUCUAUUCCCUUGCAAUUCUCCAUCUCUGUUUUAGCUAAUAGGUCUUGAACAUAUUUAGCUUGAGAGAGCAAAAUGGAGUUCUGAUUUCUUAUAACAUGUAUCCCAAGGAAGUAGCUUAAAUUUCCAAGAUCUUUCCACUUAACUUUCCUAUCACUUCCUCAAUACCCUUGCUGUUAUUUCCAGUCACAAUUAUGUCAUCUACAUACACAAGCACAAUGAUUAUUUCAGCACUGCUUCUUUUGAAGAAUAGAGAAAUAUCACACUUGGAGUUGUUGAAUCCCCAAGAGCACAGAGCAUUCUUUAAUUUGUCAAACCAUGCUCUGGGUGCUUGUCUCAGUCCAUAAAGAGCUUUCUUGAGCUUGCAUAUGUGGUUUGGUCUUCUCCUAUCCUCAAAUCCCUCAGGUUGUGGCAUGUACACUGUCUCUGUCAAAUCUCCAUUCAGAAAUGCAUUAUUUAUGUCAACCUGCCUCAACAGCCAAUCAUUACUUACAGCCAAAGUUAAAAUGAUUCUGAUUGUUGCAGCUUUGACCACAGGGCUGAAAGUCUCAUUAAAGUCAAGUCCUGGUGUCUGCAGAAACCCCUUCAAGACAAGUCUAGCUUUGUAUCUAUUUAUGGUGCCAUCUGGAUUUUCCUUUACUUUGUACACCCAUUUGUUGCCAAUGAGUUUGUAGUUCUGGUCAUGUGGAAUUAAGGUCCAGGUUUGGUUUUUGACAAGAGCAUUAUAUUCAUCCUCCAUUGCUCUUCUCCAUUUAGGAUCUUUCAGUGCCACAGUGGAGUCAGGGGGUAAGGAAGUUUGAGAUUGAGUGGAUAUUUGAUAAACCUUUGGCUUGCAAAUCCCUGCUUUUGACCUUGUGAUCAUGGGAUGUAAGGAGGCUUGAGUGUUUGGUUAUGUUAUGAGAGGCAAGGUGCAAUUUUCUACUGAGGUGUUUGGUGAGAGUUCAACAGGUGAGUGGUUGUCUGAUAUAGAGUUGAAGCUCAAAUUCUAACAAGCUCCAUCUUAACUAAAACUUGGGAGCUGUUCUGAGUUUCCAGCAGUGGCCUGAGAUUAACUAUGAGCUGCAUUUUGCUGUGUUGACUCAGGGGGAACAGUAGUGGAGAAAGAUACAACUUGAAAUUUUUCUAGAACUGUGGGGGAAUCAUUUUGGUCAGUGAGCCUUUGCUUGCAGAAAUUUGAGUCAUUUUGAAAAGGGAAUGAAUGAUCAUUAAAUUGACACUGGCUGAAAUGUAGAUCCUCCCAGAAUGAUGCAUGCAAAUGUAACCUUUGUGACUGAUGCUAAUGCCUAGUAGUGUGCACUUGAAAGUGUGAAAAUCAAACUUAUGCUUGUUGUAGGGUCUUAAGUAUGGAUAGCAUUCACAACCGAAAACUUUAAUUUGGGAAUAAUCUGGUUUGGUGAGAUAUAACAGCUCAAAUGGAGUUUUAUUUUCAAGAAUAGGUGAGGUUAAUCUGUUUAUGAUGUAGGUGGCAUAGCUGAAAGCUUCUUGCCAAUAUCUCAAAGGCAUUUUUGCUUGGGCUAGUAAUGUUAGGCCAGUUUCCACAAUGUGUCUGUGCUUUCUCUCCACCUUUCCAUUUUGUUCAUGUAAAUAAGGGCAUGAGUGUCUUAAGGCUAUUCCUUCUUUCUUGAGAAAGGGUUCGAAAGUUUUAAACUCCCCACCCAUGUCUGUUUGUAAAGCCUUGAUUCUUAAAUUUAGCUGAUUUUCUACUUGGUUUUUAAACACAAUGAAUGUGUCAAGGGCCUGUGAUUUUGUUGUUAAGGGAAACAACCAUGUGUAUCUUGUCUUGUCAUCCACAAAUGAUAUGUAAUAUCUGUGUCCAUGGGUAGAUGGAAUAGGUGCUGGUCCCCAGAGAUCACUAUGUAUUUGUUCUAAGGCUGUGCUGGUCUUGGUUUCAAUGCUUUUAAAGUUUAGUUUUGAUUGCUUUCCAUACUGACAAGCAUUACAGAAUGAGGGAAAUAUAUUUUUAUUUAAGUUGAGCUGAUUACAAGAUAAUAGAGUAUUUUUCAGAACUGACUCAUUUGGAUGCCUCAGCCUAUGGUGCCAGAGAUCUAUUUCAUUUGUUCUAAGAUCCCUACUGCUUGUAUCAGCUCUACUGGACUCGACAACACUGGCACCAACACUGGCACCUAAAGACUCAUUACUACUGAAAUUGAAACAUGCCAUUGACAUUGGAUUGCUAAUGCAACUUAUUGACUUGGGUAUUGGAAAUGAAGAUAACUCAGCAGCAUAAGUAACCUUGUUGCCACUCAAAUGAGUUGGCAUGCAUAGCAGCUCAUAUAGUCCAUCUCUAGCCACUCCUUUCACCAGAAUUCUCCCUUGGCUCUUGUCCUUGAUGAAGCAAACAGAUUUUUGAAACUCAACAUCAAUAUCAUUAUCAUGAAGCAAUUUGGAAACACUAAUGAGAUUUUUGGUAAUAUCAGGUACAAACAAAAUAUGAUUUAAUUUGAUGUGUUUGUGUGGACUGUAAGUGGGCAAUAUAGAAUAACCAAUGUGAGAGAUAUGAAGUUUGUUACCAUUACCAACAGUGAGCUUGUCAUUACCUUGGUACUCUGAGUUCAGGUUCAUGUUUCCAAUAGCAUUGGUCACAUGAUUUGUGGCACCACUGUCAAGGUACCAGGCAUUGCUGUUUUGUCCUUCUGUUGUGGCCAUGUAGGCUCCUCUCCUCCUAUUUAGCUGUGGCACAUAAUUUUUCUUAAACCUAUGCCAGCAUUCAACAGCUGUGUGCCCCAUUUUGAAGCAGAUUUGGCAUGGACCCUUUGAUUCAGAACCUUCACCUUCUGCAGCAGCUUUGCCUUUGCCUUUGUCUUGAAUAUUUUGAUUUCCCUGACCAUGACCACCAUUGCCACCAUUUCCAGUGCCACCACCAGGAUUUCUGAAGACUAUCCCAGGUUGUUGCUGACUGCCAAAUCUUUCACCAUUGCCCCAGUUCCUCCUGCCAUUUCUCAUCUGUGUGAAGUUAGCCUCAAGAAUCCCUGGGCUGAGAUUUUGCUCAGUCCUGGUUUCUUGGCUGAGGAGCAUGCUGUAGACCUCUGACAAUGAAGGAGUUUCUGGCAUAGAGUUAAUGUUAGUGACAACAGAGUCAUAUUCAGAUCAUACUCCAGCUAAGACACACAUAAUAAAGUCCUCAUCACUCAUGUUAUUUCCAGCUGCUCUGAGUGUAUUUAGGAUAGUUUUCAUCAUGGAGUAAUAAUCAUGGAUUGUAAGAGAGCCCUUUUUAGUGGUUUGAAUCUGUGUCCUCAAAUAUAGGAUUCUAGCUCUUGUUCUUGCACCAUACUGAUUGGUAAGAGUUGUCCAAACUUCAUGUGAAGUAGAACAAUCCACCACAGUGCCGAGGACACCCUCACUGAGAGAUGAGAGCAACCAGCUCAAAAGAAUGUGGUCCUGUUUCUUCCAGAUUUGAUAUUCUGGAUUUUGGUGGGUAACGGUAGCUUGGUUAGGUCCAGGACUGGUGAAAUAUCUGGGGGGACAGGUAUAGCUUCCAUUUAUGAAGCCUUCAAGCUCAUUUGCUCGUAUGCUGGAGACCACUUGUGAUCUCCAGAGCAUGAAAUUGUUCUGUGUUAACUUGAUGGGAGUGGUGAACACAUAUGUGUUGCUGGUGAUAUGUUGGGUAGGAGAUGGGUUCAUUAUGGUCACAUUUCUUGUGUUAUUAUCUGGAUUCUGAUUGUCGAUAUUUUCAGGUUGGUUUUGAUUCAAAUCAUUUGGUUGAUCAUCUGGAUUUUCCAGAGUUUGAUUCAUGUUUGUUUGUGAAUUUCUGCUGCUUUCCAUAGCUCAAAAGUUGCUCUGAUACCAACUUAAAUUCUUAUGAAUUGCUUAAGUAUGCAAGCAGAAGAGCAGAAAAAAAAUAACCUUUUCAUAUAUUAUAAUAACAUGAAUAAUCAGAUAUACACAUCCUUCACAUAUUUAUACUAAACGUGAAAAAUGGUAGCUUGCUCAAAGGGAAAACAGAAAUGAAUAAAACAAAAGAUUACAGCUGCACUAGCCAAUCAUUGGAAACAUUCUAGAAACUCCAGCUUGCAGUAUUCACGUGUAAAUAUUCUCCUGCAUAACAGUUUUGCCAGCUCAUUGAAUACACCUCAACUUCUUCAUCAGCUGGCUGCUGGAUAUGGCUGCUCAGGUGGCAUGCCAACAUGGCCUUGGGGUCAAUUGUUGACUCAUCUUCAUAAUCUGAAUUCUCAACAAUGCAUUCAAACAGAUCUUCUUCAAAUUUCUUAGAACUUGCAACCGAAGAUAUUGGAGUUUCGCAAAAGGUUUUAGCCCUGUAACUUCUUCCACUUUCCAAACACUGAUUAUUUCUUCCAUCUCAUAACAACGUUCUACAUGGACCAUCUUCAGAUUUGGGGCAAAAACAAGCCAUGUCAUCUCCCUCAAUUUACUGCAAUAGUCUAUGGUAACACUUUGAAGGCUGUUGAAACCAUAAGUUCUCUUGUUGUUUGAACUUCUGCAUAGUCAACCUUUAGCUCUUCCAAACUUGUACAAUACACAAAAUCUAGUUUGUCAAGAUACUUGAGAUCUGCUAUGGACAAAAUAUUCCAUGACCUUGAAUCCUCACAGCGUCGAAGCUCUAAAGCAUAUUUACAACUCUUGUACUGUUGGCAGCUCAAAAGUCUUCGUAGAGCAUAAAAACUUCUUAACGUGACGCUUAAUACAUUUAAAUGUUCCAAAGUAAUCAACUCCUCUACCAAAAUUUCACUACCACCAAAUAGAACGCUAUCUUCUGGUACUGUAUUAGCAGAGCCACAAUCUAGCAUCCUCAACACCUUUAACCCAGAAAAAUUACAAAGCAGUUGCCGUGGAAUCGUAUGGAGAUAACGCAUGUACUCCAAGUUCAAACACUUUAGAUUUUUCAAGGCUUUUAAUUCAUGUGGUAACUCUUUGAUGAAAGUUUCUGAAAGAUUAAGAUAUUGUAGUGAAACCAAUUUUGAAAUUCCUGAAGGCAAUUGACUCAAGGAGCGAUUCUUUGAUAGGUUUAAAACUUUAAGAGAAGGCAUAAAAUCGAAGAAAUCACUAGGGAUAGUAUCUAACAUAUUAAUGCCGAGGAACAAAGUUAUAAGAUGAGGGCAUAUUGGAGUUAUUGGUAAAAUCACAAUUUUAUUUCUCAUCAACGAUAUCCUUCUCUUAUCUUCCCAUUGUUUAACCUCGGGUGGUUCAGUUAAUUCAAUACCGGCAGAAACCAAAAAGUUUUCAUUCUCCACUUCACAGGCUAUCCACAAGGUCAUAUCACGAAUCACAUCAUGCAAUUUUACAUAAUCUGAUCCUGCUUCUUCCAAUAGGCAUGCAUGAACAAGAACACCAAUAAUGUAGUAUCCUUGGUUAUGUACUCCAUUAAUUCCUUCAUAUUCCUUCAGAAAACCCUCACCAAUCCAACACCCUAUCAAUUCAAUUUUGCUAAUUUGAUAAUCCUCAGGAAAUAAACUACAGUAUAACAGACAAGAUCUAAGGACGUCACUAGACAAACUAUCAUAACUGAAUUUUAAAAGACGAAACACCUCUUUCUCCAUACCUGGAAAUUCAUAAGCUGAUCUCCUUAACAUCUGAAUUGCAUAGCUCCAUUCUUCGGGUGUCUUCUUGCUGCUCAUGGCACGACCGGUGGUAAUAAGUGCAAGUGGCAAACCACUACACUCCUUUGCCACAGUUUUGGCUAACUCCGGAAUAUCGGGAUGACUUUCAAGAGUCUCUUCUCCGACCUUCUUUAGGAACAAUUCCCAAGCAUCUUGAUCUGCCAAACACUCCACCUUGAACUUUUUUUGAGCUUCCAUGAGGCCACAGACGUCCACAAGACGAGUCGUAAAUGUUGAAAGUCAUGGCUGGCGCCGGCCAUCUAGAUGGCCGGUGCCAACCAUUCAACAUUCAACACGGCCCGCCAUUAUUGGUGGUGCCGUGUUGAAUGACUCCAUAAAAAAAAAAAAAAAAAAAAAGAGCCAAAAUUUUGGCUAUAUAAAGAGGGCUUCCCACCCUCAUUUAUAAUCCAAUCUUGAGAGAGCAAUUUAGGGAGUUGAGAGAGAGUUUAAGAGCUUGCAUUUAUAAGCUCUUAUUUUAGUGAUUUGAGAGUUUGGGUGUAUUGGGGUUUUGGGUAGUGAGCUAAAAUACUACAAUACUUGUAACUCCUUUUCACUAGUAAAAUAUUUCCUUCUGUCUUUGCCCAUGGACGUAGGCUAAAAGCCGAACCACGUAAUUUCUGGUGUCCUCUAUUGUGCUUGUUCUUUAUUUUAUUUCCAAUUUCAUUUUAGCUGCGGUCCUGCUUCACCCACCAAUUUCCUAACAGUGGUAUCAGAGCUAUUGGUUGUAUUUUUGGAGUCGGGAACUGUUCACGUAAGGGGUACUAUUCACGUAUACGACACUAUUCACGUAUACUGUACUGUUCACGUAUACGGGUUUGUUCACAUAUACGGUACUGUUCACGUAUACGAUACUAUUCACGUAUACGGUACUAUUCACGUGAAACGGGGAAGCGAUCCAAGAAUUUUCCGGUGCAAAGCAGGGAAUAGUAGUGUGAGAAAAGCAACUGUGGUUUUGUACAUGUCUAGGAAAGUUCUGUCACAAAGGCGAUAAGAGCUUAAGGAGUCUGGGUUUUAAGUGGGACCAUUGUGACCCCUCCAGUCUUUCCUGGGAACUUUCCUGGUGUGCAUUCUCACACAUACUCACAACUAUUCAAGGUGGUAUACUAGCUUGUGUGCAGUAUUUAUCAACAAAAUGGCGGCAAAGUAUGAAAUUGAGAAGUUGAACGGAAAUAAUUUUUCGUUGUGGAAAAUGAAGAUGAAAGCUGUAUUGAGGAAAAAUAAUUGUUUGGCAGCAAUUGGAGAAAGGCCCAUGGAGAUAACUGAUGACAAGUGGAACGAGGUAGACGGUAACGCCAUUUCUGAUCUACACUUGGCACUUGCGGAUGGUGUAUUAUCUAGUGUGGCAGAGAAAAAUACGGCGAAGGAAAUAUGGGAUACUCUCACAAAAUUGUACGAGGCCAAGUCACUACACAACAAAAUCUUCUUGAAGAGAAAACUAUAUACUCUUCGAAUGGCGGAAUCUACAAUGGUGACCGACCACAUCAACACUUUGAAGACUCUAUUUUCACAACUCACAACGUUGGGUCAUAAUAUAGAGGAGAAUGAACGUGCAGAGCUUCUACUUCAAAGUCUACCAGAUUCGUAUGAUCAACUCAUCAUCAACCUGAUGAACAACAAUCCAGUGGAAAGUCUAGUUUUCGACAAUGUUGCAGCCUCCGUAUUAAAUGAGGAGAGCAGACGGAAAAAUAAGGAAAACAGACAAGCAAGUUCGCAGCAAGCAGAGGCGCUAUCGGUGACGAGAGGGAGAUCAACGGAACGUGGCCCCAGUGGGAGUCAAAGUUAUGGUAGAUCAAAAUCCAGAAGUAAGAAAAAUGUUAAAUGCUACAACUGUGGCAAGAAAGGGCACGUCAAGAAAGAGUGUUGGAGUAACCAGAAGAGAAGAGAGGGUAAAGAACCUGAGUCAUCAAAUGCUCAGGGGUGUGUAGCAAGUACCUCGGAUGAUGGCGAAAUUCUCUACAGUGAGGCAACAACUGUUUCAGAAGGCAGAAAACGACUUUCUGAUGUCUGGCUUAUAGACUCAGGAGCUACCUGGCACAUGACCUCUAGGAGAGAAUGGUUCUACACAUAUGAACCUAUCUCAGGAGGAUCUGUAUAUAUGGGUAACGAUCAUGCCUUGGAGAUCGCUGGUAUUGGUACUAUCAAAAUAAAAAUGUUUGAUGGUACAAUUCGCACAAUUGGGGAGGUACGACAUGUCAACGGCCUAAAGAAAAAUCUAUUGUCUUUAGGACAAAUGGAUAGUCAUGGGUACAAAACUCAUGUGGAGAAUGGAAUUAUGAAGAUCGUUAAAGGCGCGCUUGUAUUAAUGAAGGCAGAAAAGAUCAGUGCUAAUCUAUUCAUGCUUAAAGGAGAAACACUACAGGAGGCUGAUGCGUGUGUCGCGUCAAAUGGAGAAGAAUCAACGAUGAUGUGGCAUCUCAAACUCGGCCACAUGUCAGAACAAGGCUUGAAGAUUCUCUCUGAGCGAAAAUUGCUUCCGGGGCUCAAAUCAGUAAGUUUACCAUUUUGCGAGCAUUGUGUUAUAAGUAAGCAGUAUAGAUUAAAAUUCAGUAGAUCUAUUGCUAGAAGUAAAUGCAUUCUAGACUUGAUUCAUUCUGAUGUUUGGGAAUCACCGGAUAUAUCCAUGGGAGGUGCAAAGUACAUGGUGACUUUCAUUGAUGAUUAUUCCAGAAGAUGUUGGGUGUAUCCAAUUAAGAAAAAGUCAGAUGUAUUUCCUGUGUUUAAAGAAUACAAAGCGCGGGUGGAACUUGAAUCUGGUAAAAAGAUCAAGUGCUUAAGGACAGAUAAUGGUGGAGAAUAUACAUACGACGAGUUUCUUGCUUUCUGUAAGCAAGAAGGUAUUCAGAGGCAAUUCACGGUGGCAUACACUCCUCAACAAAACGGAGUAGCAGAGCGGAUGAACAGAACUCUUACAGAAAGAAUAAGAGCUAUGUUGAGGACUGCUGGUUUACCCAAUUCAUUCUGGGCAGAAGCAGCCAAAACCGCCUGUUAUAUAGUAAAUCGGUCGCCAUCUACAGCUAUUGGGUUGAAGACAGCGAUGGAGAUGUGGACUGGAAAGCCAGCUGAUUAUUCCUACCUACAUGCAUUUGGAUGUCCUGUGUACGUGAUGUACAAUGCCCAAGAAAGAACAAAGCUGGAUGCAAAAUCUAGAAGAUGUAUCUUCUUGGGGUAUGCUGAUGGAGUAAAGGGGUAUCGUCUGUGGGACCCCACUGCCCAUAAGAUCGUCAUCAGCAGAGAUGUUAUCUUUGUAGAAGAUCAACUACAAAGAAAAGAUGGAGAUGAUGGCACUGUAAAAGAAAAGUCAGAGACUGUACCAGUAUAUGUCGAAAAUAAUCUAGAAGAUUCAGAUUCUUCUGAAGCAGCACCAGAGCACGAGGAACAAGAACCAGUCGAGUCUGAGGCUCCAGAAGUUCGUCGGUCAACUCGUGAGAGACGACCACCGGCGUGGCACUCGGAGUAUGUCACAGAGAUCAACGUUGCAUACUGUCUUCUAACAGAGGAUGGAGAGCCUUCAACUUUCCAUGAAGCUUUAAACAACUUAGAUGUUGCUUUGUGGAUGACAGCAAUGCAGGAAGAAAUUGAAGCUCUACACAAGAACAAGACAUGGGAACUUGUACCACUACCACACGGAAGAAAAGCCAUUGGAAACAAAUGGGUCUACAAGAUCAAACGUGAUGGCAAUGACCAAGUGGACCGGUAUCGUGCAAGAUUGGUGGUGAAAGGAUAUGCUCAGAAAGAAGGUAUUGACUUCAACGAGAUAUUUUCUCCGGUGGUUCGACUCACAACAGUCAGAAUAGUCUUGGAGAUGUGUGCUACAUUUGAUCUACAUCUUGAGCAGUUAGAUGUUAAAACUGCAUUUCUUCAUGGAGAACUUGAAGAAGAAAUAUAUAUGCUCCAACCAGAAGGUUUUGCAGAAACAGGAAAGGAGAACUUGGUUUGCAGGUUGAACAAAUCUCUAUACGGUCUCAAACAGGCGCCGAGGUGUUGGUAUAAGAGAUUUGAUUCCUUCAUCAUGAGCCUUGGAUACAACAGACUCAGUUCAGACCAUUGUGCAUAUUACAAGAGGUUUGAAGAUAAUGAUUUCAUCAUUUUACUGUUGUACGUGGAUGACAUGUUGGUAGCAGGCCCCAACAAAGAUCAAGUCCAAGAAUUGAAGGCACAAUUGGCUAAGGAGUUUGAAAUGAAGGACUUGGGACCAGCAAACAAGAUUCUAGGGAUGCAAAUUCACCGAGACAAAAAUAACAGGAAGAUUUGGCUUUCACAGAAGAAUUACUUGAAGAAAAUCUUGCGGCGCUUCAACAUGUAAGAUUGUAAGUCAAUUUCUACCCCACUUCCUGUUAAUUUCAAAUUAUCCUCAAGUAUGUGUCCUAGCAAUGAAGUGGAGAGGAAGGAGAUGUCUCGAGUACCGUAUGCAUCAGCAGUGGGAAGUUUAAUGUUCGCUAUGAUAUGUACUAGACCAGACAUUGCACAAGCAGUGGGAGCAGUCAGUCGAUACAUGGCGAAUCCUGGUGGAGAGCAUUGGAUAGCUGUAAAGAGGAUUCUGAGAUACAUCAGAGGAACCUCAGAUGUUGCAUUAUGUUACGGAGGAUCAGAGUUUACUAUCAGGGGCUAUGUGGAUUCAGAUUUUGCAGGAGAUCUUGAUAAAAGAAAAUCCACUACUGGUUAUGUGUUUACACUUGCAGGAGCAGCUGUAAGCUGGGUUUCGAAACUGCAGAUCGUUGUGGCUUUANNNNNNNNNNNNNNNNNNNNNNNNNNNNNNNNNNNNNNNNNNNNNNNNNNNNNNNNNNNNNNNNNNNNNNNNNNNNNNNNNNNNNNNNNNNNNNNNNNNNAUAUUCUUGAUUAAUCCAUUUUCUGAAAUUUUUUAUUUUGUAUGGUCAAUUAUACCUUCAUACUAAAAAUUUCUGAUGUUAUGGGGUUGUUGGAUGUGUUUUGGAUAUUUGCAGCUAAGUUUGAGUUUAUAUCUCAACUUAAAAUUUGUAGUUUUCACUUGAAAAAAUUCAGUUAAAAAUUGAUUGGUAGAAUUGUGAAGAAGUUUAAAUUUUUAGUUCAACCCGAUUGCAUAUUUAAGAACAUCUCAAAUGAAUUGCUUACUGCUAUCAUCAUCAUAAUUGUCAGAGAUGGUUAAUUGAUAGACUAUGUGCCUGGGUCGAGCACUGGAAGCCUGCAAUGCAGACUGAUUGAUUUAUCAGUUUAACGUGUGCCAGGAAUGAAGAACUGGAAUAUCACCGUCAAGCAAGCACCCUGUGGAGCAAUACCAAAGAAUGCACAAUCCGGCUUUGCAAGGUGACACUGGAGGCUUUUUGAAAAGUGCUUCACGCUCACUUGCACAGAUUGAGCAUCCCCUCUGGAUAUUGCCCUCUCUGAUCGAGUCUGAGCACUCAAAUUUUGGUCCUCAGAGGGAGCUACAGUUUUCUCUCCAAUAACCAACAAUUUUCUAAACUCAGCACCUAGUGUGAUCAGAGUUGUUGAUAUUUAUAAAUGGAGAUCCCCAUAUUUGCAAGUGGAGACAUUUAACAAUUCACCAACAUGCUUCAUCCGGUGUACAAAAUUCUGCAGCUGAUUCAAAUCCGGAACCUGAACCAGAGUCGGAGGUAUAUCUUGAGCCAUAUCUAAAGUAGUUUGAAGUUCAAGACCUUGAGCCCUUGACAAUGGUUUUGAAAUUGGAACAUCUUGGAUUACUGCAGACUUGUACCCCUUGGUUUCAAAGGUAAGGAAAGGCAUUGCUUGAGUACAAUUUGGAGGCAGCUUCUUCACCAAUUUUAUUUGGAGGCGAUUGGCAGCGGAUCCAGCAGCACCAAUUUCAGAGCAAAUACUGACACUACUUCGAACAGCACACUGAAGAAGUGAUAUGUCUACGGCAAAGGCAAUGCAGUCCUCAUUUUGGCUUGAGAUGCAGUAAUCAUCGAAGAGAGUUUCCUUGUGAAACUGGGCAACACAUUGAAUCCCUUCGCCACUGAGAAGGUUGUGGAGGAAGUAAGCUUUCUCUCUAGUGAGGCAGAGGUGGCAUACCUUCCCCAUUUUGUCGAGGGCAGGUAGGAAUCUUUUUUCUAAGAGAUUUACUUCAUUCUCUGUGAGAAAUGCUUUGAACUUCAUCCCUCUGUCUCUAUCCUCACUUAUCAGGAAAUAAGUUGAAAGCACUACGAAGAGAGAGAGAGAGAGAGAGAGAGAAUUAAGAUAUAUAGACAAGAAAAAUAUUAGACGUUGAUCUUACAAACUAAUACUUCAAGCAGUAUCCUGGAAAGCUAAAAACUGCAAGAUGGCUUGAAAUUUGAAAAGAGCACGUGCUUUUCCUCCUUAACUUGAGAAAAUGUUUAAUAUAGUGCACCUUAUGGAAGCAUUUAAGCAAUUAGAACUUUGCACAAAAACAUCAAGAAGACUAAACAAGUCAGAUGCAGUGUAUUUGUCCAAGCACAAAUUGCAUUUUGUCCUCAACUUUAAUAUUUAUUGAUGAGAAUCAAUACAGGUCCCUCAUUUGUUAUAGAAAGCUUUCUUUCUUGUAGUCUCACCAGUUAAUUCACAGGUCUAUAAUCAUCUUGCAAAGUUAAGGGCAUUUCUUUUGAUCUAAAGUCUUUGCAUCACCACCUCAUCACACGCCAAGCCAAUAUUCCAUUUACCUCUACAACAAAAAGUUUUAAUUAAACAAUCCUAAUGCACGCAGCCAAAUAAAAUGCAGUAAGAAUAUUCAACUUAAAAAUCUGAAAGCCAACUUGGUGAAUUGCCUCCUUAGGUGAAGUUCCAUGCUUUACUAUAGUUGACAGAACUCAGCAAAAGCUUCCAUACAACAGAUUUUGAAAAUGAUGAUGCCAACAGAUACUCAUUCAAUCCAUUGAAACUCCAAAGGUUCAUUGUUCAUAGAAGUUUACAAAGUUUUGGUCAUCAAAUAGCUCAGACCUAAUCCCAAACAAAAAAAGAGUGAAAAUUAGAUCACGAGCAGCUAAUUGUAAAUUCUAACUUAACUCUUCAUCUCCUUUGUAAACAAGAAACAAAAUGGAGACACGCAAAAUGAAUAUGGAGAAAAUUUGAACUCAAAUGAAAUGAGGGCACGAAAGCAAACAAAUGGCAUGCACAAAAAAACCAAGCCUCAAUCAAAAACUAAUUAACCAUUAAGAAAAAAAUUGGUCAGACAAUGAACUCCAAAUUCAGGAGUCAAGCAAGAAGCUUUCAUUAUUUCAGAAGCUCCUGUACAAAUUAAUAAGUUAUGCUCUUUGGAAGCAAAACCAAAUUCCAAGAGAAACAGAACCCAAAAAAUUUGCAAUUAUUCGCAAAGGAAGUGAAGCACAGGAUUCUAUCACACAUAGGAAUUUUAUAACAAGAGAUCGAUAUAUCGAAUUAGAAAACUCAAUUCGAAUUUGUGUGAAAAAUCAAAAUUAGAAGAUUUCACAUUUCGAGAGGAACAAGCAACAGAUGAGUUUAAUUUCAGCCAUAACAUGCUAAAAAUGCUACACUUAACGGUUCCUUGUCAGCUAUUGAUGCGUUCGCUCANNNNNNNNNNNNNNNNNNNNNNNNNNNNNNNNNNNNNNNNNNNNNNNNNNNNNNNNNNNNNNNNNNNNNNNNNNNNNNNNNNNNNNNNNNNNNNNNNNNNAAGGGUCAUGUUCAAGCAGGAAAACUUCUAGAACAGGUAAGGAUUCCAUCUACAGACAUCCAUUGACAGCAGAUAUAUUUCAUUAAGCAGACACUGUUAGCAUUCAAGAUGCUGGCAGAUUCACUUGAUUCUUAUUAGUUUGUUUAGUGGCAAGGCAUAUAACCUGUAUUUCAAAGCCAAGUUGUGCUAUUGAUUAUGUUAACUUUAUUGUUAACAUUAAGUGAUUUGGAGGACAUAAUCAAUGUAGGAAAAUUAGGUGAAGAGAUGAUGUCAAAUCUUGAACCUCUUACAAAGCUCCAAGUUCUUUACUUGAAGAAGCUGCCAAAUUUGAAGAGCGUCUACUGGAAGGCAUUUCCAUUCCCAGAUGUAUGCAGAAUUUUUGUAUUAAUGCCCAGUUCUUAAGAAGCUGCCACUGGAUUUUCAUGGGGCGGGCCAAGGUAAAAUUCUUAUCAAGGGAAAGGAAGAUUGGUGGAAAGAACUUCAAUGGGAGGAUCAAGCAACUCAGAAUGCAUUGCUUCCAUUUUUCAAAUCAACUGACAAGUGAUUGAAGGGGGCAUCAUCAACAGAGAUGGAGAGAUUCUGGAGCAGAUCAGCAGGGUUUGUAUAUGAUCUUUGGUGGUUGCUUUCUUUUGUGAUUUUUUUUUUCUCAUUUUUUUACCUUCCUGUCAUUUUAUCAUUUCUUUGUCUCUUUUUCUAUUGCUGAUGUUAGUGUAUGCUUACUGUUGCUUGACAAAGUUUGCUUGCUUCUUGUUUAUUAAAUUUUUUAUGGUCACAAAAUAUUACUUGUUCUAUUUGAGAGUGAUGUGAAUCAAUUUUCAAUUAUAUAUUUUUUGGUCAAUGUGAAUUCAAUUUCAUUUGUCUCCUGCAAUUAUUAAAAAAAUGCAGUCUCAUAAUAUGGAAAAGUCGACCGGCAAAAAUUUUGUGAAAGCUUCGGAGUGAAACAGGGAAUUCACUUACUACUAAGGACAAUUGGUGGCGAGCUAUUCCAUUCAUUUUAUGUCCCUACAUCUAUUUAAUUAUUAAAGAUAAGUGGUCCAUUUGUAAAUUUCAGAUUGUGUCUCUCUGAAAAUAACAAUAUUUAAAAUGUCUCUUAAAUUAUUAUAAAUUUUAAUUCACUCUCGAUUUAAAAUGGAACAUGCUGAUGAAAAUUUUUUUCUUCUCAAUAUUCAAUAAAAUUGAAAUAAAUUGUGUUUGCAGUAUUUUGAAAUAUUUUAAAGAUUAUUAUUUUAUAAGAGAGUAAUAUGAAAUGAAAUUUACUCUUCAUGCGUGAAAUGUUGAAAAGGACAAAGGAAAGUGUCACUGCUUUUAUUUUAUUUCAAAGUGGAGUCAUCUCACAUACUUUACCUCUAUCAUUACAAUUUUUCACGUUACAUUUUGAUUUAUUUAUUUCUUUUAACACAUGCAUGUGGGUUACUUUUCCGUAAGCUCCUUAAUAUAUGUUUAACACAAAUCAUGGAAGAGAUGGGAGUAUAUCAAGAUGAUCAAAGCAUGAGACAAAAAUAUUUAAGAAGUAAAACACUGAAAAUAGAGGAGAGAUGCAAGCAAAAGAUAUUCCAAAGAAAAGCAAUCUAUCCCCUUUCGAGGGCAAACUUAAUCAGGUUUAAGAAAAGUACAUGUUUUGGAUUGGUAGUUGCAGCCUUGCAGGAUAAUUGUUUUUGCCAUUAUAUUAGUUGGAGGAGUUGAACCCAGCGAAGAAUGUUAUGGAAGAGCAAAUUAAUGAUAUUUCUGAUAGAGUCUAUUUGAUUAUGUAGCCUGAAUGGAUGUCUUGUUGAAAGAUAUCUCAGUGCAUUAGUUCAUCCUUGUCUGUCAAUGUGUUUUUAAUGGUUUUUCCAAUUGUUUAUUAUUAUAGAUUGAUUGUAAAUUUAUAUGAAAAUUUGAUAUGAAUUUAAUGUUGAAAUGUUUUCUCUUUAGUGGAAUGAAUUUAAAUUGAUUGAUUGUAAAUUGAUAUGAAUUUAAUGUUGCAAUGUUUUCUCUUUAGUGAAAUGAACUUAAAAGUGUAAAAGAUUAUUGCACACAUAGAAAUAAACAUAUAUGCUUUAUAGUAUAACUUUAGCAAUCGAUUCUUUUACGGCUGGAAACAGAGAUGAUGAUUAUCAUAGGGGUGAAGAAAAGGACAAAAAAUAUUAAUAAAUGAUCUUAAUGUUCCACAAAAGCAAAUCGUAAUAUUCCACAAGAAAAAGCAAGAUCUUAAUGUUCCACAAAAGCGUUAUUUAUUUUUUUUGGUGAGCCACGUGGAGCUCAAUUAUCAUUGUCUUUACUUUAAAAACGUUAUUUUAUUUUAUUUUCUUACAAAUUAAUGCUAACAAGAAAAAGCAAGAUAUAAUAUUCCACAAAAGCAAAUCGUAAUAUUCCACAGAGGAAUAAGAUCCACAAAAGCAAACAACUAGCUGGAUUCUUUUAUUAAACUACAAAUUAAAGUGGAAUCGUUUACUAAACAACAAAUUAAAGUUCAAAUAUUUAAAUAGUAGUGCGUUAGACGAUUAGGCUCUUUUAUUAAAGUCAAGUAUAAAGUAGUCCAGAAUCGAACAUCUCUAUUGUCUAGUCUUUUUUUUUUUUAAUUCUUCUUUUAUUAUUUUUCAGAAUAUGUUUUGGUGAUUACUAUUGGGUUAUUAUUCAGAGUUAUUGUUAUCUUCCGGGGCAGUUUCUGUUCAUCGAAAUCGUUAAUUAAAAUUUUAAAACUCUUAUCGGAAGAAUGUUUUUCCGUUAUUUUUUUAUAUUCUAAUUUCAAUUGUAAGAAGUAGUCAUUUUAGAAUUUGGGUCUUGAAUCGAAUUUCAAUGCAUGAAUUAAUAUUUUAAAAAAAUUUACUACAUGCAGUUUAGGUUACAAACUAUUUUUUGCAAAGUUGACUAUGAAAUUGGAGAAAUUAAGUAAUUUAUAAUGUUUGCAAAGAAAGAGACCAACAUACUUCCAAUUACACUAUAUCUCAAUUAUCAUAAUGUUAAGAUUAAACUAACUUAAAAUAAAAUUUAUUUAAAAAGUUUAUCAAACGCAGUCUAAUUUUAUUAACUUGAAGAGAUAAUAGUUAUAGAAAUUAUUAUUCUAACUUAAUUAGUAAAAGUGGUAUAAAGGUUAAGUGUGCACUAAAUCUAUUUAAAUUUUUUUCCAGUAUAACUAACAGAGGUCAUUACUAGAAUUAUAUUACUAGUCUAUUAGAUAGAAAAAAUUAUUUAUAUUGUUUUAUAUUUAUUAAAAAAAUUUAAAGUCAAUCUUUUUAAUUACUAUUUAAAGGAUAUUAUAAUUAAAAAAAUUUUAAUGUCUUCAUUAAAAAUUUAAAAUUUUAUAUGACCGUUAUCUAAAUAUUUAAAGUGUAACUGUCAUUUUCUCAUAUAUAUAUAUAAUUUCAUCAACCCCUUAUACUUUAUGUUAUUUAUAUUUUAUUCAUGAAUAUUAUAAAUUUUUUGAAAUAUAAAAUUUCGUUUAACCCUUUAUACUCAAUUUUAUUUUAUUAAAACCCUAGAGUAUGAAUUCGUCCCUAUAAUAUUAAAUUCUCAAAAUAACUUCCAUUUAAUUAAAAAAUAUAAUUAUUAUUAAAUGAAUUAUAAUUAUUAUUAUUAUGUUAUUAUAAUCAUAAAAAGCGAGAUCAUAUUCCACAAAAGCAUAAGUGACAAAACAACCAACUGGAUUCUUUUAUUAAUCAACAAAUUGUAUAGUCUUUUUCAAAUUGUUAUAAAUUGGUGGCCCCUACAAUCCUCAAUAAUUGUACCGAAAUUCACAAGUUGGUGGGCCCUACAAUUCUGUUCCGAUAAUUUAACUGUGCAAGUGCUCAUUCACAAUCUUCCAGGUCAUGCUCUUAACAAUUGUUUUUUCUUUUCUGCACGCCCUUUCAUGCUCUUAAUAAUUGAAGAGCAUACUUUUCAAAUGUGAAGCCGCAUCUAAUGUCGCUAAUUUAAUUUGGGAUUAAAUUACGGGACUAUUAUAUUGCAGUGUGCACUAAUUUUUAUGUUUAUCUAAACUCUUCAAAUUUAAAACAUAUUAUGGCAUAAAUAAGAAUGUAACAAUAACAAAAGAGUAAGAAAGUGUAGAGAAAAUCUUGCAGAAAUAUAAAUAAUAUUUAUUUUUAAAAUAAUAUUAAUAUUUAAAAUAAUUUUUAAUAUUUUAUGGUCCAUUAGAUAUAUUUUAUUAUAUUAAAAUAAAUUUUAUAAUAAAUAAAAACAUACUAUUAAAAUGAAUAUAUAUAGAAAAUUUAGAGUAUUUUAAGUAUUAUAUAAAAUAAUUUUAAUAAAAUAUGUGAGAUAUUCAUAUUUUAUUAAUUUAAGAUACCAUUUAACCUAAAGAUUUAUUUAUGAUAAAUUAAUAAUUAUAUUUUUGAAAUUACUUCAAAUAUUAAAAAAAUUAAUAUUACUAAUAUAUUAGAUAGAUUAAAUUAUAUAUAUUAUUUUUACUUAUUAAAAAAAUUUUAAAAUUAUUUUUAAUUACUAUUCAAAAAACGUAUUCAAAAAACAUAAUGAUAAAAAAAUCUUAACAUCUUUAUUAAAAAAUUAAAAACUUAUAUGAUAAAUUCUCUAAAUAUUUACGGUAUAUGUGAACCACGGUGGAUAAGCUUUAUUUAAUAUUAUUGAUUUAAAUAAUAUGUCAAUUAAAAAUGUACAGAGAAGAAAUUUCGGUGGGUAUUUUAGUCUUUUAAGCAAUUAUCAUGAUCAGAUCAGCCUUUAGCCUUCAAACGUCGGUCAGAAAAGUUUUAAAAUUAAUGCUAAAUUGUUUUUCACUUUUAACGUUGGUGGCCUUGAAAUUGCUUGUAUUUUAUUAAAAAUUAAUGCUAACAAGAAAAAGCUAGGUCAUAUUCCACAAAAUCAAAAGUGACAAAACAACCAGCUGGUUUCUUUUACUAAACUACAAAUUAAAAUAAAUUUUUUCGAUAAAUUACAAAUUAAAGUGGAUUCUUUUGAAUACAAAUGGGACAGACGAUUAGGCUCUUUUUAUUAGAGGCAAGUAAAAACUAGUCAAGAAUCGAACAGUCUUUUUCCAAUUCUUGUUUUAUUAUUUUUCAAAACUAGUUUUUGGUAAUUACAACCGGGUCAUUAAUCAUUAUUCAGAGUUACUGUUAUCUUCGGGGGCAGUGGGUAAAAGAUAAUUACUAACUGUUUUUCCUUCAAAAGUUAGCGGCUCAUGUUUGCAAGUGUGAAUGUGCGAUGCUCUUUUCUUAAAGGCCAUUACAGUGGGGCCCGAAUCAGACGUGCCUAAAUCUUUUUAAAAUUUUUGCCGUAUAACGAACAGAGGUCAUUACUAAAAUUUCUCUUCCACAGCCUACAGCAGCUUCAGUUUAUCAAACUCCAUCAAUUUUCUUUCUUAACAAAAUUCCAAAGAUGUGUAGCAUUUUUCAGAUCACAUGCGAUGGUGCUCUUUUCAAUCGUUGCUUGGAUUGCUUUCUUGGAAAAGCAGCAUACAUACGUAACCUCCAAGAUAAUCUUGAUGCCUUGGACACUGAACUGGGAAGACUAAUCGCUAAAAAGAACGAUGUGAUGAGGAGGGUUGUCGACGCUGAACGACAACAAAUGAGAAGGCUGGACGGAGUGCAAGUGUGGGUUUCGAGGGUGGAUGCUGUUAAAACUGGAGCCGAUGAACUUAUCACAGACGGCUCUGAAGAAAUUGGCAAAUUAUGUGUUGGAGGCUACUGUUCCAAGAACUGCAGGUCAAGCUACAAGUUCGGAAAACAAGUGGCUAAAAAGCUACAAGAUGUGAAGACUUUAAUCGCCGAGGGAGUUUUUGAGGCGGUGGCUACUGAGGUGGUGCCCGAGAGAGCUCCGGAACCUGUAGCAGAUAAAAGACCCAUUGAGCCAACAAUAGUAGGCUUGCAAUCACAGCUUGAACAAGUUUGGAGAUGUCUUGUAGAAGAAUCAGUGGGAAUCAUUGGCCUAUAUGGUAUGGGCGGUGUUGGUAAAACCACACUAUUGACCCGUAUCAACAAUAAAUUUCUUGAGAGUCAAAACAACUUUGAUUGUGUGAUUUGGGUCGUAGUUUCAAAAGACCUGCGGCUUGAAAAAAUUCAAGACGAUAUUGGGAAGAAGAUAGGUCUGUCUGAUGAUUCAUGGAAGAAUAAAAGUUUUGAAGAGAAAGCUGUGGACAUCCUGCGGAGAUUAGGAGAGAAGAGAUUUGUAUUGUUGUUAGAUGAUUUAUGGGAGCGGGUUGAUUUAACAAAAGUGGGCGUUCCACUUCCCAGCGCACAAAAUACUACCUCAAAAGUCGUAUUCACAACCCGUUCCAUUGGUGUUUGUGGCAGCAUGAGAGCUAGGCCGGUUAAAGUGGCAUGCCUAUCAGAAAAGCAAGCUUGGGAACUGUUCCGCGAAAAUGUUGGGGAAGAAACUCUUGAGAGUGAUCAUGAGAUCGUUGAGCUAGCCCAAACUGUGGCCAAAGAGUGUGGUGGUUUGCCACUCGCACUUAUUACUAUUGGUCGAGCUAUGGCCUUCAAAAAGACAGCCGAGGAGUGGAGUCAUGCAAUUGAUGUGCUAAGAACAUCAGCUUCUGAGUUUGCAGGUUUGGGAGAGAAGGUGUAUCGUCUUUUAAAGUUUAGCUAUGAUAGUUUGCAGAAUGAGACCAUUAGAUCUUGUUUCUUAUAUUGUUGUUUAUAUCCCGAGGAUUAUGGCAUUCUUAAAUGGGACUUGAUUGAUUGUUGGAUUGGUGAGGGAUUCUUGGAGGAAUCUGACAGGUUUAGUGCAGAAAACCAAGGAUACUACAUUGUGGGCACUCUUGUUCAUGCGUGUUUGCUAGAAGAGAUGGAAGAUGAUAAAGUAAAAAUGCAUGACGUUGUUCGUGAUAUGGCUCUAUGGAUAGCUUGUGAAAUUGAGAAGGAGAAGAGAAACUUUUUGGUUUGUGCAGGUGCUGGAUUAAAAGAGGCACCGGAUGUUAAAGGAUGGGAAAAUGUGAGAAGAUUGUCAUUGAUGCAAAACCAAAUUAAAACUCUGUCAGAGGUUCCCACAUGCCCUCAUCUCCAUACUUUAUUUCUUGCCUCUAAUAUGGAGUUGGAGAUGAUCGCGGAUGGCUUCUUCCAAUUUAUGCCUUCUCUCAAAGUUUUGAAGAUGUCACGCUGCUGGAAUUUUCAAUUACCUGUUGGGAUGUCAGAUUUGGGUUCAUCACUAGAACUUCUUGAUAUUUCACAUACCACCAUAAGAGAGUUACCCGAAGAGUUAAAGUUGCUGGUAAAUCUGAAAUGUUUGAAUUUGAGGUGGACAGGUGCGUUAAUUAGAAUUCCACGGGGACUAAUAUCAAAAUUUUCAAGGUUACGUGUGUUGAGAAUGUUGGGUACUGGCGGGUUCAUUUUUUAUGAAGCACCAGAAGACAGCGUUUUAUUUGGUGGGGGUGAAGUUUUGAUACAGGAAUUGCUCGGUUUGAAAUAUUUAGAGGUAUUGGAGUUGACCUUGGGAAGUUAUCAUGCUCUCCAAAUUCUUUUGAGCUCAAAUAAGUUAAAAAGUUGUAUUCGAUCUCUUUACCUCUAUUUGACCGGAGAUAAAAAGUCGAUUAUUGAUGCUACGGCUUUCACAGACCUAAACCACCUCAAUGAAUUAUGGAUUGAUAAUGGAAUUGAGUUGGAAGAAUUGAAGAUUGAUUAUACGGAGAUAGUACGAAAAAGGCGGGAACCUUUUGUUUUCCACAGCCUUCACCUUGUUACGAUAUAUAGUUGCCAUAAAUUGAAAGAUUCGACAUUCCUCGCUUUUGCUCCAAACCUCAAGUCUCUUUCGCUAUUCAAAUGCCGUGCUAUGGAAGAAAUAAUCAGCGUCGGAAAAAUUGCUGAGAAUCCUGAGAUGAUGGGACAUANNNNNNNNNNNNNNNNNNNNNNNNNNNNNNNNNNNNNNNNNNNNNNNNNNNNNNNNNNNNNNNNNNNNNNNNNNNNNNNNNNNNNNNNNNNNNNNNNNNNNNNNNNNNNNNNNNNNNNNNNNNNNNNNNNNNNNNNNNNNNNNNNNNNNNNNNNNNNNNNNNNNNNNNNNNNNNNNNNNNNNNNNNNNNNNNNNNNNNNNNNNNNNNNNNNNNNNNNNNNNNNNNNNNNNNNNNNNNNNNNNNNNNNNNNNNNNNNNNNNNNNNNNNNNNNNNNNNNNNNNNNNNNNNNNNNNNNNNNNNNNNNNNNNNNNNNNNNNNNNNNNNNNNNNNNNNNNNNNNNNNNNNNNNNNNNCACUGUUUUUAUUUCAGUCUCUCUCUCUCUCUUUGUCUCUGCUAAUCACAAUUAAAUGUGAAUUAAUGGAAUUAAUGCUUCAUAAAUUUGCCGGCACUGCCAUUACUUUUUUUUUUUUAAUACAAAUUGAUACUUUAUUUAUAUCUUCUUAGCGAUUUAAUUUCCUGUCAAUUGACGAACGAGAAGAACAUAUGACUUGAACCAAUGCUCGCAUAAACUUGCUGUAAAAAGAUAUAAUCUCACUGAAAUGCACACGCCUAGAAUGAAUAGAAUUAAAACAGGGAAAAUAUUAAGUAUAUUAGCCCUCUUUACCGAAAAUCAAAUGACAAUAAAUUUUUUGAAGUUUUGAUUUUCUAUGGUCAAUUCCACCUUUUGCAAUUUCUUCUGUUCUAACAAAAACCAAUUUCUUUGUUCAAGUAUUUUCGUUUGGGUAUUAAUAAUUCUCCACCGAAAGAGUGAACUCUUGCUCAAGGGAUCUCUAAUCAAUAGCCGGAAGGGCGCCGAGACCUGAUCGGACCUAGGCCCAAGUUUGGUCUUAAAGCCUGGGCUUGAGCCUGGCAAUUAAAUUAAAACAGUAAUUGAUUUCUUGAAUGAAUUGUCGUGUAAUUGAUUUAUGGGGGAUGACACAUCAACAUACUUGAAAAUACACUAAUCUCAGCAUCAUCCGUUAAUAACUUUUAGAUUUAUGGGCAAUCAAUAGUUAAAUUAGUUGUCAUUAAUACUAAAUAAUUUUUACUUUUUUUGUCUCUUCUAGAGGAUCUUCUAGAAAAAUGCAUCCACAAUUAAAUUUAAUACUUUACAUAAUAAAGAAAGCAUAAAUGUUAAAUUUAAGAAACUGCAUUGUAUUUCAGCUGAAGUUGACUUUAAUAUUUAGGGUAGAAAAAAAUUAAAUCCUUAAUGUGUUUAAUUUAUAUCACUUGUGUCAUUAAAAUUUUCUAGUCACCCUAACCAAUUACAUCUCAACCCACUUUUUUUUGGAUGAUUUUAUUUUUAUACUAUUAUUUUCAACAUUUUUUUUUCCUUUUAACACCAACAUUAGUGUAUGUUACGUAACAUAAUCCAUAUUUGGAUAAUUUGAAAUUUGUUUGUGUUUUAUCUCAAAAUAGAGCUUCAAUCAAUUUGUACCUCAUAAAUUCACAAUAUCUGGCAGGGCUAAUAAGACCAAACUCUGGCAUAUUAUCAAAUGUGCUUAUCCUUUUGCUUGACAUGUCAUUUUAAAAUUGUCAUUCAAUGCCAAAAAAAUCACAUCAACUGAUGGCCGACUACUUUAAUUUGAAAGCAUGCAUGCGAUCGCCACCAAUAAUUAUAACUUAAUUGUUAUAUUGAAAUUUUUUUCUUUAUAAUUUUUAAGUUUAAUACUGCUACAUGUGCGGCACAUAAGUUGGAAAAUAUAACAUAAAAUUUGAAAAAUGUGUAGUUUUCGUUCCUUUUUUUUCUUAAAAAUGGGGAAAAAGAAUGUAAUUUUGUUUAAAUUACUGUUGUGAUAACAAUUAUUAUUUUAUUGAUUAAUUGGCAGAGAAUCGUUAUGGUUUCGCAUGGUUGUUAAAACAUUGGAAAAUCCACUACAUCAUCCGAUAAUAACUUUCAGAUUUAUGGUUAAUCAAUAGUUGAGAUUUGUUAUCAUUAAUGUUAAAUAUUUUUUUAAUAUUUUUUCUCUCUCCUAGAGGAUCAUCCACAGUUAAAAUUUAAUAUUAUAAAUAGUAAACAAAGUAUAAACGUUAAAUCGAAGAAACUGCAUUGCAUUUCAGCUGAAGCUAACUUUAAUAUUUAACAGAGAAAAGUAAUUAAGUCCUUAAUGUGCUUUAUUUACCCAUAUAUAUGGCUAAUUUUUUAAGAUAAAGGGGAAGGAUGAUGCUCAAAAAUAUAAAUUAUAGAAUUAAUUGAGCUCUCAAGUAAGUUUAAAGUUCAUUAUUUUUAAUUACAUGUUUAUAAUUUAUUUUUAUUUCGUAUUAAUCUAUAGAUCUAAAUCCACUUUGGAUUCAUAUACAUAUAUAGACAUAAUGUGUAUGUUAAUCUAUAGGUCUAAAUUCACUUUAGGUCUAUAUAGGUAUUUUGACAAAUGUACUCCAAUCAUAUUGGCAAGUUCUAACUACUAUAUUGGUAUGUCAAUAUUAUCUCUAAUUGCCCUAUACAUUCAGAAAUAAUCUAGAUAUACAAAUUAACAUAAAAUAAAAAUAAUUGGUAGAAAAUAUAAAUUAUAAACAUGUAAUUGAAAACGAUAAACUUUAAAUUUACUUAAGAGAGUAAUUAAUUUCAUAGUUAAAAUCUUUAAAUUUUACCCCUCAUCUUAACUUAAGAAAAUUAAUCACUUAUUUUAUUUAACAAAGAAGAGAUUUUUUUCCCCUAUAUUUCCCAAUUAUUUCUCUCCCUCUCGCUCCCGUAAGUUAUACAACUUGAAGUGAAAUAUGAGUGGUCUGAUUCUAGCUUAAAUAAUUUAUUGUGACAUGCUAUCUAAGGACAAUACAUUACCUAGCUCUACAUAUUUUAUUUAACCUCCGGCUCACCCUGUGCAAACUUGCCUUCCCCUACAAGACAAGAUUAAUCAAUCUAUCAAGUCUCAAAUUCAAUUUGGAAUAUGACCAUCGUACGUUCUUGUUCUUCCCUCUUUACGAGUGCAUUCCCCCCAACCUCAAGCUCCCUCUCUCGUCUUCAAUGUCACUGCCUAUAUCCUUGUGUUGUUCUAGUUUGAAAUAGUGGCUUCCACAAUUUCAGGGCCCCCAAAAAUCCAGAAACAUAGUAUUCAUCACGAUGACAAAUUUUUUGGCAGGCAGGUGCUUCCUGACUUUCACACGGUAAUUCUCAAAUUCUGAUUUCACCAUAUUUUAAUUACUGAUUAGCAUAUAUUCAAGUGCUCUCCAUUAUAAUAGAAGCCGCCGCCUCACUCGUGAUUCCAAACUUUAUCUUUUUUCCUUUUUUAAAUUAAUGCAAGUAGCCGCUGUCCUUUUUAUUAAUUAAUUAAUUAAUUCGGCCGCCCACAUUUCUUUUCCUAAUGUCUUCUACUGUCGAUUUUCUUUUAUUUUCUUUUUAUUCUUAAAAUAUGCUUAUAAUAAUAAAAUAUAAAAAUUAAAAUUAACAUAUCAAAAUAUAAUUUAACAGAAAAUUAAGAUAAAAAUAAAAAAAAUAAAUUAUGAGCAUAUCAAUCAAUAAAUGAAAAAUAAUAAUUUUUAUUUUUAUUAAAUAUAUAUUUUUCAGUAUUAAUCAAUUAUUUGAAUAAAUAAAAUCAUUUAAAAAUAAAUAAAUAAAUUAUUCUUAAAAAAAAAGAAACUUUUUAUAACACUCACUAUGCUGGUUGUAGGGUAGACGCUUUGGGAACUGAAGCCGGUAACUUCUACAAGUAGUCUGAAGUUGACUGGCAACAACUAUAUUGACAUUUAGACAUAAUGUACUCCAACCGUAUUGGUAUGUUUAAAUGUUCUUACUAUUGUAUUGGUGUGUCAAUAUUAUCUCUAACUGCCCUAUAGAUAAAAAAAUAAUCUAAAUUUAUAAUUUAACAUAAAAUAAAAUAAUUGGUAGAAAAAUAAUUAUGGUUCAUUUACUUAUCAGUAAUCAGAAUAGACUAAAAUCGAAAUGAGUUGUAUUACCGUUGAUGUGUUUAUGUUGUCCUGGAAUCGGAAUGAAUUAUUUUAAGUUACUAAAAUAUCCUUGGUUUGUUAUUCUAAUUAUUAUUUAAUAUUUAUUAUAAUAUUUGUCAUAUCAUUAAAAAGAAAUAAUAAUGAUGAUAAUAUUAUCAUUAUUGUUUGUUACAUUAUUAUUAUUCAAAAAAAUUAUUGUUAAUAAUAAUAAUUUUUUUAUUUCAAUAAUAAUAAUGAUAAAAUUAAUAAUAAAAAACAUGACAACAACAAUAAUUAUUUAUUAUGCCAAAAAAUAACAAUAAUAAUAAGAAUAAUAAUCAUCAUCAUUUUUUUGCCAAAGAAAUCAUCAAACCAGACAAGAAAUCAUCAAAAAUUGCUAUUUCAAUUUAGGAAGAAGUUCUUUCGGUGUGCUAGCGAUGGGAGAUGUUGUGGCUGCGAUUCGGGGAGCUAAUAGUUUAUUGCACUAAUAACGGCAGGUGCUGCUGCUUGAUGCGAGGUCCAUGGCCAGUUGUCAGCAGUUCGACUUUGGCAUGGGCGCUGCUGGUUCGAUUUUAGGUGUUGUCUAAUUUCAUUUUCAGGAUUUUAAUUUUAUUUUUUUCUUUUAUAUUUUCAUUAAUUAAUCAGGGCAAAGUUUGAUUUUAGAAUUUGGAAUGAAGGUAAUUUUGUUAAUCAUGGAAAUGAGAUUUUGAUUGUCGAGAAUGAACUUACACAAGCAACUGCAAAUUAAGUGAAAACAAAACGCUUUUUCUCUUUGUGUGAUUAAAACAUGAAAUAUACCAUAAAUAAAUAGGUAAAAAUUAAAUCAACACAAUCCAAAACAGUAAACCAAUUAUAAGAGGCACAAAUUUUUAUGUGAAAUACCGAAAACGGAAAAAACCACAACAUGUUAGUAUGAUAUAAUCUUCUACUAUAUUAAUGGGAUUAUAACACAAAUUCUUCCCUAUAUUACACUAGAGAUUAACAACAUCAAGAAUCUCAAUAAUCUUAACUUACAAUACAACCUAAUAUAUGUCUCUCUAAUAAAUAGAUAUCUAAAAUAACAAUCUCUAAUAAGUAAGUAUCUCAAAUAACAGUCUCUAAUAAGUAGGUAUCUCAAAUAAUAGUUAAUAAGAGGAUAAAACAAAAAUUAAGAUUAGUAGGAUGUGUAUAAGGCGAUGCUAUCAACUUAUCUUCUAAAUUUGAGAAAAAUAGUUAAAUUCACUUUUUUGAUUGUCCGACCAAAGAUGGAAACCUUGCCCCAAAACCAAAGGAGUCACCAUUGUGUUUCUCUCUCUCUCUCUCUCUCUCGUUCUUUUCUUCUACUUUUCUUAAUGUUAGCCGCCACUUGCUUUUAUUCUUUAUAGCAUUUAAAAAGUUACUUUUAAUGGUAAAUUUCAUCUAAGUCCAAAACUUAGUGAUAAUUGCACACUAAACAAUCCUUUUUGGACUAUAGACUUUUGGACCUCCAAAUGAGACGAAUACAACAAAUCUCCCCUUUUAGAUCAUGUAGGAGGCACCACAAGCCCACUCUCUGCAUAUAGCUUUUUAACUUCUCCUUGAAUAAUGACUUUGUCAUCAUACAUAACUCAUUCUCCGUUGUGUAAAUCUUCUCAAGCUAUAACCGUUCUUUCUCAAACACGUCUCGUAUCUAAUAAUACUUCACAUCAAUUUGCUUAGAUUUCGAAUGAUAUAUCAAAUUCUUUGAACGACACUCUGAUUUUCGCAGUACAUAAUAUAGUUGUCUCAUUUUAUACCUAGCUCUUGUAGGAAAUUCUUCGUCCACAGUAUUUUUUUGCAACCUUCAAUAAUUGUAAUAUCAUUUGCUUUAGUAGUAGAAAAGACAACUUAUUACUAAAGUUUAGAUUACGAUGAGACUGCUCCUCCUGCAAAAGUGAGCAAACAUUCUAGUAGGAAUUUUUCGGAAUCAACAUCUCCUACCAUAUCUAUACACUUGUAACACAGGUUUGUCACCACCAAAAUAUAAACAUGCUCUGGAAAUGCCUCUAAGAUAUCUGAGAAUUUUUCACUAUUGUCCAGUGCUCUUUACCGGGAUUGAAGAGAAACCACUAACUACACUAGUUGUAUAAGUAAUAUCUGGUCUUGUACAAAUUAUGGCGCACACCAAACUGCCAACUGCUGAAGCAUAAGGAACUCCUCUCAUGGAGAAAUGGGUUUUGCUCUUGAGAUUUUUGGGAACAUGAAGAAUAAAUAUGUAAUUUCUUGGACUGCCAUUGUUUCGAGGUAUAUAAACAGAGGACAAGUCUAUAUAGGUCGACAGUGGUUUGCUCAGAUGCCAGAACGAGAUUAUGUCUUAUGGACUGCCAUGAUUGAUGGGUACCUUCGAGUGAAUAGGUUCAAAGAGGCUUUGACGCUUUUUCAGGAGAUGCAAACUUCAAAUAUAAUGGGAGACGAGUUUACCAUUGUUAGCAUUCUUACAGCUCGUGCGAAUCUGGAAGCACUAGAUCUGGGAGAAUGGAUAAAGACUUAUGUUGAGUGUUAGAAAAUGCAUAUUUAUAAAGGAGAAAACCAUCAUUUUACAUUUCAAGUCUUACUAACAACCCUUACUUUUAUGUAUUUAACCUUCUUGUGAUUUAAUUACAUGUGUUUUAUUUUAAUUAAGUAUUUUAUGUAUUUUAGGGACAUUAUAGUCAUUUCACAAUAAAGGAGAGAUCAGACGGCAAAACAGACAUCACUUUUGAACUCAGGACGGUCAAAAACCUUAGGAGGAGCAUAAAAGGAAAAAUGGCACUAUUCACAUGUACGGUACUAUUCACGUGUACGGUACUGUCCACGUUACUGUUCACGAUACUGUUCACAUAGACAGAUCGAUGACGUGGCAUUGACUGAUGAGGUGUCACGAUCCUGUUGGGCUAAAAUUCUUAUGUACUGUUGAUGGUGACGUGGCAGCAUAUCAAUGGACGAAAAAUCUCGCAUACAGUACAUGCAUCACACAGGAUUAUUGUCAACCAAAUCGCGUUACUGUUCAUCCGGGUCAAACCGUGUUACUGUUCAUCCACGUAGUCAAACCGCGUACUGUUGACUGAUGACGUGGCGCAAUCCUGAGCGUCCAAACUGUUUUUAAUCCGAUGGCCAUGAUUUACUCCAUGUAUCUAUAAAAAGGGGGCCUCCCCCCCUAAUUUGACAACUCUGAAUCUAUUUUGGGAUCCAUUUUCUAUAAUUCCCUCUCCAUCUUGUAUUUUCUACGUAUUUUAAUAAAUUUCCAUUUUACCCUUAGUUCAAUUAUGAGUGGCUAAUUUCCUUUCAAGCUUGGGUUGAAGGUGAAGUCUCAACAUGUGUCAUGGGCUUUAUUUGGUAAAUUUAUUUUCUUUUCCCCUCUAGUUUUUGUGGAUGAUUUGACUUUUCGUCGACAAAUAAUAUUGAUCUUGUCUAGAUACCACCUUGGUUACACCGGCUCUCUAGUACAAGGUUAUUAUUAUUUGGCACGAUAAGCCCUUAGCACCAUAUUGAUUAGAGCGUGGUUCAUGAGGUGUGGAUUCCCCCCUCAUGAUUUAAUUGGCAUUAAUAAGGAUUAUAUAGCCCAUGAUGCAUGUUGAUACGGAUCUGGAUACCCAAGUGCUUCAUUUCAAUAGAUCUAUCUUCAAUUUCUUCUCGCCAUUUUAAUUUAAGUUUUAGAAUAUUCCAAAUCAUUUCCACCACAAAUCCAAUCCCCGAUUCACAAAAUUAAUUCUAUACACAAUUAAAAUCCACAUCCUCGUGGGAUCGACACUCGUCACCAUUAGUCUAUACUACAAUAGAUUCGUGCGCUUGCGAGUACAUUAAAAUUUACACAACAACUUAUAUUGACAAAAACAAAGUCAAGAAUGAUGUAUUUGCGGGGAAUGCUUUGAUAGACAUGUACUGUAAAUGCCGAGAUGUUGAGAAAGCUCAAAAGGUAUUCAGGAAGAUGCUUUGAAAGGACAAAUUCUCAUGGACGACCAUGAUUGUUGGCCUUGCCAUCAGUGGCAAUGGUGAUAAAGCUCUUGAUAUGUUUUCCCAAAUGCUUAGGGCUUCGAUCAAACCGGAUGAGGUAGCUUAUGUUGGUGUUCUGUCUGCCUGUACUAACAAUGGUAACGAAACUUUUGUGAUAAAUAGUUGCAACUUAAGGUGAGAAUUGGAGGAAAGGAAAUAGACUGAAGUUGUUCAAUCAUCGGUCGUCUCUAUUUGGUUUUCUCCGAUAUCUCAUCUUCAGUUUUGACUCAGAUUCUAUCUUACCACUUAGGGGUGGGCAAAAUCGGGUUCGGGUCAACCCGAUCGGGUUUCGGGUUGUUCGGGUUAGACAAGGAACAAUCCGAACAUAACCCGAAUUAAUGACCCGACCCGAACUUAGUUCGGGUCGGGUCAUUAAUUCGGGUUAUGUUCGGGUUGGAUUUAAAAUGGGUAGGAUUGAGUUCGGGUCAAUUUGGGUUAGUUCGGGUCAAUUCGGGUCAGUUCGGGUCAAUUCGGGUCAAUUCGGGUCGGUUGAAAUCGGGUCAGUUCGGGUCAAUUCAGGUCAGUUCGGGUCGGUUGAAAUCAGGUCAAUUCAAGUCAGUACGUUUUUUUUUUUUAAGAACCCGAUCGGGUAUUCGGGUCGGGUCGGGUUUGACCCGAACCGAUCACAACCCGAUCGGGUUUGUAAAUUUCAAACCGAUCGGGUUUCGAUCCCGACCCGAUCCGACCCGAACCCGAAAUUUAUCGGGUCGGGUCGGGUCGGGUAAAAUGCCCACCCCUAUUAAUACCACUAGUAAUUACAUAGACUUGCUGCCAAAGGUAAGAAUGAGAAUAAAUUAAAUAGAUUAUGUCGAAAACGAAAUAAAUUUACCAUUGUUCUGUUCAUUCUAUUUGUUUCCUACAGAAUAUUUCUCCAGCCUAAAAUUUUUUGAAUUAGUAAGUUUUUAUCUUAUGCAAGAAUUGUGCUGAGAGUAAUUCCAUUUCUCAGUCUCUUUAUGUUUCAAUGAAGACGUAAAACUUGUGUUCUAGUGCACCAAUGUUUAUGCUUCUUACAAUUUGACUUUAAUUUAGUUUGUAAAACUUUUGUCAAAAAGUACUAAAAAGUAGUGCACCAAACACAAACUUUAUUACAGAGAGGACUUCAGUUAAAUUUUAAGAAAACACUCAAAAGAACGAGUUAUAAAUUAUUAUCGAAAUAUUUCACAUAAAUAAAAGCCAUCCCAUGCUGCAAAGAUCUUGCUAUAAUCACCAAAAACUAUCGGGAGCUUUUAGGGUUUCCAUAAAAAUGUCAUUUCGUUCCAAAAGUCAAUGGUGGGUAGAAAGUGGUGCAAAUGAGACUCAUUGUUAAUGGUAUAAGUUUUUGCUUAAUUAUGUCUUCCCCAAAAUGAUGAUUUAAUUUCCAUUCUCAAUUAAUUUUCAAGUUUCAACACUUUUCUAUGUAGCAUGACAUUGGAAAGAUCUUGUACAGUUGUACUACUAAAAGCUAGCACCACACGUUAGUUAUUGUUAAGUUCUUUUUCAACGUGAAAUAAAGGAAGUAGUCCUUCGUUAAAACCAUUAUAGCCAAAUUUCACGUAAUUGGACAUUUACAGACUUUUAUUUCAAGUUGGAUUUUGGUCCAACAUUUCAAAGUUGGCCCAAUUAUUUUUGUCUGGUCAAGUCCUUCGCAGCUAAGCCCCUCAAUGAAUGAGGGUGAGAUUGCUAAAAAUUACGACAGGUGAUAUUUUAUUAUUAUUAUUUGUUUGAGGGAAAAAAUAGGAAAAGCAAUAGAGCGCCACGUGUCAACCAAUGGAAUGAUUCCUGCACAAUCUAAGGUACCCCACACAAUCCGAGGUACCCCAUAUAAUAUGAGGUACCCCACACAAAUAGGGGUACCCCGCGUAAUAGGAGGUACCCCAUGUAACUCGAGGUACUCGGCAAAGCGGAUGCAAGAGAAUCCUCCGAAAAUAUCCGCCAUGAGAAACGUCUCCGCCUCCUAAAAGAUAUUAUUCAAUUUUGUCAGAAUUAUGAAUAAAAAACGACGCCCUAAAAGGAGGGACAGUCGCCUGCGACCUCUGCCAAAAGUGAAGGACACUGUCCCAAGGACAGUGGUCCCCAACGCCUACCCGACAGCUACUGCAAAGGUACCCUGGACCACUCUCCAGCGCGCGCCACGUUUCCAAAAGAUGAGAUACGCCGCGAACGUGCAGAUAACUGCCCAAAAAUUAUAAAGAGGUAAAAGGACGUUAGUAAAAAAGGGUAUGCCAUGUGGCAGCUGAGGUACUCCAUAUAUAAAGGCGCCUAGGUUUCAUUCUCCAUCAUGUUCUCACUCACCAUUAACACUCGCACUCCAAAAAAUAGGUUUUCUUCAACCUUAAACCCUAAUUUACAGAGGGUUAGUCAGCUCUCUUUACCAUAAAAGCUUGAGUUUGCUAACUUGAGCGUCGAAGUGUGAACGCCGGGGUACCCCGGCUUCACCUCUAACCUCUAUUUCACUGUUUUGCAGGCGUGAAGCUCAUUUGGAAGGACACAUCUCUUAGUUCUAAACCUUUCACCAUUGUUACCACUCUCUCUCCCUUUCUCACCUCCCCUGGAUUUCAGAUACACCACACCGCACACAAUAAACUAGUGAGGUACCCCGUCUCCCAUAAAAAUACAAAUUCAUUGUUCUAGAUAGAUUUGGCUUUUUUUACCCCAAAAUCUGUUGAAAACACUAUUUUUAAUUUUGGGGGAUAAAUCCUCACCAAAGUGAGGAGAUUUUAUCAAAAUCAAAAUAAAAAUAUAACAAGAACUGAAAGUCGGGCAGCCUAAAAGCUAGAUGAACUAAAAGUCAGGCGCCUAAAAACAACCUUAUGCAAAAGAGAAGCAACAUGAGACCGAUCAAGUAAAAGAAUCCACCGCAACACCUAAAUUGGCCAAAUUAUCUGUUGGUAUUACAAGUUUCUUGUUAUAAAAGUGUAGAAUGAAGUAGGUGACAGUAGUUUUAAGUUACAGCUGCAUGCCUAAUCGCAAUAUCAAAUAAUGAUUAAAUAUCAAAUAAUGCUUAAAGUAGUUGCCUAGGCCCGCCACAAUUUAUAUUAACUCUUAAAUUUAUAAAUAAUUAAAUUUUUAAAAGUUUGGAUUUAUAUUAAAAAAUCUUCAUAUAAAUAAAUAAUAUAUGCACUUUUACAACACAGUCUUUAAAUUUAAAUUUUUCUAGAAAAAUCUUCUGUAUAUCUUUUCUAUUAAAAAAUUUCCAUAUAAAUAAAUAAUAUACCUAAUUUAAUUGGACCCAGCACAUCGCAUAUGCAUAGAACACAUUCCACAAAGCCAUGCUAUUCGGAAAUUGACGAAUGAAAAGUGAGGAGGCAGCAGUCAAUGCUAUUUGGGCUUGGCCCAAAAUUGAUUUAUCAGGUUGACGUUUGCCAGGAAUGAAGAACUGGAAUAUCACCGUCAAGCAAGCAACCUGUGGAGCAAUACCAUAGAAUGCACAAUCCAGCUUUGCAAGGUGACACUGGAGGCUUUUUGAAAAGUGCUUCACGCUCACUUGCACAGAUUGAGCAUCCCCUCUGGAUAUUGCCCUCUCUGAUCGAGUCUGAGCACUCAAAUUUCGGUCCUCAGAUGGAGCUACAGCUUUCUCUCCAAUAACCAACAAUUUUCUAAACUCAGCACCUAGUGUGAUCAGAGUUGUUGAUAUUUGUAAAUGGAGAUCCCUGUAUUUGCAAAUGGAGACAUUUACCAAAUCACCAACAUGCUUCAUCCAGUCUACGAAAUUCUGCAGCUGAUUCAAAUCCGGAACCUGAACCAGAGUCGGAGGUAAAUCUUGAGCCAUGUCUAAAGCAGUCUGAAGUUCAAGUACUUGAGCCCUUGACAAAGGUUUUGAAAUUGGAACAUCUUGGAUUACUGCAGACUUGUACCCCUUGGUUUCAAAGGUAAGGAAAGGCAUUGCUUGAGUACAAUUUGGAGGCAGCUUCUUCACCAAUUUUAUUUGGAGGCAAUUGGCAGCGGAUCCAGCUGCACCAAUUUCAGAGCAAAUACUGACACUACUUCAAACAGCACGCUGAAGAAGAGAUAUGUCUAUGGCAAAGGCAAUGCAGUCCUCAAUUUGACUUGAGAUGCGGUAAUCACCAAAGAGAGUUUCCUUAUGAAACUGGGCAACACAUUGAAUCCCUUCACCACUGAGAAGGUUGGGGAGGAAGUAAGCUUUCUCUCUCGUAAGGAAGAGGUGGCAUACCUUCCCCAUUUUGUCUAGGACAGGUAGGAAUCUUUUUUCUAAGAGAUUUACUCCAUUCUCUGUGAGAAAUGCUUUGAACUUCAUCCCUCUGUCUCUAGCCUCACUUAUCAGUAAAAUAGUUGAAAGCGCUACAAGGAGAGAAAAGAAGAGUAUUAAGAUAUAUAUAGACAAGAAAAACAUUAGAUGUCGAUCUUACAAGCUAAUACUUCAAACAGUAUCCUAGAAAGCUAAAAACUGCAAAAUGGCUUGAAAUUUGAAAAGAACACAUGCUUUUCCUCCUUAACUUGAGAAAAUGUUUAAUAUAGUGCACCUUACAGAAACAUUUAAACAAUUAGAACUUUGCACAAAAACAUUCAAGAAGACUAAACAAAUCAGAUGCAGUGUAUUUCUCCAAGCACAAAUGGCAUUGCAUUUUUUCCUCAACUGUAAUAUUUAUUGAUGAAAAUCAGUACAGGUCCCUCAUUUGUUAUGGAAAGCUUUCUUGUAGUCUGACCGGUUAAUUCACGGGUCUAUAAUCAUCUUGCAAAGUUACAGGCAUUUCUUUCGAUUUAAAGUCUUUGCAUCACCACCUCAUCACACACCAAGCCAAUAUUCCGUCUACCUCUACAACAAAAAGUUUUAAGUAAACGAUCCUAAUGCAUGCAGCCAAAUAAAAUGCAGUAAGAAUAUUCAACUUAAAACUCUGAAAGCCAUCUUGGUGAAUUGCCUCCUUAGGGGAAGUUCCAUGCUUUACUAUACUUGACAGGACUGAGCAAAAGCUUACAUACAACAGAUUUUGAAAAUGAUGAUGCCAAUAGAUACUCAUACAAUCCAUUGAAACUCCUAAGGUCCAUUGUUCACAGAGGUUUACAGAGUUUUGGUCAUCAAAUAGCUCAGACCUUAAUCCCAAACAAAAAACGAGUGAAAAUUAGAUCACCAGCAGCUAAUUGUAAAUUCUAACUUAACUCUUCAUCUCCUUUGUAAACAGGAGACAAAAUGGAGACACGCAAAAUGAAUAAGGAGAACAUUUGAACUCAAAUGAAAUGAGGGCACGAAAGCAAACAAAUGGCAUGCGCAAACAAACCAAGCCUCAAUCAAAAACUAAUUAACCAUUAAAAAAAAAAAAGUGGUCAGAGAAUGAACUCCAAAUUCGGGAGUGAAGCAAGAAGCUUUCAUUAUUUCAGAAGCUCCUGUACAAAUUAAUAAGUUAUGCUCUUUGGAAACAAACCUAAAUUCCAAGAGAAAGAGAACUCAAAAAAUUUGCAAUUAUACGCAAAGGAAGUGAAGCACAGCAUUCUAUCACACGUACAAAUUGUAUAACAAGAGAUCGACACAUCGAAUCAGAAGAACUCAAUUCAAAUUUGUCUCAAAAAUCAAAAUUAGAAGAUUUCACAUUUCGAGAGGAACAAGCGACAGGUCAGAUGCAAAAUUUUCAGCCACAACAUGCCACAAUUAACAGUUUAUUUCCAUGGAUUUAGAGAGCUGACUGACCUUUUGGCUUUUGGAAUUGAGAAGAUCGCGGGCCAAAAUGGAAGAGGGAAAGCGAAAGUGCGGGUUUUAAUAGGGUAUUGGAUUAGCAAAUUUAAUUAGUUUGCGAGGGUAAAAUAGGAAAGAGAUAUCACUAUUAACUUUUUUUUUUAUAAGAAAAAAGAAUAAUAAAGAAUAUUUUAUUGUCAUUUGCAGCCUGCAAAUGACAAUAAAUCAAAUACGUCAUACAGAAGCUUAAAGCUGAAUCUAAAAAAUCUAGAGCUCUCAACUACAAAAAUUACACUUGAUGAUCCUCUACAAGAUGAAGCUUGUUCAAUAUCUUAUCCAAAGUUUAUAAAGUAACCUUGUAACGAUCUUGAGAUUGCCUGCCUUCCUCGACGACCUGCACGAUGCGUUUGUACAAAUCAUCAUACCUGUGCACCGGAUUUUUAAUAUCAACGCCACUGCAGCUGUGAUCAAGAACAUAAGAGCGUUUAACAUCUUUUCUCCAUCGAGAAAGAAUGUAGUGAGAUGGGAUCUCCUGCAUGCCACUCUGGUUUAGAACACAAAGAAUGUGUCUGGAUAAAUAUCCUCUGAAAUUGAACAACCCACAAACACAAAGCACCUCCAAGUCGGAGGCAUUGUACAAAACAUCGAAAGCCCUUGAAUCUUUCUCGUUGCUACCAACCUCAAAUUCUUCCUUCACUAUGUAUGUUAUAGGUCCAUCAGCACUGACAUGUUUUGUGCUAUAGCAAGAGUACAUAGCCUCCACCUCCGUCUGAAACUUCCUUCACAUUUCAUUUGUGUACAGUUUUGAGAGUUGAAAUUCAUAGUCACAUCUUGGUUUCUGGAUACAACUUGAAUUUCUUGAAUCCAUAUCUGCCAAGGCUUCCGGUUGAUAAUUCGCCUGCAGUGCUUGAUCAUACUUGUGUAAGAAUUCUUUCAAAGGAGUACGCUUAUCAAGAUAUCCUUCAAAGUAUGAAGUAGAAACCUCAUUCUGCAGGAAUGAAAACACUCCUGAUAAAAAUGCUUCCUUCAAAUAAACAGGAGCCCACCUUUUACGAUCUUCAUAUAAAGUUUGAAUCCAUCCGUGAUCCUUUAUUCCAUGACGUUGAAUCAUGUCUUCCCAAGCUGCUUCAAAUUCCUCAGGCCUGAGAGAGUGAUAAAUUGCUCUAUGUAAUGCACCUCUAAUAGCUUCAUAUUCAAACAAUCCUUGGAGUUUCUCUGGAAUUUUUUGCAAGAUGCAUGACAAUGAAAAGCAAUGAUAAGCUCUUGGGAAAACAUCGCCAACAGCAAUUUGCAAGAUUCUACAUUGGUCAGUGAUGAUUGUUUGUGGAGAGCGUCCUAACAUACAUGUAAGCCACACCCUAAACAACCAUGUAUAUGAUUCUAUGGUCUCCCUGGCAAGUAAACCACAACCCAACAACACUGAUUGUCCAUGAUGAUUCACCCCAAUGAAUGAAACCAGUGGUACAUCAUAUCUUUCAGUCAAGCACGUAGUAUCAAUUAAGACUACAUCACCAAAGUACCUAUAUGCAACUCUUGACCUGGUAUCAGUCCAGAACAGGUUUCUCAAGCAUCCCUUUUCAUUUAGAUCCACUACAUUAAAAAAGUUUGGAUCUGUCAACUGCAAACGACAAAAGAAACUCUGGACAGCUUGUGCAUCUCCUGGUUUAAGCUUCAAUUGAUUUGAGCUAUUAACAUUAUUUCCAAAUACUCCAUUAACAUCUACAUUACCAUUUCCCUCGGUAUCGAUGAUAAGAGUUCGAAACAGUCUAAUUUUUUGAACGUCUUCAGCACUAUCUAAUUGCAAUGUUCUUUUGGUUCCAAUACCUAUGUGCUUAUGUGACUUGUAAAACUUUCCGCUUCUUGGGCUUAACAAGUGGUUAUGCUCAAGCUCGACUUCAAUGAUUCUCCACCUUUUGGUUUCCAUCAACCUAAACUUUAUCAUUGCUGGACAGCCAGUUCUUGUUUCUGGUCUUGGGCGGUUUGCCUCGCUUUUCUUCUUGAAGCCUGCACUACUACAGCUCAGCUUUCCUCUAUACUUUUCUCUACUCUUUCGGUACCAUGUAUUGCUAACUCUAACACCAAAACCCUGUUCCUUGGCAUAGCAAUUGUAAAAGUAAUAAACAUCAUCAUACGUCUCAAACUCCAUUCCAACAGCAGGAGCCAAUGGAUUUUGGAUUAUCCCAGUUUGUCCAACAUAUUCAGUCAUUGCACAAUCUCCUACGACCUCAAAAUCAUCAGCAUCAUCAUCACCUACUGGUUCAGUAUUCAGAGAAACUUCAUCCAUCUACAAUAGAUGUUUAAUGAAGUGAACUUUAAGGAGAAAAAGCAAAAUCAGUUCAAGGAAUGAUAAUAUAACCAUACAGUUACUUUCACAAAGCUGCGUAUUUCAUCAAUACCUUAACAACAUACAACUGCCUGAGAACGUAUAGACAUGUCAUAGACGCUUGAAUUAAGUAUUGGUACAAAUUCAUGUGGGACACAAUUUCAGUCACUAAACCCAAUGCCUUUUUUUUUCACAUCAUACCAAGGAACGGAUUAAACCCAAUACCUUCUUUUACGCCAUACCAAAGAACAGAUUAAAUCAUCAAUGAAAAAUUAAUCACAUAAUAAUUUAACUAGACAAAUAAAGAGCUCGAAACAGCACAAAACUUGAAUAUGAUUAUGAUAAUUGUUGAGUCAUUGUAUCUACAGCUUUCCUUCAACAAGAAGAUUAUGAACAUAAACUACACACAAAAAAUUUAUUUUAAACUGACAUAAAUUUAUUCAGUUACAUUGAAACCCAAAAAAGGAAGCAGGAGCUGGAGAAAAACAACAGCAGAGAAACUUAUUUCCAGAAGGUUUACGAAAUAAGGAAUUUAUUAAGACACAAAAUUUGAGGUCAACAAUAAGAAUUUGGUUCUCAUUCUCUUUUUCUUCAUUUUUCACUUAUUGAUGGAGUUACCAUACAAUCCUAAAUGAUAAAACCCCAUCUCCAUCUUUUUGAAAUAGAGUUAAAGCAAAGCUUUUUAAGAUGUUUUUCCCUAAAAGACUCAAUAGUACAAUGUUUUUCAAUAUUAAAUACACAACUCAAUCUUCCCCUAAUUUACUCUAAUAAUCUCUUAACUAAGGAAGAUUAAGCUCCACUUGUAAGCUAAAACAAGUUUCUUAAAUCAAGCCCCAAUGCUCUAUGCUAUUCAACAAGGCCUCAUAAAUGAUAAAACUACCUCUACAAAGAUACCCAUUUUAAUUUCGCAAACUAAAAUCGAACUCCUGAAACGUAACGAGCAUUAAAACAAACAAGUCCGAACAAGAACUGAAAAAUGAUACGUAAACCCGUUUCGACAAACAGUUUCCAAUCAAUGAGCAAAAAAGUUAAUGGAAAACAUGAAAUUCAAACGAAACAUACCUUAGGUUGAUAAAUUAGUAGCGCAAAAGAAAUUUUAGCGAGAUAUGGGAUCAGGGAUUUUGCCACGGUGAUGUUAAUUGCGACAUUCGGGUGACUCAGCAGCCUUCGAGGCUGAAACUUUGAUUGACCAAAAGCUUCCCGUUCGUUGAUUCUCUAAUUGCAGAAACGAAACUGGCAGUGUACAGAAGACGUACGCUGAUUUGAUAAUUCUGUGAAAAUCAUUGUUUUUUUUCAGAUUUUUAAUGUGUUCGAUAAAAUAUCAAAAUCUCAAAAACUUUUGUCUUUCAUUUUGGGGGGGAAAAACCCAUUGAGAUCCUUAUGUUUUUUCUUAUAUAAUCUGGCUUAAUAAUUUGCAAAGUCUAUUACUUAGCACCCAUGCAUGCUGCGUUCCAAUUUACAAAAUUGUACGUGAGUGCAUCCAGCUAAAAUUUGUAAAAAGAAAAUAGCAAUAACAUGUUAAAAAUGUGAUUAUUAUGAAGAAAUUUUAAUUUAGUUAAAUAGGUGACGAUGGAUAGGUAUAAAAUCUGAGAUCUUUUAUAAGGUUAAUAAAUAUGUUGAGUUUGGAUUAGUUCAAUUUUGAAAUAAUAAUAUUCAAAAUAUCUCUUAAAUCAUUAUAAACCUCAAAUCUAUUUUAAUUUUAUUUAAAAGAUAAAAGAAAAAUAGGUUAUGUUGGUGAUUUUUUAUUAUCUUUUUAAUAAAAAUGAAAUAAAUUGAUGUUUAUAAUUAUUUAAAGUAUUUUAAAGACUGCCAUUUUAUGAGAGAAAAAUAUUUCACUUUUUUUUAGUGUGAAAGGCCGAAAAAGGACAAAGCAAGUUUCCCUAGUUUUUAUUUAUUUGAAAUUGGUCAUCUCAUAUACUUCACCCUUCAACACUAUAAUUUUUUUGGUUAUAAUUUUAUUAUUUUUUCUCUUUUACACAUGCAUGUGAAUUACUUUUCUUUAAGCUCCUGAAUAUUUAAGAUAAAUCAUGGAAGAGAUGAGAGUAUAACAAGAUGACCAAAAUAUGUAACAAAAAAAUUUUAUAAGUGAAAAAUAUGUUAGAGACUUACAGUGGAAGUAAAACUCUGAGGUGAUGUUUGAUUUGAAGAAAAUGGAGGAAAUGAAAAGACUGGAAUGUAGAGGAAAAGAGAGAAAAGGAGAGGAGAGGAGAGUGAAAUUUUUUUCUAAUGUUUGGUUUGUCACAUAAUUAUACAAAGAAAGGAAAUCUCUAAUUUUUUAUUUAGACAAUUUUAACCUUAAUAAGUAUUAAGUUUUCAAUAUUUAUCAUGUGUAUAAUUAAAAAAAAAAGAAGUAAAUGGUAGAAAGCGGUUUCUGAUUCCGGCCACAUCGCCCGCAAUGGAAGGUACUUAUCAGAACAUCAAGAGCCAGCCAUCAUUCCCUAGCCAUCACUGCUGUCGGAACACUGCCGGAAAGCUGCCGAUUGAACCGCGAAAAGUCGUGGAAAUCGCUGCCUCAAAUCGGUGAGUUUCGCCCUUUUCUGGUCACGCCGUCGCCAUGGCUUUGUCCAUCAAGCCUGCCACUUCCAUUUUCAACCAUCCAUAGCCACUAUUAAUUGCCAAAUCACCGCCGAUCAGCGGGAUCUGUGGAAGUUAAAAAGUUUCUAAAUUUUUUUAACUGGAUUUGAACAACAUACGACCAUUUUUUUAUCUCGAUAACGACGUAGUAAUGUUGAUCGUUGGUCGGCAAGUCGUAUGGUAGUGGCAGUGAGUAACACGCGCCAAUCACAUCGGCGGCGGCGGCGGCACUAUCCGGCGACUGUUAAAAUAAUAUUUUAUAUUUUCAGAUUAAAUAAAUUUAUUUUAUUAAAAUUUUUAAAUCAUUAUUUAAAUUUAAUUAAUUUAAAAUUAUCUAUAAUGUUGAAUUGAUAAAAUAAAUUUAUAAAUAAUAAUUAUGUGAUUACAUUAAAUAAGUUAAAAAGUUGAAGGGUUAGUUUUGGAAGAUUUAGUUUCCAACACAAAGGGAAUUUGAAUUCUUCACUUCUUAGUGUGGAAUUCAAAUUCUAUAUUGUAAUAGAUAUUAAAUUUCAAUAAAAAUUAAAUUCUUAUAAGUUAUGUCAAACCAAACAACGAAAAUAAAAAAGAAAUUUAAAUUAUUUUUCUUUCCUCCACCCUCUCCUUCCAACUAAAUACAUCCUGAAAAUAGAGAUAUUGAUUAAUUUAGAAGAGAUUCAAGCAAAAAAUAUUCCAAAAAAAAAAGCAAUAUGUCCCUUUGGAGGGCAAACUUGUCAGUUUCAAAAAAGUACAUGCUUUGUAUUGAUAGUUGUAGGAUAUUUGUUUUGUCACUAUGUAUUAGUUGGAGAAGUCCAGCCUUGUGGAGAAUGUUAUGAAAGAGCAAAGGAUAUUCCUGAUAGCUGAUAGAGCUCUAUCUGAUUAUGUAUCCAGUGAAUGGAUGUGUUGUUGGAAGAUAUCUGAGUGCAUUAGUUCAUAUGUGUCUGUCAAUGUGCUUUUAAUGAUUUUUCCACCUGUUUGUUGUAAAAGAUUAUUGUAAAUUGAAAUGAACUUGAUGUUUUAAUAUUUUCUUCCGUAAAUUGAAAUGAACUUGAAUUAAAUCUCGUUGAAUUUAAUAUUAUCUCCUUAGUGGAAUUUCACCUAGUAUGUAUUCAGUUGUGUUGUCUAUAAUUUUGCAUUCGAGUAAGUUUCACCUAAAACAUUAGCAUGAGUAGUGGCCCUUGAACCUUUGGUCAAAAUUAUUGUUAUUAUUUCUGACUAGAUGUAAAUUUUGUAUUAAAUCUCGUUAACACAAUUCUUAAUUAAAAGUAUAGGUUAGUGUUGGUGCAAGAUUUGCCACACCAAAUUCUGCCUAGCUGUCAAAAGUGCAAAAUAAAUGAAGAGAAAGCACAAAUACACGACUUGAAUAAGGAUACAACGAAACUUAAAUUCAAGAGAAAAUGAUAGCUAUAUCCCAAGAUUUGAAAAAGUAGUCAUGUAGGUUUUUAAGAUUUCAAUAAGCGACUGAGAUUCAAAUAAUAUCCUUUAAUUCUAUUAAUAAAAAACAAAGACUCAAAUAUUUUAUGAUAAAUAAAAAUAUAAUAUUAAAAUAUAUGUGAUAAUAUACACAUUUUAAAUACUUUCAAUCCAAAAAAAUAGUUAUGUUUUACAAUCUAUUAGACAUAUUUUAUUAAAUUAAUAUAAAUUUUCUAUAAAAUAAGAAUAUAAUAUUAAAACAAAUUCACAGAAAUUUAAAGAAUUUUGAAUGUAAAAUAAUUUUAAUAUAUUAAUACGUGAGUUUUUUUAUUAAUAUAAAAAUUAUUUAACUUUAAGAUUUUUUAAAAUCUUUACAAUAAGUAUAACUAUAUUAUUUACAUUUAAAAAUAUUUAAAUAUUAUUAACCUACAAUUAUAUUUGCAUUUGUUAGAAAUUUUUAAAGUCAAAUAUUUUGCACUUCUAUAUUAUUAGAAUUAUUGCACACAAAGAAAGAAACAUAUACGUUUAGAAAUUGUUUUCUUUUAAAAUAGAGAUGAUGAUUAGUAUAAGGAUCAAAAAAAGGAUAAAGAAUAUUAAUGAUUAACGAAAACUCUAUACAAAUUGAUUUUAGUAGGAAAAGAGUGAGAUGAAUGAUUUCUUUUACAGUUAGAAAAAUAGAUGAUGAUUAUUAUAACGAAGAAGAAAAGAUAAAGAAUAUUAAUUAUUAAUGGAAUCUCUAUGCAAAUUGAUUUCAGUAGGAAAAAAAAUGAGUUAAAUGAUUUAGAGUGCGUUUGGAAUUGAGAUUGGACAGCCAUAGAUUUUAAGUUACAACACUGAAGUGUUUGGUAAAUACUAGCUGCUGCAGAUUGAAAGUUAUGUUGAUAUGAUUUUUCACAUGUAUCAUAGAAAAUAUAUUACAUCUUUAAUAAUUUUUUUAAAAUUUGUAUUUGCUAUAUAUUGUUUUUUUUAUAUAGUUAUAACUUUUUUUUUUUCCACAGCAGCUGUAGCUUAAAAGCUACAGCACCUCAAUCUCAAACAAGUCCUUAGACAUUCAUAGUGUGUUUAUUUUUUGGAUUGGUGAAUCAAAAUUAUUGACAACGCUAACUUCAUCUUCACCGUUCGCAAUCCAACAGCAGCAAUUGUCGCCAAUAAUGAUAUCGCCGAUGAUGAUGACAAUAAUAAUAAUAAUAAUAAUAAUAAUAAUAAUAAUAAUAAUAAUAAUAAUUAUUAUUAUUAUUAUUAAUAAUUAAUAUAUUAAUAUAUUAAUGUUAAUAUUAUUAUUAUUAAGAUUAACAAUAAUUAUUAGUAAUACAAUUUUUUGAAUAAAAAUAAUCACAAUAAUUAAAAUACAAAUUAACAAUUAUGACAAUAGUUAAUUAAUGUCUUUUUAGUAAUUUGUAAUAAUCUAACUCAUUUUAAUUCUGAUUAUUACAGUUUAAGUAAAUAAAUUAUUAUGAUUCCUAUUCUCCUUUUCUAUUUUAACUCACUUCGAUUCCAGUCUAUUCUGAUUUUUGUUUAAUAAACGCACCAUUAGUGCUAAAGUAAUAUUUCAUACAUAGAAAAGUAAAAACUACACCUAAGGUUAAGGGAAAGGACUUCAAAACUCUCUUUUGAUCAUAAUACAUUUUGUACUAAUUAACUUAAAGAUUUUGAAUCUAAUAUUUUAUAAUAAAUAAAAAUAUAUUCCUAAAAUAAAUAUAAUAUCAAUAUUUAAAAUAUGUUUUAAUAUUUUACACAUUUUAUUAUAUUAAAGUAGAUUUUAUAAUAAAUACAAACGUCCUAUUAAAAUGAAUAUAUAAAAAAUUUAGAAAAUUUAGAAUAUUAUAUAAAAUAAUUUUAAUAUAAUGCGUGAGAUAUAUUUUAUUAAUUUAAAAUGUUAUUUUACCUAAAAAAUAUGAUAAAUUAAUAAUUACAUAUUUGAAGUUAUUUCAAAUAUUAAAAAAAUUUAAUAUUAUUAGUCUUUUAGAUAGAUUAAAUUAUUUUUUUUAUAAGAGAUAGAUUAAAUUAUUUUAAAAUGCCUUAAUUAUUUUUACUUUUAACGUUACCGGCCUUUCUUUUAUUUUAUUGCAAAUUAAUGCUAACAAGAAAAAGCUAGAUCAUAUUCCACAAAAGCAAAAGUGACAAACACAACCAGCUGGAAUCUUUUAUAAAACUACAAAUUAAAAUGGAUUUUUUUUUUGAUAAAUUACACAUGAAAGUGGAUUCUUUUGAAUAUAAGUGGAGUAGGCUCUUUUAUUUUAUUUUUGAAUAUUGUAUAACGGGACUGUAGACUCUUUUAUUAAACUACAAAUUGUAUAGUCUUUUUAAAAUUGUUAUAAAUUAAUGGCCCCCACAAUCCUCAACAAUUGUACCGAUAUUCACAAGUUGGUGGCCCCUACAAUUCUGUUCCGAUAAUUUAACUGUGCAAGUGCUCAUUCACAAUCUUCCAGGUCAUGCUCUCAAUAAUUGUUUUUUUUUCCUGCAUUCCCUUUGGGAAAUUUACGAAAAUAAUCAUUAAUAUUUUAUUAUUUUUACAAUUAACCGUCUUAAUUUUUUUCUAUCAACAUUAGCCAAAUACAAGUCUUUCUUCCCAAAUUACCCUUCUUUACAGAACAAAACCAACAUUGUUUCUCCCAUAUCGCCAAACCAAAAGCAGCUUUUUAUUCUUAAAUCAUCAGCCAACGGCGACCGCAAAAGACAACGGUAAAAGUGAUAUCCGAUCAUAAUCUAUCCGGAUCCAACACAAAUCUACAUCACUCAGUGGUAUGAAUUAUUUUUUGAACUUACUGAACUCAGUCGGGUGAAUCUGAGUCUGGCGACAGGCUGCCUGUCGCAGUAAAACUUGGUGCGACAGGCAACCUGUCGUACCAAACCUUGGUGCGACGGGCACCCUUGGAGAUUUAUUAAAAAUGUAUUAUUUUAAUAGGACUCAAAUAAUUUUUUUUUAUAAUUUCAGGCUUAAUGGAUUCAGUUGUACUUGAAUUGUGUUACGAUGGUUGGUGGGAGACAUUAGAGAAUGGCUGUAUGGAGUACGUGAAUGGUAAAAAUCGAGCUUUUUUGGUUGGAAAAAAUUACUUGUUUGAUCAGUUAUUGGCAAGAGUAUACGAGGUAUUAAAAAUAAACCCUAAUGACUAUAGUAUCACAAUGAAGACAACUUUGAGGUCUAGUAACACAUUAUAUCGUAUAUGUGCAAUGCCCAUGGAUAUAUGUGAUGAUGAAAUGGUGAGGGUUGUGUUGCAUAUGGCAUCUGACGUAGCUAAUUUUGGAUGCAUUCCUAUAUUCGUGACCACAUCACCUCGACUUCCGAGCGAAGGUAUUGAGCCACAUGUCGAUAUAGAAACUUCGUUUAGAGCAAAUAUGUCUGGCCCCGAUAAUGAUGAAGAGGUGUUGCCAAGGACAAUAUCGCUGCAGCAAUAUUACUCUCCAAUCCACGACAAUUAUGAUAACAUUGAUGAUAAUAGCGUUACGUUACAGGAUGUUGGAGCAACGGUAUUUCCAAUAACAACGUCGUUGGAGCAACGAUAUUCUCCGUAUCACAACAAUGAUUUUCGGGACAAUGAUGAUUUUCAUAAUGAGACAGAGGAGGAUAAUGUUUGUGCAGAACCUUCUAAUAAUACGAGGCGGGGCACUCGUUUCAAUAAUGAUGGUGAUGAUGGAGGAGUCGGUCAUUCGAAUGUUCCGUCGUUUCAGCAUGAGGAUGAGUGUGAAGACAAUACUCCUGUGAAUAACAGAGGCAAUAGACCUAUUCCUUCUAUGGUUCGAUCGAGAAGGAGAAUUGACCCCCUUACAAGUCUUGCUCCAACUUUACCUUCGAACAUGGUUGCUCCAAGCUUUGUUAGCAGUUGUGACUCAGAUGAUAUCAGCGUGGGUAAGCUAUUUGUUGAGAAGAAUGAGCUUAUAUUACAACUACGCAAGGUGGCCUUUAGAGAUAAGUUUGAUUUCAAGAUUGCACGGUCUACUACGACACGUUUCGAGGCUCACUGUUGUUCAGAAUCAUGUAAAUGGCAUAUUCGAGCAACUAGAAGUUCGAACGAGCAAAAUGUUCCUUGGGUGGUGAAGAGAAUUGAUAAUGUACACACUUGUCAUAAUGAGGUAUUGAUUGAUGGACGUCAUCAAGUAAGGAGCCGGGUUGUCGGUCAUAUUAUCGCAGAAAAAUAUAUUCAAGAUAAGAGGAUUUAUACUCCCAAUGACAUAAGAGCAGAUAUGCAACAGGAAUACGGUGUUCAGUUAACAUACCAGCAGGCAUAUAGGGCGAGAGAAGUUGGUCUUGAAAUAGUUCACGGCAACCCUGCAGAGUCAUACAACUUGCUCCCUAAAUACUCUCACGUACUAACUACAACGAAUGAGGGUACAGUCACUCACCUCGAGCAGGAUGGAGAUGGUAAUUUCUUGUACUAUUUUGUAGCACUCGGAUAUUCCAUCAAGGGGUUUAUGCAGUACAUUCGGCCUGUCAUUGCUGUAGAUGGUACUCAUCUAAAGAGAUUAUAUCGUGGAAGCAUGUUCGUGGCAACAUGUCUUGAUGGUAACAAUCAAUUGUAUCCGUUAGCCAUUGGGAUCAUGGAUUCAGAAAAUAAUGAUGCUUGGGAAUGGUUUAUGAUGAAGUUACACGGAGUGAUUGGUGAUAGACCUGAGUUGGUAAUUAUCUCUGAUCGAUGCACUGCCAUAAGGAGAGCCGUUCUUAAAGUAUUUCACAAUGCAACUCAUGGCGUUUGUUUUUACCACGUCAAAGGUAACAUUAAGUCACAAUUUAGAAUGUCCAAAGCUCUUUGGGAUGAAUUUGAGCAUGCCUUUAUUAAUGCAGCAAAAGCAUAUGGCCACGAGGAAUUUAAGAGACAACUUGAAGGGUUGUGGAUGAUCCACUCGGGUGCGGCUGAUUACUUAGAAAAUAAUGUCGGCACGUGUAAUUGGGCAAGGUCUCAGUUUCAAGGUAGGAGGUACAACAUUCUUACCACCAACAUCGCGGAGAGUGUUAAUGCUUUCAUGAGGGAACCUCGAAAAUUUCCUGUUACUCAUCUUGUUGAUCACUUCAGGAAAACAUUGCAGCAAUUGUUUUAUGAUAGAAAAAUUGUGGCUGAAUCAAUGACUACUCGGCUAACAACAUGGGCGGAUGAAAUAGUCACUGAGAGGAGAACUAUAGCUGAAAGAAUGAUAGUUCGGCCGGUGUCUCCGCAUCGCUUUCAAGUUAUAGGCGGUGGGCUUAAGGAAGGGUUGGUUGACUUGCAAAAGAGAACUUGCUCCUGCAGAGUGUUUCAGCUUGAUCAGCAUGUGUGUGCUCAUGCAAUUGCGGCGUGUCUAACACACCGGGUGGAUUUUAUUAACCUUUGCUCGGACUUUUACACUACAGAAUCGUUGGCGAUGGCUUAUGCACAACCAGUGGAGCCAGUUGGUGAUGUGGCUGAUUGGGAAGUUCCAGAUGAAAUUCAGGAGAUGCAGGUAUACCCACCAGUUGAGGCACCACUACCUGGCCGUCGUAAAGAGCUCAGAAUACCCUCGACUGGCGAGGACGUUGACCGGCGGACUGUAAGAUGCGGCCGGUGUCAUGAACUAGGCCAUAAUCGUAAGCGAUGUAAGAAUCCUAUUGCGUCGACUCGAAGUUAGUUGUAUUUUGUGUGUUAUUCGUUGGUUAAAACUAUUAUUGUUUUUGUGUUACAUUGGUUAAAACUGUUAUUGUUUUUUGUAUUUCGUUGGUUAAAACUGUUAUUGUUUUUUGUGUAUUGUACACUUAUAUUCAUAAAACUUUAUUUUAUUUUAAAGUUCAAAAUGUGAGGCAUUAAAAUUAUAUAAACUUAAGUGCGGAAAUUAAAAAAAAUGCAAAUUUCAACAUUGAAAUUACUACAUAGGUCUACAAUAUAAUAUCGUCAUUAAAUAUAUCAACCGCAAUCUUCUUUCUAAAGUACUCGACAUGACUAGCGUUAAACUCCAAUCUAAGCCCGAACAUUAAAUACAUCGUAACCAUCAAUACAAAAACACUGCAAUCGCUAGUUCCGGGCUCUUGUUGUGGUGCGCUCUUAACUGCGAUAACUUUCCACGGGUCUUCACUCCGCAACUCAGGUCGGAUAUUGUAGAAGCCAACAUAUUCCAACCAUCGAGGGAAUAUAACUUCAAGUGGCUUGAAUUUCAACUUGUACUUUUUGUCGUCGCGAAAUGUGAGUAAUGAGUCAUAAAUCCAGACUUUAUUUUUCCGAAAGUCAACUCGUGCUAGUACCCAAUGCGCGCCGUCCAAGUUAACAGGGAUGAGUAACUGCAUAUAAAAAUUAAAAAAACAUGUUCGUUAUAUAUGAAAUUGAAAUACAACAAAGAAAAAGCAACAACUCGAAUAUUUUCAUUAUAGAGCAUGUGAAAUGUAAUAAAAUACACACCAUAUCGACAUCCGUCAUUAAUUUUGACAUUGUGUGCUGUCGCCCACAAAGAUAACUAUUCAAGCGGUCGUCGAAUACCAUUGAAUCAACUGCACAAUUCCUGUUAUUCCAUAACUGAUUCAAGAACACCUAGUACAUAGAUAACCAAGAAAUGCAUAAAUUAAUAAAACUUAAAGGCAAUAAUUAAACAAAUUAAAUAGUAUUUAUAAGUUUUGUCGGCACGUUACCCAAAAAAAUGUGUCAGUAUGUGUGACACGUUGGAGUAAGGCAUUUGGAUACUGCCGUUGUUUCUCGCUAAUCAAGCGGAGAUACUCGUGAAUAUGCUGUAGAGAAACAAAAAUAUUACGAUUUAAAAAAAAAUUAUACACAAAUCCACAACAGUAUACACCACGAGGAAAAUAUAAAUACCUCAUCGCCUAGCCAUCCCAUCGAAGCUGUCCCCAAAAUUAUUUGAAAGAAUGACCGCAGGUGCUGGACUCUCCGGCGGACUCUGCUAUCACCAGUGAACCAUCGAUCAAACUCAGCAAACAAACUAGAGUCCUCCAAUCCUCUCAGUGGAUUUACAUCCACACUCGUACUCAUGUCAAUCGCAUGCUCCAUCAUUUGGGGUCGAGGUAACCUCCGGACGUUCUGUCCACGCCUGACCGGAGGAAUCAUGUAAGGACUGUUAUAAACAUACGACGGUAUGUACGCGCGGCCGAACUUACUAACGCCCGGAGGCACCUCUGUGAACACCUGCAUGCUCUCCCCACUAACAUCCCCGUAUAAACUAUAAAAUGACGUGGGCGUAGACAAAUUUUCAUUGCCCACGUCAGUAUACACUCCAUAGUCAUCCGGGGCCUGUACAUUCGCCAAAAAGAACAUAUUAAAUAAUUAUCAAAUUAAAAGUUAAACGAACAUAAUUAUUUAAUUUAAAUUAGCUUACCGCAUACGAGCGUGCAGUGGGAGAAUCCUUAUUUGGAUGUUUAGAAAAUGUGUCGAUGAAGCCAACAACGGUUUCUUUAAAAUCUUUUAAUUCUGACUUUAUUUCAUACACAUUACGAUCAAUCUUAUCCAGCCGUCGUCGUACGUAAUCAUUAAACUGCUUUGUCCUCGACUAUUACAAAAGAAAAAAAUAAAACUUUAGAAUAACAAUAAAAAAAUAAUAAUUUAUAAAGGAAAAAUAUCGUAUAUUAUUUAUAACCUCAGAAUCCCGUGCGUCAUCAGAGUUGUCUGUUUGCUGCUGGUGGUCAUCAACAGCCACCUCAUCCUCAAAAGUGUCAAGACGCUGCUCUGGUAUUGGGUUUAGUAUGUCGUCAUGAUCAUCAUGCUCGUCCGAUUGUCUUGUAACCGACGGCAUCGCGUUGAUUGAGGGUUGGUGCUGUAUAAAGUAUCAUUUAAAAUUACUAAAUGAAAAGUCAAAAAUUUCGAUAAAAAAAUUUUUAGUACUUACAGUAUACCGACCUUAUGAAUCCAAUCUGGAAUGCUUGGCAAGUAAUCCUUCACAGAGAGUCAAUAUUUUCUGCUACUCUCUUUUGAAUUUGGCUCAAGAGUUUGUAAAAUGUCCGUCUGCCAUAAAUUCAAUUGAAAAAUUUAAGUAAGUAUACCCAACUUAAAUUUAGUAAAGUUAAAAAAUAAGUAAUACAUAUUACUUACAAGACGAGAUUCGUCGUUGAAGAACGAAUAAACCUCCGCAAAGUUGAUUCUCGAAGACGUCAUGGGCUUCCAUUGCAGAAUGCGGGGAAUCUUACUCUUCGUUUUGACGACCCAUGUUGAUGGCAACCCUCCGAUUGCUUCGUAAAUCCAAGCCUACAACAAACCAAAGUGAAAAAUCAAAUAAAACAACUAUCAAAUAUUUAAUACUAUAAAACUUAUUAAUAAACAAAAAAAAGCACCUGCACCCCAGACGUAAAGCCGUAAAGAUUAUAUUUUUCAAUAUUAUGAUCUGAAUUUUUCAACCGAGUCUUCUUAAAUUUCUCGUCUUUCUCGAACAGUGCAUUGUCAAGACUCUCGUAAAUCAUUUCCCACGACAAUAGACCCCAUGGCGCUUUCGGAAGUACUGUAUAUCAUCAACUUGGUCAAGCCAAUCGAAAUUAAUUUGACAGUGAUUUUUUCUUGCAUUUAGUACUCUGUCCGCAAAAUAAAACAGCGCAAUCUUUAAUGCGUCCAUAUCGUCCAUUUCCUCGAAAUUCAACUCCUUAAAUACUGCAUCAAAUUGCUUCACAUUAAUCUUACGAUGCACACCACCAAAAUACGUAUUCCGUAGCCUCUGCUCCAUUUCAUCAUUUUUUUCAUUGGUAUCAACACCAAAUGAAAGUCCAGUAACCAAGCACCAUUCGAUAAUUGACAAGCGAAUCAAAUGCUUACCAAUUUGAAACCAUAACUGAUCCUCACAGCUAUCUUCUUCAUGGGCCACUUGCCGCAGUAAACGAUUGUGCAAAAUUACCCCACUAAAUGGAAAACUUCGGCACUCCAAGAAAUGCCCAAAUAUAUCCUUUUUGAACAUACUCAACUGCCGCUUUGUUAAUUUUUCCUCGAUGGCUUUUACGACCGAAGAUAACAUACACAUGCUCGAAAUUCGACCAGGAAAGUGAUCAGCAUAACGAAAAUACAUCUUGCCUACUUCAAUAUCCGGUGAUUCUGAUUUCGCCAUGUAUCUGUAAUAUUUAUAAAAUUAUUACAUUACAUUUACAAAAUUAUUACCAAACUCUAAUUUUUUGGUGCGACAGGCGCCUGUCGCUCCAAAAAACUGCCUGUCGCACCACAGCUGGUGCUCCAAAAUCGAAAACAAUACUCCCAAACACUACCAACUACCACAAACAUCAUCACCACCACUAUUAAUCUCAAGCUAUAACUAUUAUUAUUCUAAAAUCUCAUUUUAAAUUAAUGAAAAUAAGAAAAAUGACUAACCUAGGUUUUGUUGAAGGUUGUAGAUCGUAGAUCGGAUGCCGGUGAGAGAUGGAGCCGCCGCCGACGAGGGUUGAUGUCGCCGCCGAUGAUGGGAGUUGGAUCGGUUUGGGAGAGAUGAGUGAAAAAGGGAGUGUUGGGGAAGAGAUGAGGGAUGGGUAUUUUGGUCUCAAAUGUUGUUUUAUGGCUAAUGUUGAUAGAAAUAUUUUUGGGGGGUUAAGAUGAAAAAAAACAAAUUUGUUUUGGUUAUUACUGUAAAUUUCCCAUUCCCUUUCAUGCUCUUAAUAAUUGAAGAGCAUACUUUUCAUUUUCAAAUGUGGAGCCGCAUCUAAUGUCGCUAAUUUAAUUUGGGAUUAAAUUAGGGGACCAUUAUAUUGCAGUGUGUACUAAUUUUUGUGUUUAUCUAAACUCCUUAAGUUUAAGACAUAUUAUGGCAUAAAUAAGAAUAUAACAAUAACAAAAGAGAUGCCGGAGCAGAUCAGCAGGGUUUGAAUAUGACCUUUGGCGGUUGCUUUUUUUUUGUGAUUUUUUUCAUUUUUUCCUUCCUGUCAUUUUAUCAUUUAUUUGGCUCUGUUUCUAUUGCGGGUGUUACUGCAUGCUUACUGUUGCUUGACAAAGUUUGCUAGCUUUUUGUUUGCAGUGCUGCUAUUCACCCCGAGUCAAGCUCCGAAAAUUUAUUAAACAACGCCGUUUCGAUAGUAACAAUUUUUUUCUUUUCCCUUUGUCUGUCUCUUUCAUCUGCUGUUUCUCUAUCACUUUUCAUUUUUUAUUUCCUUACUUCCCAGCUGCCCCUAAAUUGUUAUUCUAGCAAUAUACUUUCUCAUCUUUGAAUUUUCAUCCUUGAGUACUCCCACAGCCGUAAUUUCAUCAUUAUAGACUUCACUUGGAAUGCUGUAUUUUUUCGAUUCUUAAGCUACUUCAAUUACAUCUCCCAGUAUAGGAUCCUCAUCUUCCUUUAUUUCUUCAUCUUAUGAGGUAACAAAUGGAUUUCACAACUCAUCUACUUUUAAGCAAUUACAUAUUAUACCUUGAAUGAUUCAACUGUUCCGACAGUUAAAGAUUUUAUGCUCAACCUGCAGUGCUACGAACAUUGUCCAUGAAAGAUGAGUUUCAGCAUAUAAAAUGAAAUAUAGAUGUUUAAUCUAAAAUAACCCUUCACUGCCAAGAAACCUAGGUCACAAAAUUCACAGAUAAUGAUAAAGAGCUAAAAAAUUUGAAAAACUCUACAGAUCACACAUCAAGCAAGAUAUCAUGUUUUUUUCCCUCAUUCGGUGGUGAUUGAUUCGCUUUUUGAUGAUGGAUAUGGUAUAAAAGUUUUGACCCAAUUUCAAGCAAACACAAAUAGAAACACAAAUAGAAACACAAACACAAUCAGGACUAGAGUUGUGGGCGAUUAUCUUAGGUGUACAAGUGAAACGGUGGUGGCUGUCGAUGGUGGUAGUGGGGUGGUUGGGUAUGCGUGAUGGCUAGAUUUUAGGACAAUAAUGGUUGGAGUUGACCUCGAUCAACGAAGGAAAGUGACAACAAUUUUGACAUCAAACGGUGCAUUUUUUAGCUUAGUAAAAUGGAGCCGUUUCGAAUUUGGGGUUUAAUCCGGGGUUUGACUCGGCGCAAGUAUCAUUUUCCUUUUGUUUAUUAAAUUUUUUAUGGUCACAAAGUAUUACUCGUUCUAUUUGAGAGUGAUGUGAAUCAAUUUUUCAAUUUUAUAUUUUGUGGUCAAUGUGAAUUUAAUUUCAUUUGUCUCCUGCAAUUAUGAAAAAAUUGCAGUCAUAAUAUGGAAAAGUACACCGGCAAAAACUUUGUAAAAGCUUCGGAGUGAUACGGGGAAUUUACUUACUACUGAGGACAAUUGGUGGCAAAGCUAUUCCAUUCAUUUUAUGUCCAUCCAUCUAUUUAGCUAUUGAAGAUUAGUGGUCCAUUUGUAAAUUUCAGAUUGUCUCUCUCUCUCUCUCCCACUUGAAAUAACAAUAUUUAAUAUAUCUCUUAAAUUAUUAUAAAUUUUAAUUUACUCUCGAUUUAAAAUGGAGCAUGUCGAUAAAAAAUUUUUCUUCUUAAUAAAAUUGACGUAAGUUGUGUGUUACAGUAGUUUGAAGUUUGAAAUAUUUUAAAGAUUAUUAUUCUAUAAGGGAGUAAUAUGAAAUGAUAUUUACUUUUCAUGUGUGAAAUGAAAAAGGACGAAGCAAGUGUCCCUGCUUUUAUUUUAUUUCAAGGAGGAGUCAUCUCACAUACUUUAGCUCUUAACAUUACAUUUUUUCUGGUUACAUUUUUUAUUUAUUUAUUUUUUUUUUUUUACACAUGCGUGUGGGUUGCUUUUCUGUAAGCUCCUUAAUAUAUAUUUAAGACAAAUCAUGGAAGAGAUGGGAUUAUAUCAAGAUGAUCAAAGCAUGUAAAAAAAGAAAAAAGAAAAAAAAAAAUUAAGAAGUAAGACACUGAAAAUGGAGAAGAGAUGGAAGCAAAAGAUAUUCCAAAACAAAGCAAUCUAUCCCCUUUCGAGGGCAGACUUAUCAGGUUUAAAAAAGUACAUGCUUUGGAUUGGUAGUUGCAAUCAAGGGAAAAUAAAUAGGAUCCAAUGAAAUUUAAAUCUCGGAGAAAAUAAAUAAUCAUGCAGAUUUUCAAGAUUUUAAUAAGGGAUACUAAUAUCUUAUUUUGAUUAAUAACAUUCUUUUAUUGUGUUAACUCAAAAAAAAUAUUAUAAUGCUUUACAAUAAAUACAAAUGUCCUAUUAAAUGAAUAUAUAAAAAAUUUAGAAAAUUUAGAAUAUUAUAUAAAAUAAUUUUAAUAUAAUGCGUGAGAUAUAUUUUAUUAAUUUAAAAUGUCAUUUUACCUAAAAAAUAUGAUAAAUUAAUAAUUACAUAUUUGAAGUUAUUUCAAAUAUUACUUAAUUGUUUUUACUUUAAACAUUACCGGCCUUUCUUUUAUUUUAUUGCAAAUUAAUGCUAACAAGAAAAAGCUAGAUCAUAUUCCACAAAAGCAAAAGUGACAAACACAACCAGCUGGAAUCUUUUAUAAAACUACAAAUUAAAAUGGAGUUUUUUUAAAAAAAUUGUUAUAAAUUGGUGGCCCCUACAAUCCUCAAUAAUUGCACCGAUAUUCACAAGUUGGUGGCCCCUACAAUUCUGUUCCGAUAAUAAUUGUUUUUAUUUUUCUGCAUUCCCUUUCAUGCUCUUAAUAAUUGAAGAGCAUACUUUUCAAAUGUGGAGCCACAGCUAAUGUCGCUAAUUUAAUUUGGGAUUAAAUUAGGGGACCAUUAUAUUACAGUGUGCACUAAUUUUUGUGUUUAUCUAAACUCCUUAAAUUUAAGAUAUAUUAUGGCAUAAAUAAGAAUAUAACAAUAACAAAAGAGUAAAAAAGUGUAGAGAAGAUCUUGCAGAAAUAUAAAUAAUAUCUAUUUUAAAAUAAUUUUUAAUAUUUUAUGAUCCAUUAGAUAUAUUUAUUAUAUUAAAGUAAAUUUUAUAAUAAAUAAAAACAUACUAUUAAAAUGAAUAUAUAGAAAAUUUAGAGUAUUUUAAAUAUUAUAUAAAAAAUUUUUAAUAAAAUAUGUGAGAUAUUCAUAUUUUAUUAAUUUAAAAUACCAUUUAACCUAAAGAUUUAUUUAUGAUAAAUUAAUAAUUAUAUUUUUGAAAUUACUUCAAAUAUUAAAAAAUUAAUAUUACUAAUCUGUUAGAUAGAUUAAAUUAUAUAUAUUAUUUUCUAUUUAUUAAAAAAUUAAAAUUAUUUUUAAUUACUAUUCAAAAAAUAUAAUGAAAAAACAUAAUGAUAAAAAAAUCUUAACAUCUUUAUUAAAAAAUUAAAAACUUAUAUGAUAAAUUCUCUAAAUAUUUACGGUAUAUGUGAACCACGGUGGAUAAGCUUUAUUUAAUAUUAUUGAUUUAAAUAAUAUGUCAAUUAAAAAUGUACAGAGAAGAAAUUUCGGUGGGUAUUUUAGUCUUUUAAGCAAUUAUCAUGAUCAGAUCAGCCUUUAGCCUUCAAACGUCGGUCAGAAAAGUUUUAAAAUUAAUGCUAAAUUGUUUUUCACUUUUAACGUUGGUGGCCUUGAAAUUGCUUGUAUUUUAUUAAAAAUUAAUGCUAACAAGAAAAAGCUAGGUCAUAUUCCACAAAAUCAAAAGUGACAAAACAACCAGCUGGUUUCUUUUACUAAACUACAAAUUAAAAUAAAUUUUUUCGAUAAAUUACAAAUUAAAGUGGAUUCUUUUGAAUACAAAUGGGACAGACGAUUAGGCUCUUUUUAUUAGAGGCAAGUAAAAACUAGUCAAGAAUCGAACAGUCUUUUUCCAAUUCUUGUUUUAUUAUUUUUCAAAACUAGUUUUUGGUAAUUACAACCGGGUCAUUAAUCAUUAUUCAGAGUUACUGUUAUCUUCGGGGGCAGUGGGUAAAAGAUAAUUACUAACUGUUUUUCCUUCAAAAGUUAGCGGCUCAUGUUUGCAAGUGUGAAUGUGCGAUGCUCUUUUCUUAAAGGCCAUUACAGUGGGGCCCGAAUCAGACGUGCCUAAAUCUUUUUAAAAUUUUUGCCGUAUAACGAACAGAGGUCAUUACUAAAAUUUCUCUUCCACAGCCUACAGCAGCUUCAGUUUAUCAAACUCCAUCAAUUUUCUUUCUUAACAAAAUUCCAAAGAUGUGUAGCAUUUUUCAGAUCACAUGCGAUGGUGCUCUUUUCAAUCGUUGCUUGGAUUGCUUUCUUGGAAAAGCAGCAUACAUACGUAACCUCCAAGAUAAUCUUGUAGCCUUGGAGACUGAACUGGGAAGACUAAUCGCAGCAAAGAACGAUGUGAUGAUGAGGGUUGUCAAUGCUGAACGGCAACAAAUGAGAAGGCUGGACGGAGUGCAAGUGUGGGUUUCGAGGGUGGAUUCUGUUAAAACUGGAGCCGACGAACUUAUCACAGACGGCUCUGAAGAAAUUGGCAAAUUAUGUGUUGGAGGCUACUGUUCCAAGAACUGCAGGUCAAGCUACAAAUCGAAAACAAGUGGCUAGAAAGCUACGACAUGUGAAGACUUUAAUCGCCGAGGGAGUUUUUGAGGCGGUGGCCACUGAGGUGGUGCCCGAGAGAGCUCCGGAACCUGUAGCAGAUAAAAGACCCACUGAGCCAACAAUAGUAGGCUUGCAAUCACAGCUUGAACAAGUUUGGAGAUGUCUUGUAGAAGAAUCAGUGGGAAUCAUUGGCCUAUAUGGUAUGGGCGGUGUUGGUAAAACCACACUAUUGACCCAUAUCAACAAUAAAUUUCUUGAGAGUCCCACAAACUUUGAUUGUGUGAUUUGGGUCGUAGUUUCAAAAGACCUGCGACUUGAAAAAAUUCAAGAAGAUAUUGGGAAGAAGAUAGGUCUGUCUGAUGAUUCAUGGAAGAAUAAAAGUUUUGAAGAGAAAGCUGUGGACAUCCUGCCGAGAUUAGGAGAGAAGAGAUUUGUAUUGUUGUUAGAUGAUUUAUGGGAGCGGGUUGAUUUAACAGAAGUGGGCGUUCCACUUCCCAGCGCACAAAAUACUACCUCAAAAGUCGUAUUCACAACCCGUUCCAUUGGUGUUUGUGGCAGCAUGAGAGCUAGGCCGGUUAAAGUGGCAUGCCUAUCAGAAAAGCAAGCUUGGGAACUGUUCCGCGAAAAUGUUGGGGAAGAAACUCUUGAGAGUGAUCAUGAGAUCGUUGAGCUAGCCCAAACUGUGGCCAAAGAGUGUGAUGGUUUGCCACUCGCACUUAUUACUAUUGGUCGAGCUAUGGCCUACAGAAAGACAGCCGAGGAGUGGAGUCAUGCAAUUGAUGUGCUAAGAACAUCAGCUUCUGAGUUUGCAGGUUUGGGAGAGAAGGUGUAUCGUCUUUUAAAGUUUAGCUAUGAUAGUUUGCAGAAUGAUACGGUUAGAUCUUGUUUCUUGUACUGUUGUUUAUAUCCUGAAGAUUAUGGCAUUCUUAAAUGGGACUUGAUUGAUUGUUGGUUUGGCGAGGGAUUUUUUGGGGAAUCUGACAGGUCUGGUGCAGAAAACCAAGGAUAUGACAUUUUGGACACUCUUGUUCGUGCAUGUUUAUUAGAAGCGGUGGAAGAUGGUGAAGUAAAAAUGCAUGACGUUAUUCGUGAUAUGGCUAUAUGGAUAACUUGUGAAAUUGAGAAGGAGAAGAGAAACUUUUUGGUUCGUGCAGGUGCUGGAUUAAAAGAGGCACCGGAUGUUAAAGGAUGGGAAAAUGUGAGAAGAUUGUCAUUGAUGCAAAACCAAAUUGAAACUGUGUCAGAGGUUCCCACAUGCCCUCAUCUCCUCACUUUAUUUCUUGACUUUAAUCAGGAGUUGGAGAUGAUCGCGGAUGGCUUCUUCCAACUUAUGC